rnacentral:lncRNA from 1 species
GCCUAUAAAAAUUUAAAAACUCUAAAAUGAGAAGAAUAAUAAAACAAUGUGUAUUCAAAUCACAGGAAAUAAAUCAAAAUAUAAACCAUCAGAAACAAAGCUUCGAUCCAUUCAAACUCCAUAUUAAAUUUUGUUAUCAAAUAUAAGAAACUAUCAUGAAUCCCUGCACUUCAUUAUAUAAAAACCCAUCAUAAGAAACGCUGCUAUUUUGUCAACCGUGGACUGGAAGCAUACCAAAUCAUACACCCACAAUCAAAACCCAAAAAAAAAAAAAUGUUCAACAAAAAAUUCAAUACGAAAAACAAAAAUUAUAUACCUUGAUCACAAAGGGCUUGCACACAAAAACCCCAAUAUUCGAAGACCAACGUUUCCUGACAGAAAAAAUCAAACCAGAUCAGACAGCCACACGCAAAUCACCAAAAAAAUUUAAAUCAGGAACACUAAAAAAGCCGCAAAACUCACCAGAAAACGUUAGGUUAUGUGGGUUAAAAACGGAUUCCAAUCGAAUUCAAAAAGGCACGAAAAACUCACCAGGAAACCCUAGCUUUUUUGGGUAAAAAAGUUCCUUCAAAUCAACCUGAAAAACUGAAGAAGCAUUCUUGAGUUCAAUAAAAAUCGAAAUUUAAGCAAGCUUUCUGACCUGAAAAGGUUGGAUUAGAUCAGCCCAGAACAAAUUCUAUUCGGAUUAAAAAUGGGUAGAAGCUUCUAACCCCUUAUUGAUUUUCAAGAAAUCAACUUUGAUAACCAAUUCGCGAACAACAAAACAAGAGGCUGAUUAAUUUGAACAACCAAAAAGAUGAAGCGGUACGGGUAGAGAAAACAAAUCGGAGACGGAAGGAAGGAACUCCAUGUAUGCGCGAGAGGAAAGUGAAAAGCUAAAAGAAAGGUCCAGAACGACUAAAGCCAAACCGUGCACCGAUGACGGACAGGUGGAAUAAAAGGGCAUAACCGUCAUAAAACGCUGACAGAAAAAAUUUGGAGGGUAUUUUCCCCUGUUUGUGUGGUUAGGGUUAAGUCAUAUCAAUAUUUUAUAUUAAUUUUUUAAUAAAGAUAAUAAAAUAAAAAACAAUAAUAAUAUAAAAUAUUGACUUGGUUUAACCGUAACCACAUAAAUAGGAGAGGAUGGAAGUGUAUGGGAAGUGGAAGAGUAGAAAAUCCAUCUCCUUUUUGCCACUCCACUGUUAGUGAACAGUAACCAAGAGUUUGGGUUUUAGGGAGGAGGAUUCUCUCUCUCUCUCUCCCCCCCCCCAUCUCUUUCCCCUUUCCUCCCCUCCUAUUUGAACUGUCACGGUUAAGCCACGUCAACAUCUUAUAUUAACUAAUCUCUCUCCCCUUCCCUCCCCUCCUAUUUGAAUGGUCACGGUUAAGUCACGCCAACAUCUUAGUAUAAUAAGACAAAAAACAAUGUGUAAGAGGAGGAGAGGGAAGAUGAUGAGAAUAGGAUGGGAGAGAAUCCUAAUCCAGAUUUUAGUAUAGAAAUAAUUUACAUAUGUCACAUCAUACAGUCCUAGUCUAAAAUUCUAAACUUGCUAAUUUUCCUUUGAACAAUUGCACUCAAAUUUUACCCACUUUCAGAACCAAAACUUUCAAACAUAUAUCAGAAAUGCUCUUUGGAAGACAGGUUUUCAAAUCAAUAUUAUCAAGAAUGUAACAAUCGAAAAUGGUACGUACACUUUGUUAUUGACAUGAUAUUAAAACUGAUAUCGGCACAUUGUCAAUAACAUAUAUAUGAAGAGUUUGUCUUGCCCAAAGAAUGAUUAAUACUUACAUAUAUGUGGCUUAGAAAGAUCCAUGCAUGUACAUAAUGAUUAAAUAUUCUCAUUGUGUAGCAUAUGUCAUUUUUUGUUACAAAUUAUCACUUUGCUCUAAAACAAGAAAAGUACUCACCAGACGACAAAAACAAGAUUAAUACAUUGAUGAUUUGCUAUGUAUAAUUUCUUGUAAUUCAUGUAAUCAUCUUUGCAGGUGCCAGUGGAGGCUUCUUGCUUUUACUAAGUGGAUCUUGGAUAUAUUGGGGAAUGCAGAGAAGAAAGUUCCUCAAACUCAAAGAAAAAUACUUUAAAGAAAAUGGUGGCUUAUUGUUACAACAAAAAAUCGCUAGUCAAGGAGGCUCUAUGGAGACAACAAAAAUUUUCACGGCAGAAGAACUUGAGAAGGCAACAAACAAUUACCAUGAAAGUGGAAUCCUUGGUGAAGGAGGCUAUGGAAUAGUUUACAAAGGAAUAUUAGCAGCAAAUAACAAUAAAGUGGUUGCCAUAAAAAAGUCUAAAAUUUGUGUCCUAACGCAGAAGGAGCAGUUUGUCAACGAGUUGCUUGUUCUUUCUCAAAUCAACCAUAGAAAUGUGGUGAGGUUAUUGGGUUGUUGUUUGGAGUUAGAAGUUCCUCUACUAGUUUACGAGUUUGUCGCUCACGGCACUCUCUUUGAGCACAUACAUGGCAAAAAGAGGAAAGGAUCAUCAUUUUCAUUGGAAUUACGACUCAAGAUAGCAGCUGAAAUUGCUGGAGCACUAGCAUACUUACACUCCUCAGCUAUGAUGCAAAUCAUACAUCGAGAUGUGAAACUGACAAAUAUACUGUUAGAUGAAAAUUACACGGCAAAAGUGUCAGACUUUGGAGCUUCACGAUUGAUUCCUCUUGAUCAAGCCCAACUUGCAACUUUAGUGCAAGGAAUAGUCGGAUACUUAGACCCUGAAUACUUCCUCACGAGUCAACUAACAGAUAAGAGUGACGUCUAUAGCUUUGGAGUUGUCCUUAUGGAGCUACUAACAAGUAAACUGGCACUUGAUUCUGACAGGCCUGGGGCAGAUAGAAGCCUAGCAAGGUUCUUUGUUUGUUUAAUGGAGGAGGAUCGCCUGAAUGAAAUUCUCGAUGAUGACAUGCUCAACGAGAGAAACAUCGAGACACUAAAAACAGUGGCCAAUCUAGCAAAAAGAUGUGUAAGGGUAAAAGGGAAGGACAGGCCAACAAUGAAAGAAGUUGCCAUGGAGCUGGAAGGGAUGAGAAUUACAGAAAAGCAUCCAUGGGGAAAAGCUGAAACUUGUUCAAAAGAGAUUGAGUGCUUACUUGGGCCAGGUAACUCAGAUGCUUAUCAUAUGGAUGUUAGAGCUGAUUGUGGUCCUAGUACUGGUACAACUAUUGGGUAUGACAGCAUGCAUAUCCAGUUUACUCCAUAUGAUGAUGGACGAUAAUUCAUUGCAUGAAAUAAUCAACUCAACAAUGUUUAUCAUUCUAGCCAUAGUGAAGGAUGUACCAACAUCAAGUAGAAGCCGCUGCUAGUUGGAAAUAACUCAACAUCUAUAUACAACGUUCUAAAGUUUAAGUAUGUUUUAUCACAGUCGUCAGUGUGAUCACAUUUGCCAUAGCGGAUGUGCUUCCUCUAUACACUCGAGUUUGAAUUUUUCUUUUGUUGUAGUUUAGAUUUAGUUGAAAGUAAAGUAUCGCUUGUAUAAAAUAAAAUCUCUUUUUCAUCAUUUUGAAAACGUUUUUAUUUAGGGUAUGUAUCAGAACAUUAGGUGGUGGAGAUCCCAACCUUGCAUGUAAGAAGUGGCCCAACACCACAAACUAUAGCUAAUUUCUUCUUCAAAAUAAGUAUGAGUUUGGAAGAUCCUGAGUUAUGUGUACUAGCCUCCCCUAUUUAAUUAGUGUGUAUGAUUAUUAAUUGUUAAUAUGUUAGUGAGAAAUAUUUCAUAAAUAAGGUUGUAGAAAGAAAAAAAAUCCCCUUAUAUUAUAUAUAUACUAAAACUUAAGCAAAAAGCACUAUUCACCAGUAGUGAACCGCCGAAAAUGUCCUUGGAUUCCCUUGUUACUAGCCAUUUUUUCCAACUUGGCACAGCAAAAAGACGCAUUUGCCCUCAUUCGUGUGCUUUUUGGUUCCAUCCUCUUAUACACGUGUUGCUCACCGUUCCCCUUUUAGGCUACCAAAAACUUUGAUUGUUCCUAAAAAUAAUUUUCAAAUAACAUCACUUAAAAACAAUUUUCUUUUAAAUCUCAAAAUUUCAAAAAUUUGUUUGGUUGAGUUUUUAAAAAUAAAUUUUUUAGUUUGAAUUCAAACUACUUUGAGCAAAAAUUGAAGAAGAGAGACAAUUGGGAAAGAGGAGAGAGGAAAUAGUUGGCGAGGAGGUGAGGGAGAGAGCAAAAAAUUACGGUGAGAAGAUGAGGAGUGAGAAGAAAGAGAGGGUGAUGAGACAAAGGCUGAGGAGAGAAAGAAGACAUGUGUGACGUGAGGAGAGAGGAAAGAGAGGGUUAGGAGAGAAAAAAAGAAAGAAUUAGGAGAGAGGGGGAAAAAAAGAUGUUGAGAAGAAAGCAGAAAAAACUCUAAAAAUUCACUUGGUGUAUUCAAUUGAGAAUUUGAGAGACUUUAAUAAAUUUAUAAAUUCAUGGAUUUUUAUAGAGUUUAAUUGAUUUGUAGAGAUUUCAUAUAAAAUUUAGAUUCAAUUCCCUUGAAAUCUCAUGAGAAGAUGGGAGAUUUGUGGAUGCUUAAAAUACACUACGAAAUCUCUCAAAUUCCCUUUAAUUCCUCAACUUUCUCAAAUUCUUUAAAAUUAAUUUUUAAUUUAAUACACCUGGAAUGUUAUAAACUUCUUUAAAAUCCUAAUUGAAUACAGCCGAAUUUCCAAUGAUUUUAAUAAAAUAUCUUAAAAUUAUAAUUGACUACACCUUGAAUUUCAUAUAAUCACUUAAAAUCUUGAUUGAAUACCCCUAGAUUCAUUAAAAGAAUUAAAAUCCCUCAAAAUCCCAAUUGAAUACACCCCAUGUGUUUUUAAGAAAUUGAUAUGUUUUUAAGUUAGUUUUGAAUCCAAUUUAAAAAAAAAAGGUCAUACCAAACAAGAAUUCAACUCCUAAAACUCAUAAAGUGUUUUUCAGUUAAAAAAGUUGAACUCAAGUAGAAUACCAAACAAGCCCUUAAUUGUUUUGAUUUCUUUUGAAUUUGGCUUUUAUUUUAUUUUCAAGCUUUGAGCCUUUGAAAUUGUUUCUAAUUUCUCCAUUAGUAAACUAAGGAUGAAAUUUAUUCUUUCUUAACAUUAUUUGACUGCAGAUUCUAGGUUCCAACCUCCAGUUACGCAACAUACUUGAUUCCAAUUCUUAGUAAGGGAGAUGAUGCAAAACCCAGAAUUUCUUCGUCAGUUGGCUUCUCCCGAGACUAUGCUGGUAUAUUUAUUUAGGAUGCCUAAGGUUUUGAGUUUUGAUGUUUGUGUUUGACUAAUUGAGCAUUGAUAUAGCCGUCAUAUAUGACACCGCUAAGAUUCUCAAUUCUUAGUCAUUCAUAUUUACAAUUUGAUUUGUGGUCUUUUGACCUCUCUACUGCCUUACCAAGCACAGCUCGACAAUCCCCAGCAUUAGCAACUAUCAGGGUCCUGCAAAAAGUACAAAGUAUGUAUGACUAAGACAUGAAACCUAAUUAAGAUUCACAAAUUCUAAAUACUUUGUAUUUAGAAAGCAAUUCCAGGCAAACUCAAUGCUCAUCAUUCAUUUUCUGUCUCUUUCAUAAUUUAACUUUUGCUUCUUAUUGCCUUUGUUUUUUCUUUUCUAUCUUACCGAUGCUCUUAACUUUGCAGCAAUCACUUCUGUCUCAACUUGGUCGGCAACAGUAACAGUCAGCCCAGUAAGAAGUGACAUAAUUUUUUCUUUGAUAUGUCUGAUAGAAAUAGCCUGAAUUAUUUCUCCCUUAGAUCCCUGCGGAAUCCAUAUUGAUCACUAUGGAUUAAUUAUGCAACUCGAUUGAAGUUUGAAGGUAAUUUCAUAAUGUUAAAAGCCUUUAAAUGGAUGAUAAAAUAUUGUUAAACUCCUCAAACUUUAUUCGAGCUCUACUUUCAAUUUAAUUUCAUAUCAGUGAGAGAAUAUAAUUUUACUUGAAAGCUUGGAAAAAACUAAUAAUUUUUGGUAAAAUGUCUUUACGUCAUAGACAAGCAAACAUUAUCAAAACUAUGUGUUUGAGUUGCAAAGAUAUGUGUGCAAAAGAAUAGGUGACCUCUGUAUUCUAUAUUUCUAACAUUUUUUUUUCCAAAAUCCAUGAUGAGCAAUUUAUGUUUCUCUUUCUUUUAACAUUUUUUCCUUCAAUUUUGCUGGCUUAAUAAUUUGACUGACACCUACUUUUCAGAAUUAGAAUAGAAUAUGGUUAUAAUUUUAUGCAAUUGUGGGGUAAUUGGCAAACCUUGAGUCCCUUUUAUGCGUGUUUGAAGGAACAAACAGAGUUUGUAAACCCCUACCUUGCUCAUACAUGUUUUACUCUUUUAUUGUCGUCUAAUUUAUUUUCCUGUUUUGGUUUAGGCUUUUAGUUUUGUUAAUCUGGUAAGAAUUACGUUUUGUCUGAUAGCUUGGAUUUAGAAUUUGACUAGGAAAUAAGCCCGCACGUUGUUGCGGGAACCAACUGUUUCAGGUGUAGCUGCAUGAAGAAGACAUAUUUCAAGCGUAACUGCAUGAAUAAGACACAAAGUCAGUAAGUAAAGCUCAUAUUCUUAACAGUGUUAUUUUAACAACAAUUUUGAGUCUUACUGCAUUUUAUGUCCAAUAGGAAUUUAAUUGUCUUUCUAUACCAUGGAGUGGUGCCAAAAGAUUAUUUUAUGGAGUUAUUGAUGAAAGAUCUGGAAAAUACUCAGUGGUGUUUUUUGCAACAGGCGUGCAGCAGCCAAAAGUAAGGUUAUAUUUCUAUCUAUUUAAAUGGCUGCCAUAUUGUUGUUUUUAUACAUGUCUACAUUUCUUUUCACUAUUUCUAGUUCCUUGAUGGGUUUCGUUCCUUCAUGUUCUGUAUUUCCAAUUGCCUUAAGCUACGGCGGGAUGGAUGAUGAUUACAACACGUUUAAGUUGAUGUCUUCUCAUAUUCGUGUAGAAGAAUAAUAUUUGCAACAUCGUUUGUCAUUCUUGAAGAAAGAGGAAAAUAUUAGUUUUAAAAAAGGGAAAAUUUCUAGUGCUCAGAGUUAUAUGUUGAUGGGAACCACUGAUCCAACAGGGACUCUAGAAAAGAAUAAAGUUUGUGUUCUUCUGUAUGUACAAUUUCUGCCAUUUUUUUAAUCCCUCCUGUUACACAAUUAGUAGGAUGAAACUGAAUGUUCAAGUACUUGUUUAAGUAGCUAACUUCCGAAGCACAAAUGUUCAAAGCAAAAAAUAUGCAAAAAGGUUGUUCCCAUAAGAAACUGAAGAAACAAAAACAACAACAUGCAGUUAACACUUUGUUUGCUUUUGCAGUUAAGAUGGUUAAAUAUAUGUGUUGCAAGCUAGCCAAUUGUUUUAGCAUUAAGAAAAAACAUUUCCGAAGCACAAAUGUUAAAAGAAAAAAAAAAUGCAAAAGGAUUGUUCCCAUAAGAAACUGAAGAAACAAAAGCAAUAUGUAGUUGACAGUUCCGCAGUUAAGAUGGUUAAAUAUAUGUCUUGCAAGCUAGCCACUUGUUUAGCACUAACAAAAAACAUUAAAAAGUGUUUCGUUCUUGUUCCAGCACCUAAGUUUUUAAGCACAAAUUUUCAACGCAAAAAACAUGUAGCACAUCCUGUAGCACUCGAUGACGAAGAUUGUGGGUGUUCACUUUUUCUGAGAUCGGACAUCUUCCACACUAUAGCAAAAAAACAUAAAUAAUCAUUUAACAGACACUGCCAUCAUUGAUAUUGUGUAGAUGUGGGUGUGAAAAACAAAUUAUAAUUUACCUAUCUUUGGUUUUUUUGGCCUGAGUUUUUAUCUUGAGUGCGGCUAUCGGCACUUUGUCGGCGGGUUCAAUUUUGGGGACAACCAGAUUGUGGAAUUCUCUAGCAAUUCUUGUAGAAUUGGUUGUGUCUGUUUGCUGGGGGCAAGGUUUUUUGCUGUUAACGAAGGUAAAUUUUAUAAGGUUAAAGAGAAACAUGAUAGCCAUGGAGAAGAGUGCGAAAGAGUGGUGCAAAAAGUUUUGUAAACAGUUUUUCAUGAUUGACUAAAUUUACACUGAAGAUAAGCAAGUAUAGUUAUUAAGAUUGACACAUGACAACAUUUAUCGUCAGGAAAACUUUACCUGUCAGGUUUGUUCGUUUGAUCAGGGAACAAUACUCUCUUUGAAGUUAUGGCGGGUGCAACUGAUUUGGGUUGUUGAUCUGGUUGUUGGGAAAGUGUCAAUGGGGCGGGGGUUGCUUGACUGGUAAUUUGUUUGCCUACACUGGUAGCGGGUGUUUGUGGUAUGACUGAGGCAAUCGUUGGGUUGGAGAGCGGUUGGUCUUCAACCAGUCCAUUAACGAUGAAGUCUGUUUUUGCAAAGUCGCUGUUUUUCUUUCCAAAAGAUAGUUGAAAGGUUUUUGACUUGCCGACCAAAUUGUUAAGAAUUGGCGGCACCACGAAAGGGUCCUCGUGUCCGUUCUCUAUCACCAAAGUGUAGCAAGAAAUGCCAAGCCUCUUUUCGGCUUGCCUUCCUAUCAUGAGGAAGUUGUGUUGGUUCGUGUUAUCUUCGACAAUCAGAUUGAUCUUGAACCUGUGCAAGAGGAGGAUAUUUUGUGUUAGACAAUCAUACAUUCUAAGCGAAAGUUGGUAACCAAAAUGGAGAGGUCCUACAAUAUCCAUUUCGUCACUGAACUUAUUGAAUUCAACAUACCAGUUAACUUUAAACUAAAGAAAGUGUGCUACAAUAUUUAAAAGCGGUCAUAUGACAAUAGCUAAGAAAACAGCCAUUCCUCCUAAGCGAUGUAAAUUUUAUUGACUUAUUACAUCAAAGCAGCAUUCACGUAUCAUCAUUAUGGUUGUUUUGGAAACUCUUAAGUUUCUUCUUUAAAGGUGGGAAAAAGACUAUAGGUGUAGACUAUCCUAAACACAUUAUAGCAGGAAUAUUUACGAUAAUGUCACUAAUACACUCCCAAGGGUCAAACAGUAGUCAAAGUAUAAUGGAGAUGGAGACCACUGUAAAUUUAUUUGUAUGCACGCAUUUUAGAUCAUGAAUCAAAGACCAACAUAUGCAUGAGAGUGAAUGCAAAAAUAUAUGCUGGCUGAAGAAAGCUGUGUGCUCGUCACAUGUUCUACCUUCUUGUCGCAUAAAAUAUCGUAGAUAUAAAAGCAUUAUUAUGUGUGAAUUUGAUAAUCAUAAGAAUUUCAAAAAGGACUCAACAACUUAAUAUAACCGUUAGACGUAAAAUAGAUGCAAAAGAUUAUUACCAUGGCUCGGGUAAUUUGUUUAUCAAACCAUGUUCGUUGCACUGAAAUGAUCCACACAUCUUCUUACAACUUUAUGACAGGAUGGGCAAGAGUUGUACCACCAACCUCUGGCCAAAUCGAAGUCAACAACAGUCGCUUUGCAUGUGAAACUUGCAUUCUGUUAUUGAAACAUAGGUUUUAAAAUGAUCAUCGACAUUUAAUCAUCACCUUGGAAACAUGGUGUAUAAACGAAUACACACUCUGUCAUACUUUUAAUAUCUUGGUUAUUGGAAGUUAUCAACAACAUAUUUGUGGACUGCUUGUUCACUUUGAUUGUUUCUCCUAUUCAUGUUAGUUAUUAUUCUAAAGCCUAUGUUUACAUUAAUAUUAAGCGUGAUAACCAUAAAGAAAAGGUAUCUAAUAGCUUAAUGAACUUUACAUGUUGCAUUUGACUUUUCUUUUGAGAUGUCUUAGGGGUAUCAUAUCUUCAUUAAUCAUUUAAGCAUCGCCUUGGAAACAUGGAGUAAAAACGAAUAGGCGCUCUGUCAUACUUUUAAUAUCCUGGGUAUUGCAGGUUGGCAACAGCAUAUUGGUCGACUGCUUGUUCAGUUUGAUUGUACUUCCCAUUCAUGUUAGUUAUUAUUCUAAAGCCUAUGCUUACAUAAAUAUUAAGCAUAAUAACCAUAAAGAAAAGGCAUCUAAUAGCUUAAUGAAUUUUACAUCUUAUAUUUGACUUUCCUUUUGAGAUAUCUUAGGGAUAUCAUAUCUUCAUUGAUCUUGAUAUUAAAUAAUUGAUUUCAUUCCGGGGCAUUAUAAUUAUUGGUGCCUUUUUUUUUGUAACAGUUUGAAUUUUUUUUAACAGGUUGGUAAUGAGAGACUAACCUUGUGCAACGUAGGAUCAAGUAAAAGCAACUCGUCUAUCGUUUUUGGUUCAGAAUCAGCACCAAUAACAUGCCCCGUAUACAUGUCAGUUAAGCUGGGCAAGAUCCGAAUAGGUGAUUUUAGAUGCUCAAACCUAUUUUUUGCAUGUUUUGGGUGAGAAAGAUUAAACUAAGAAAUAUAAAUGUAAAAGUUCUUAAAGAAGGGUUGUUUAUUUACCUGCGCUUGUAUUCAGAGAGUUGUGGAAUGUCCGGAUUGAAAAUAUAAAUGGUUGAUCCUGUGCUUCCAAGAACAGGCUUUCCUAUAAAUAAAAAGAGAAUAAUGAACAAAUUUAAACUUUAAGCAGUUUAAUAAAGCAUGUCGAGGUAUGACCUUGGUAUUGUUUAGCUUUGAGGCCUGUCAAAGCAACAAACACGGGUGGCAAUAACGAUUGUAUUCCACUGUCCUCAAAAUUUGUCGCAGUCUCUCCCCAUAAGGUGAUUCUCACUGUUUCACCCCUGUAAAUAAUUAAGAAGGUGUCAGUCAGUUAUACGUUACGCCUACGGUGUCAUAUGUGAAAAUUGUAAUCAAAGUUUAACGCAUAUAGAAAUUACCUGAUAUUUUGGAGGUUAAGAUUUCUCUUCUUUGCAAUUCUUGUGCGUUGGAUGGUUACCUCUUCAAUCGGCUGCACAGCCUUCAAGCAACCAAAUAUAUCUAUAGACGAUGUUCAUUAGCGAGAAUGAGUGUGCACCAAAGCCAACAAAAAAAUUUAAAUGAUUCUUAAAAAAAAAAAAAAGGCCUAUUAGCUCAGCUGGUUAGAGCGUCGUGCUAAUAACGCGAAGGUCGCAGGUUCGAGACCUGCAUGGGCCAUUUCUCCCCUUUUCAAAAGAGUGAGAAAAAAGAACAAGACUUGGAAGUGCCCAAGGACUAGAUGGUGGAAUCUAAAAGAAGAAAAACAAGCCAUUUUCAAAGAGAAAAUAAUCACUCAGUGUGUGUGGGAUAGAGAGGGGGAAGCUAACCAAAUGUGGGAUUCCAUGGCUAGUUGUAUCCGAAAAGUAGCAAAAGAGGUAUUAGGAGAGUCCAAGGGCUUUGCCCCACACCAAAAGGAAUCUUGGUGGUGGAAUGAGGAGGUACAAACAAAGGUGAAGGCUAAGAAGGAAUGUUGUAAAGCCUUAUACAAGGAUAGGACCGAUGAAAAUGGUGAAAGGUAUAGAAAAGCGAAGCAAGAGGCGAAGAAAGCUGUGAGAGAAGCUAAGUUAGCGGCUUAUGACGAUAUGUAUAAACGACUAGAUACCAAAGAAGGAGAGUUGGAUAUCUAUAAACUAGCUAGAGCAAGGGAAAAGAAGACAAGAGACCUAAACCAAGUGAGGUGCAUCAAGGAUGAGGAUGGAAAGGUUCUUGCUACAGAGAACGCGGUUAAAGACAGAUGGAAAGGUUAUUUUCAUAAUCUUUUCAAUGAAGGACAUGAAAUGAGUGCUUCUUUAGGGGAGUUGAGUAACUCAGAAGAGUGUAGAAACUACUCUUUUUUAUCGUAGAAUCCGGAAGGAAGAAGUGGUUGUAGCUUUGAAGAAGAUGAAGCAUAGAAAAAACAGUAGGCCCAGACGAUAUACCAAUCGAAGUGUGGAAAGUUUUGGGAGAGACAGGUAUAACAUGGCUCACUGACCUUUUCAAUAGGAUUUUGAAAACGAAGAAGAUGCCAAAUGAGUGGCGAACGAGCACUUUGGUGCCUAUCUACAAGAAUAAGGGUGAUGUACAAAAUUGCAUGAACUAUAGGGGUAUUAAGCUAAUGAGUCAUACAAUGAAGCUCUGGGAGAGAGUCAUUGAGCAUAGAUUGAGGCAAGAGACACGGGUUUCGGACAACCAAUUCGGGUUCAUGCCAGGGCGCUCAACCAUGGAGGCAAUCUAUCUCUUACGAAGAUUGAUGGAAAGAUAUAGAGAUGGGAAAAAGGAUUUACACAUGGUCUUUAUAGAUUUGGAAAAAAAGCGUAUGAUAGGGUCCCAAGAGACAUUCUUUGGAGGAUUUUAGAGAAGAAAGGAGUACGAGUAGCAUAUAUCCAAGCUAUACAGGAUAUGUAUGAAGGAGCAAAGACUGCCGUAAGAACUCAUGAAGGACAAACCGAAAGCUUUCCCAUAACUGUAGGAUUACAUCAAGGCUCAUCCUUAAGUCCUUACCUUUUUGCGUUGGCAAUGGAUGAGUUAACAGGACAUAUUCAAGAUGAUAUUCCUUGGUGUAUGCUUUUCGCAGACGAUAUAGUGUUGAUAGAUGAAACUCAAGAAGGGGUAAAUGCAAAGCUUAACCUUUGGAGAUAAGUGUUGGAAUCUAAAGGUCUUCGCCUAAGCCGAUCAAAGAUAGAAUAUAUGGAGUGAAAGUUCAGUGCAAAUGGAGGCCAAAACGAGUUAGGGGUGAGGAUCGGAGAUCAAGAAAUACCAAAGAGCGACCGUUUUCGUUACCUAGGAUCUAUCUUGCAAAAGAACGGAGAAUUAGAUGGAGAUCUCAACCAUAGAAUACAAGCUGGAUGGAUGAAGUGGAAGAGUGCAUCCGGCGUGUUGUGUGACCGCCGUAUGCCACUGAAGCUCAAGGAAAAAUUUUAUAGGACACAAUAAGGCCGGCGAUGCUGUAUGGCACAGAAUGUUGGGCGGUGAAGCAUCAACACGUACACAAAAUGGGUGUAGCGGAGAUGAGGAUGCUUCGUUGGAUGUGUGGGCACACGAGAAAGGAUAAGAUUAGGAAUGAGGAUAUCCGGGGUAAAGUAGGAGUAGCCGAAAUUGAAGGAAAGAUGAGAGAAAAUCGGUUACGGUGGUUUGGACAUGUGCAAAGAAGGCCUACUGACGCUCCGAUUCGAAGAUUCGAUUAUGGGACAGAGGUUCAGGGCCGAAGGGGUAGAGGAAGACCCAGGAAAACUUUGAGAGAUACCCUAAGAAAAGACUUAGAGUACUUGGAUCUAACGGAGGACAUGACACAGGACAGAACACAAUGGCGUUCUAAGAUUCAUAUAGCCGAUCCCACUCAGUGACUUGGAUUUUCCAAGUCUCCAACCGAGAAGUUGUCCUCGCUCGGGAAAUUAAGGGAACACUACCUCAACCUACAUGCUCCACUCACAAAGCUCCAACAUAUAAGCUUCAACAAAAGAAAAUUCAAAGAACUUAGCGAAUAAGGCUUUGGUGAUUUAACACAAUACGUUGAAAUGAAGGAAAGCUUAUUUAUUGAUAUCCCCGAUAAAUUACAAAUAUGUACAUAUACUUGAGUCAAAAUAAACAAACAAGAGGGAGCCUUCACAAAGGUUGCUUAGGAGAAGUCUCGGCAGUCGGUAGAGCCCCAGAAAGAGAAGGCACCGGAGGGGGAUCAUUCGGAGCCUCAGUACUGGACAGAACCCUAGAAGGAGGAGGCAUCAGAGGUUGAUCAUUUGGAGCUUCAUUACGCGGUACAGCCCCAGAAGACGAAGGCAAUAAAUGCCUUUGGAACAAACCCACAAAUCUCUGAUGAUCAAGUAAAACCUGACCAUCAGAUUCCUUCAUCUGGUCAAGCUUCCUCUUCAUGUUUGUAGCAUAGUCAUGUGCGAGCCGGUGCAACUGUUUAUUCUUAUGCUUGAGCCCUCUAAUCUCCUGUUUGAGACUCAUCACUUCAGCCACCAAUGAUUCAACUUGGCGGGUUCGAGCAAAUAGGCGUUGGGCCAUAUUAGACACAGAACCUGCACACUGAACACUAAGAGCCAGAGAAUCCUUAACAGCCAACUCAUUAGACCGUUUGGAAAGUAGUCUGUUAUUUUUGGGAGUGAGAAGGUUCCUGGCCACUACCGCAGCGGUCAUAUCAUUCUUCAUCACGGAAUCCCCAACGGUAAGAGGACCAGUAGGGGAGACGAAGGAUGGGCGCCAUAUGUUGUCUGGAGAAGGCGGGGCUGCCUCUUCAACAAGGUUCAAGUCAAAACGACGGUCGGAAGGGCCAGACAUUUUCAAAUGUGUAGAAGAGAGAAGAGGUCGGACAAAUCAAGAUCUUAGAAGUGCAAGAAUGGAGCUUCUACUGGUGGAUAUUCAAGUGUGCUUUGGAACUUAAUGUCAGCCUCUGUAAAAAUCUGCACUCGACGAAGCUUCAGAAAUCGAAGAGGCGUUUGCUUUCUCAAAAGCUGGGCUGCUCAGAGACCACGAGGGUCGAUCUCAGAAAUCGAAGAGGCAUUUGCUUUCUCAAAAGCUGGGCUACUCAAAGACCAUGAAGGCCGAUCUCAGAAAUCGAAGAGGUUUGCUUUCUCAAAAGCUGGGCUGCUCAGAGACCACGAGGGCCGAUCUCAGAAAUCGAAAAGGUUUGCUUUCUCAAAAGCUGGGCUGCUCAGAGACCACGAGGGCCGAUCUCAGAAAUCGAAGAGGCACCUACUUUUCCAGCCUUGUCAGCACCUGUCACAUGCACACUCAGCUUUGCGGAAAUUAUGGGCAUUCUGUCGAAGAUUUCUGGCGAAGUAGAAAGCACAUGAAUCGUACUGUUCAAUCACCCAUUUCCCACACGCAACAGUAGCUCAUGGGUACCACAUAUAACUUUGCCAAAGUUCUCUGACAAAGUUGAGACUACUUUUCCAGCCUUGUCAGCACCUGUCACACGCACACUCAGCUUUGCGGAAAUUAUGAGCAUUCUGUCGAAGAUUUCUGGCGAAGUAGAAAGCACAUGAAUCGUACUGUUCAAUCACCCACUUCCCACACGCAACAGUAGCUCAUGGGUACCAUAUAUAACUUUGCCAAAGUUCUCUGACAAAGUCGAGACACGUGAAGCUUGCAACUCUCACUACAUCGCUCUGACCAAGAAGGGUAAAAGAAUAGCAAAGAAACAACACUAACAAAGUUUAGACACAUAAAUUUUGAAGGCCUAGCUACCAUAUUAUUACCCACAAGGGUAAAGGAACAGUACCACUGCUGGAUAAUUGGAAAGUCCCGGUGUGUCAACCUUUGUGCUUCAUGGCAAGGUAGACUAGCAAACAUGCCCAACCUUUACUCACAUUCGAGAAAACACUCCCAACAAGAUUGCUUGCCCCAAAAUCGAAGAGGCAUCGCCCUCCGAAUCUCAAGAGCCAGACUCCCAACAUGAUUACUUUCUAAAAAAUCGAAGAGAGGGUAAAGGAACAGUACCACUGCUGGAUAAUUUGAAAGUCCCUCUGUGUCAACCUCUGUGCUUCGUGGCAAGGUAGACUAGCAAACAUGCCCAACCUUUACUCACAUUCGAGAAAACACCCCCAACAAGAUUGCUUGCUCCAAAAUCGAAGAGGCACCGCCCUCCGAAUCUCGAGAGCCAGACUCCUAACAUGAUUACUUUCUCAAAAAUCGAAGAGAGGGUAAAGGAACAGUACCACUGCUGGAUAAUUGGAAAGUCCCUGUGUGUCAACCUCUGUGCUUCGUGGCAAGGUAGACUAGCAAACAUGCCCAACCUUUACUCAUAUUCGAGAAAACACUCCCAACAAGAUUGCUUGCUCCAAAAUCGAAGAGGCACCGCCCUCCGAAUCUCGAGAGCCAGACUCCCAACAUGAUUACUUUCUCAAAAAUCGAAGACACCGCUAUCCGAAUCUCGAGAGCCAGACCCCCAACAUGAUUGCUUUCUCAAAAAUCGAAGAGGCAUCGUUCUCCGAAUCUCGAGAGCCAGAUCCCCGACAGGAUUGCUUGUUCGAAAACCGAAGAGGCACCACUUUCCCAACUUCAAGAGCCGGAUCUCCUUGGAUAAAGCUUGUCUGUAAUCUUCACACGCAACAUCAGCUUUCCAGAUACCACAGACCACUUUUUCAAAGUGCUCUGACAGAGUUAAAACUUGUGAAGCUGGCAGCUCUCACUACCGUGCUAUGACCAAGCAGGGUAAAGGAAUAGCAUUAUUACUUGAUGUUAGGGAGACUCCUAUAUAUAUCGACCUCCAUCCCCAACGGACAGGCAGACCUGUAAAAAUGCUCAACCCUUCCUCUUAUCUGAGAGGGCACUCCCAACGAAGCCUUUCGAAAUAUUCAGCUUUCUUUCCCCCCGAUAAUACCUCUGUAAACAAGCUAUACUAGAGCAAGAAUAUCUCAUAUCAUCAGGGUUAAAAGCAAGAGUAUCCCAUAUCAUGCUUUUUCCCUGUCUUUUCCUUUGGCCUUGUUCUUACCUGCAAGACAAGGAAAAAGAGAGCAAUCAGUCAGCACUUGGAAUCAAGCUUCCAGCCAGGAACUGACUGCCUAGAACCCCUUACCCUGGCAUUGCUCUCGAGUACUCAUCUUCAACAUCUUAUGCUUCCGGGAAGAUACCGCAUCUUCCUGAGGAACAGAUAGGGCAAGUGAGAAGGAUACAAGGAAGCAUGUGGAGACAAGCGUAACAGCACACGUGCCGAUACAUCCACUACUCUGUCAAAAGCAAAAGUAUCCCAUAUCAGCAGGGUCGAACGUACUCUAGAUUUGAUGGACUUGUUUUGACCCUCAAAUUCUUCAGUCGGCCUUAUACUUUGGAGGAAACCAGAAAACCCUCCAGCCCAGUUCAAGAAUAAGCCUGUGGAAAGUUACUUCUUCAAAAGCAAAAGUAUCCCAUAUCAUCUCUUCUCAUUUUUCUUCUCUUUAUCCUUCAUGCUGCUUGCAAGAUAGGGAGAAUGUGAACAAUCAGCCGGAGCUCUGAUUGCUUACCUUGUCUGUUACCUCUUUCAGCAGAUCCCCUAGCUCGGCGACUUGGGGGACUCCUACUACAUGGUUUGUAUCGCGCUUGACCAAGCCUGAAACUACAAGUAAGCUUCAAGUGACAUUGAUACAUUACCUUGUGCAUCUCCACCAGUUACAGAUACCACCCCUGGAUGGAGGAAGAGUACUUCCAGAGAAGAUUCCACAUCUACCUAUGAGACAGAUAAGGAAAGUCAAGACGAUACCACACUCCAGUACUUAGAAGUUUCGUGGUUACGAGAUCAUUCUCCCACAAUAUUUCCUAAUGUCAUUUGUACUAAAUCAUUCACUUGUACUCCCUAAAGGAGAGCUUGAACCUAUGUACUUGUGUAAACCCUUCACAAUUAAUGAGAACUCCUUUAUUCCGUGGACGUAGCCAAUCUGGGUGAACCACGUACAUCUUGUGUUUGCUUUCCUAUCUCUAUCCAUUUAUAUACUUAUCCACACUAAUGACCGGAGCAAUCUAGCGAAGAUCACAAAAAGUGACCGUUUUCGCUACCUAGGAUCUAUCUUGCAAGAGAACGGAGAAUUAGAUGGAGAUCUCAACCAUAGAAUACAAGCUGGAUGGAUGAAGUGUAAGAGUGUAUCCGGUGUGUUGUGUGAUCGUCGUAGGCCACUGAAGCUCAAGGGAAAAUUUUAUAGGACGGCAAUAAGGCCAACGAUGUUGUAUGGCACAGAAUCUUGGGCGGUGAAGCAUCAACACGUACACAAAAUGGGUGUAGCGGAGAUGAGGAUGCUUCGUGGGAUGUAUGGGCACACGAGAAAGGAUAAGAUUGGGAAUGAAGAUAUCCAAGGUAAAGUAGGAGUAGCCAAAAUUGAAGGAAAUAUGAAAGAAAAUCGGUUCUGGUGGUUUGGACAUGUGCAAAGAAGGCCUACUGACGCUCCGGUUCGAAAAUGUGACUACGGGACAGAAGUUCAGGGCCGAAGGGGUAGAGGAAGACCUAGGAAAACUUUGGAAGAGACCCUAAGAAAAGACUUGAUUACUUGGAUCUAACGGAGGACAUGACACAAAACCGAGCGCAAUGGCGUUCUAGGAUUCAUAUAGCCGACCCCACUUAGUGGGAAAAGGCUUUGUUGUUGUUGUUGUUGUUGUUGAUAUUUUGGAGUGGCGCUUAAGAGUAAAUUUGUUACCUGUAAGUUCAACAUCCCUAUCGAUUCUUUCGUAAAGCUGCUCAAGCUCAAUCAAAUUGAACCAAUGCAUCGGGAUUUCCUGGCUUGUUUUGUCAAUAGGAACGAUUGUGGUUUUGCUGUUCAAUUCAAUUAUGGCAGCAUGAGGGACAACCUUGUUUGAUGUCCUGUUGUGAACAACACGAAAUUUGUUGAUUUCGUAUGCUUCACCAACCCUUAGAUGGUUAAAAAAAUAUUGCAUGUCUCGACUGUUAAUGGUUGCAUGAACCGCAUCCCCCUUUUAGAAGAAGAAAAAUAAAAUCAGAUAGUAUACUAAUUGAGCAGGAGAACAUUUAACGCAAAAGGUUAUGGAACCACGUAAGAAGUAAGCGAAGCAUAGUGGUUCCUAUAGAGAUAACAUGUAAGAUCAUAUGGAAGAUAAUAGAGAAGAUUACUUUAAGAAUGAAAUUCGCAGCAAUUGAAGCAACUUUGUAAAUAUAUAUUUAGUUUCAUUUGUAUAGGUAGGAAAAAAGAAGAAAAUAAAUUAAGGAAAAGAAUAGUUGGUAGUUGAUACUCAGCUUCGUUUGUUCAGUUAAAAAAUCUUCCUCAAAAAUAACAAAAUAUAAUCUCUCUAGUGAAAUAUAAAGAGAGCCGAACUGUGUAUGGUGCAACAUGAAUAUUUUUGUUAAUAAUGCAAUUUAUCUUAAGCCAUGCUAUUAUACGGAAAAAAUGGAAUUUUGAUUUGUUGUCCACCUGCAUGAACUGGUUAAAUGCAGCCUCUAAAUGAAUGUCAAGGCCUAACAUUGAAUCUAGCAAAACAAUUCGCCAAAUAUUAAUUAUGCAGAAAUGAUGUAUAAUUGUGUAGAGGAUUUGGUUCAUGAACUUUAAGAUAAGUUUGAUCACAAAAGUGAGUUGUAAUAAUUGUGUGGACAUUUUGAUACACGAAAAUAGUAGUGUUUGACGAUAGGUUAAAAGGUGUAAGAAUCUUACUUGUUUAUCAACGAAUACACAAUCAAGACUUGUUGGUUGAGGAUCAUUUCCGAUGCUCUUCGUGACCCAUAUCCUACAAACCCUGAUCUGGAGUUUGUUUCCUGGUUGGUACGGCGUCAGAAAACUAAUUGGCAUCACAUCCAUUAAUCUAGCAAAAGAUGAAAAAUUUAGAACCAAAUUAAAUUCAACAUUGAAUAGGGUGAUUUAUCAAAGAAAUGGUGGAGCCAUGUUUACAAACAAAAAAAAAUAACAAAGGGACAAAAUGUGAACAUAAACGUAUACCUGUAUGUAAAUGUUUCAAUACAUCUUUAUAAACAAUGUUUUUUGUAUAACCGUAAGGCAUGUCACUAUUGUGAGCAAUAACAAUUUUGAGACCCUUUUUUGAGGUGACCCUGGAUAGCGCAACAUAGAGUUGUCCAUGAGAAAAAACAGUCUGCGAUAGAAACAAACCAACAAUUUUCAAGGAUUGUCCUUGACUUUUGUUAAUUGUCAUUGCAUAACAAAUUUUUAGAGGGAAUUGUCGUCUUCGCACAGUAAAAGGAUAUUUAUGCUGAGAUGAUUCAGUAAUGAUCCUGGGGAUAUAAACUCUUUCGCCAAUGUUGCUUCCCGUCAUGAUUUUUGCUUGUACAACUCUGUCGUUCAAUUGUGUUACAACCAAUCGUGUUCCAUUACACAGCCCUUGACUUUGAUUUAAAUUUCUGAUCAACAUCACUGGGGCACCAACUUUCAAAGAUAACUUGUGGUGCGGCAAACCAGGUAAAUCAAGUUGGUUUAGAAAUUCUAUUGGAUAAAGCAUAUCUAAAUUUUCAGAAUUUUCUGUUACAGAAGACACCGAAUCAAAACUGAGAUAAGUACGACUUUCGCCAGGUACUAUACCCAACACAAAAUCGUUGAUUUCAGUUGCUGUAUCAUUUCGUGGCGUCACAAUAGCUCUUUCUUUCAGAUAUGAGACAUCUCGGAAAUUUGUUUUGAAAUUUGUAUACACAGCUGAAACCAUGGCUUUGAUGGGAUCUUCAUCAAAAUGGAUAAGGAAUUGGUUUGGAAAUUCGAUCCAAGAGCUUUCUUCAUCAGUUGAAGAUAUAGAUCUGGCAACAGUACCAUUUCCAAUAUCUAGUAUCCACUUUGCAAAAUCAGCGAGUUCUUUUUUUUCCACUUCGUUCAGACCUGUUUUUGAAAGCCUCAUGUUUUGCUUAAGGAAAAAUAUAGUUAAAUAGGACCAAAGGUAUGAACUCGUAAAUGAAGCUUGAACGAUGUCAGCAACACUUCCGCUUGGAACAACAGGAAGAAUUUGCCUGAAAUCACCUCCGAAAAGAAUUGGUUUACCUCUAAAUGGCAAAUUGUCAAAGCCUGGUUUUGAUCCUUUAAGAACAUUACGAAGGGAUCUAUCUAGAGUUUCAAAACACCGUUUAUGAUUCAUGGGGGCUUCAUCCCAAACAAUAAGAGUAGCGUCAGUGAUUAGUUUUGCAAGAUGAGUCCCUUUUUUAAUUUCACUAACCGAACAAUCAGUGAUGUUGAUAGGAAUUUUAAAUCUAGAGUGAGCCGUCCUUCCACCAGGAAGCAAGAUGGAGGCAAUUCCAGAUGAAGCCACCGCUAAAACAAUUUGAUUUUGGGAUCUAAUUCUAGUUAUGAUGGUGUUCCACAAAAAAGUCUUGCAUGUUCCACCAUGACCAUGCACAAAAAAUAGGCCAGAUCUAUUGUUGUCAAUCGUCUCCAUGACGUUGUCAUAAACUAAUUUUUGCUCCUUGUUUAAUUGGGCAAUCAGGAGUGAGUGCUCUUGUUUUAGUGAGUUAACAUCAUAAUUUAACUCUUCUCUCAAACUCCUAGCUUUAAGUCUAUCCAUCAUUAGAUUAUUUGGUUGUGGUAGGUGAUGCUUUGAUAGAGAACUAUUUGAAGCUGUAAACAACUUUUCUAACUCGUACAAAAGCGAAUUUCUAAGUUCAUCCUGAUAUUUAGAAAGAUCUUGUAGCCCAAAAACGUUAUGCAUGUUCUUGGAAAUGUCAUCGCACAUGGUUUUCCAAUGUGCUUCAAACAAAGCUAAUGGAUCAGUAACAUCACAAAAGAGUACCAAUGUGACAAACAAUUGUCUCAAUUGGAAAGAUGAUGCAGUGAUAACUGCUUCUAACAUAGCGCUAUUCCAUUCCCUAUCAUCUCCCAAUAAACCAAGGGACAUGCAUGCAGCUUGGAAUGUGGGUUCAAGAACCUCUUUGACGGUUUUUAAAUGGUCAAAACUAAAGAUGUCUUUCUGGUAGUUUAGCAGCAACCUCAAAUAGUAUAAUUCACCAGCAGCAGGGUGAACAUACGCAACCCUACCUAAAGAUCUGCCUUGUUUUCUACGGCUCCAUUGUUUCUCAUCAUUUUUCCAAACAUACUUUGUCAGAAAUUCAACAUAAGAUAACUUAUGUGCAUCAGGGUCUUGGACAUUGGUUUCAAACCAUUGCGUUAACAUUGUUCUUUCGAGAUUAGGGUGGUUGAUAACAUAGUUCAGAUCAUCGGUCUCUCUAAAAACAACGUUUUGGUCAGAUGGAAGGUGUACAGACAAUCUUUCAACCGAUGGUUCCCUAAAAUGAAUGUGAAACUGUAACAAUCUCCAAACAGCUUCGUAAGGGCAUAAAUAUUACAAUUUAGAUAAGCCACAACCUAAUCAAACUUUUCAUCUUCAAAAACAACUCUAGCCCGAUCAACACCUUUAGUUAUGUACUUAAAAAGAUACUUGAUGAGUGUUGAUUGGCAGCAUGAUUCAACAUUGAUAUGCGCUUGAUAAUUCAAUAAUAGCUCACGAUUAUAAGGGACAACAAAUGCGUUAUCAAGCUUGAUUCCAUUUUUUAGAACAAACAAAUUUUCUUUAUCCCGACGCUUAUAUGCAACAAAACCAUCAUCAGAAAAAGUGGUUUCACUUGUGAAAGGUUUUGGAAAAUUUUUUGAACAUUUGUUUUCUUUCAUGCAUGGUGAAAAUCGAUUUGCAAGACCACAUGGCCCAUGGAUCAUGUAUUGUGAAACUGCAUCGUACCCAACUUUGUCAACAUCUGCAUCAGGAAUCUCAGCCGAAAUGAUAGAAUCAACAUCGUAGGGAGAAUGACAUUUAUAAUGUUUGUUCACCCAGACCAAGAUAUGACAAUGAGGAAGACCCUGUUUUUGGAACUCCACCGUGUAAAUCACUGUUUUUAAAUAAAGAAUGCAAAGACAUCAAAACAAAACACUUUAGAUAUGUAAUGAUUAGAUAGAUAAACAAAGAAAGGGAAAAUUUUGGCGAAGAGCGAUUAACUAACCUGAUUCAACAUCGCCAAAAGGUUUCCCUGAUUUGAUGAAUUUAAUCAUAUGGUUAAGCUUUGCUUUAAAAAUUCGGGAGACUAUAUCAGGCCUACAACCAGGUUUAUCACGUAGAUCUUCAAUAAUUUCAGGUCAUUUAGCAUUGCAGGUGAAAGUGAUAAAUAAAUCAGGAUUUCCAAAGUGACGGCAUAUGGCCAUAGCAUCCUGAUAAUUAUUUAUCAUAUAUCUAACGCUACCAGUAAACGAAGUUGGCAAAAUGACUCUCUUGCCAACACCAGAACUGCUUGUAUUUCCUGCUUUGAGUGCUUCAUGAAUUGCUUUAAGAUUUUCUGUUCUAAAAGAAUCUUGAUUUGCCCUAAUAAAAUCUAACCUAUCUUCUUCAAGCGUGGCAUAUGCAUCAACUAAAUAUUGUUGAAACAGUCUACCACCUUUCAAUAGGGUGUCAUUUUGUCCUGGUCUAUCCUGAAUUUGAUAACCUAGAAACGCUCUCAGUGAUACUCCCCCAAUUUUUGGUUUUUUCCCUUUAUAAUCUGGAUUCCAAGGAAGGCCUUUCUUAUACCCAUCUUCACCGUAGGGGAAAAGAAGAGGGUAUUGUAGUGCCAUGUACUUAGGAUGUAACUUUGUGAUUCUUUGUAGGCCAUGCGUCCUAUGCUCCACAAUGAUAUCUCUUUCAGUGUGGAAUUCGCCGAUAUCCCCAACUAUCAAGCCACCUAUCUCGUCACACGCCGGCAAAUUAUAUUGUGCAUCAUGGUUAGCCUGUGCAUCGUAUAAAUGCAAACGUAAAUGACUUCCUUCAUCAAUCAUAUCUCUAGCGAGCCUAAAAAGCUUAACAACCUCAUUACACUCGUCUAGCAUUUUAAUGAGGCCAUCAACAACAUGAUGGUCGAGUUUUUCAACCGUUUCUGAUCCACUAAAACAACCAAUACGAUUACUGACUUCAUUUUGAGUAUCAUGAAUGUAUAGUUGUGCAAAUUUAGGAUUUUCGCCCUCCAGAGGCAAUAAAGAACCCAUCAAAUGAUGCACUUGACCAUUAAUUUUAAAAACAUAAGGACCCCGACCCUUGUUGAUCGAUGCAUCAACUUUGGCUCCCAUUGAUGUUAAUGCCAUCAUUGAAUUAUAUGAUCUAAUAUUUGUUUUAAAUUGCAAGUUGUUUCGAGAAUUUUUGGGAUUCAACAAAUCAUCCAAAUAAGGAGGGGUGGGUUUAACGCGUGGGAAUUUUACUUUUUGACUCAUGCAACAGGUGGUGAACUGCAAGGUAGAAGAUGAAGCAUUCUUCGCAGACUGUUCUGUAGACCAAAACAGAGCACCGCAAUAUUGACAUUGACAAUUUCUUAAGCCAAAAUCAACAUAUUCUGGAUCAAUCCCUAUAAAAACAAAGAUUAACAGAAGCAUUCAUCAAAUCGACAACCUUAAGUUAACUGAUGGAGGAAACUUAACUUUUGAAAUUAGUAAGAAUGAGAAUAGAGUUAUGUUGAAAGAUUGCAUACUUUUUCUUUUUUUUUGAUAGUUGGCUUGUCCGGUUAUUAGCGGGUUCAAGCCAGAAUGAUUGGUUUGAGCAUGAAUGGCUAACAAACUGUGCACAUUGGCACGAUCAGCAAGGAAAACCGGUACAGAAAUCUGAUGAGAACUUGUCCCAGGUUCGAAAUGUGGGUUAAAAACACCACGGAUGGGAAUAUUUUGUUUUAAAGCUGAUGCAAAUGUUUGGGGAGGGCUGUCUUGGCUGUUCAAAGAUGUUGAAACAUCAUUAUCUUGAUCGUCGUAAGCGGUGGGAACAUCUUGCAACUCUGAAUUAUUGAGAUCACCAUCCGCAACAACCGCAUCCAAAUAGGCACGUUGAAUUUCAACGGCCCUUCUAGGUCGCCUUAUUCGUUUAGACAUAAAACUAUACAAAGUGAAAAAAAAACAGAAACAGUAGCGGUUCACUCUUUAAUAAAAGCAACACAUCAACGAAAGAAACCAUCUAAACCAAAUGAAAUUAGCAGCGAGAUAUAACCCAUUAAAGCAAGAGGUCAUUGAAAACACAAACACAUUCUAAACAUAACAGUAAAAACACAAUCAUAAUGAGAUUAGAUUAGAACAAAGAAUAGAGAAACUUAAUAUGCGGCUGUCUUCUUGAACAGCAUUGUUUCCCGUUGAAAUGGUAAAAUAUAUGAAUAAAGCAUGCAACGAUUGCUAAAAAACAUAGCGAUAAAGAAGACCAACAUAAAGAUCAAACAACAAAGCAACCAUAAGGUCUCAAAAGAGCAAACAGAAAUGAAGAAGGUAAUGUUCCUUAAAGGUGCAGAAAACUAACCGAUAUAGAGACGGGAUUGUAGCUGGGCACAAAUCCUAGUGAGCAGUAAUGCAAGAUUGUAACGAUUAAAACAAAAGUUGUAGAACCUACAAAAAGGAAGAGAAAAUAUAAACGCAUAUAUAAUUGGAACGACGUAUGUUUUAAUACUUUAAAGAAAUGACAUGCAUAAAAAGCCUUUAGGUUAGCAAAAGCUUUUAGGUUAGCAAAAAAAAAAAUGCAUUGCUUGAAAUAGAGAUGAUCAGGAUUUAAAACGUUUAAAUUUUGUCCUAAGUUGACUAAUUAGAUGCAAAAGUGAGACAGCAUGAACAAUUUAACACCGAGAAAGACUAACAAUACUAAAGCACAAUCGAGCUAACAAUAAAAAAAACAUAUAAUGCAAAAGAAUAACAACAGGGCAAAACACUUUUGGUUGAUCUUACAACAGGCUAACAGGAUAAGAUAAAUCACCAGAUAUUGCAACCAUGACAAAGUCCGGAAGGCAAGAUAAUGGACUUUUGCUCUAGUUAAAAAAAUAUUAGCAUGUGUUACAAGCAAUGUAAUGUUGUGAUGUAGUUUCAUUAUUUUUCACAAAGCUCUCAAUUUGGACUCUUAUGAAAUGUUGAGUUUGAUACAAAUUAUUAAUGAUAGAAAUACUCUAGCAUGUUUUGAGUUUAAGCGCAUGACUUAACGAUGCCAGCUCAUCUAUAGAUUGACCAAUUGUAAUUAGCUUCAUGACGCAGUUUUUAUAUACUUACACGAAUAAAAACCGACAAAGCAUGUAAAAUCAAAUUGAUAGUAAAAGAAUUAGGUAAAUCUAUUCAACAACUACUAAUCUAAUUGUAAAGUGAGAUAUGCGUUUUUCUAGGUUUAAUAAAAGCACCAAAGUCAAAGGUUUUUAUAUGCGUUAUGAGAAAAAUUCAUUACGGCACCAAAAAUCGUUGCUCAAAGCAAAGGCAAAAAAAAGCAAGAGCCACACAACUGAUGCUCUUCAUCAUCGUGGGGUAAAACUCUAGCUAAAGAACAUGCCGCAUCUACUUGGGAGAUAGGCAAGGCAGGAGAAGAUACCACUCCAGCAUACGAACAAAUACUGGUAGAGAAGAUACCGUAUCUGUUUGGGGGAAAAGUGGAGAAGCCACCAUUUCUGCCUGGGAGACAAGUAAAGCAAGUGAAAAUGAUACACCAGCCGUGGUGAUUUUGAACAAUAUGCUCCAGGAUCAAAUGAUUCAGGUGUUGAAUCCUCGUAAAUGUGGAUAUGAGAUCCAUAGGCAUUUGAAUAGAACACUAAUGGGGCGGGUCGUGUGGAAUUAUGAUGUGUUUGUAGUACUAUUUACAAAUACAAUGACACUUGUAGACCCUCCGGCUAUUUUUGAGUUCGUGUUGGUUUGUGUCCGUAGUCUGUAACGUAUGCAUUUAUAGUUUAAUCCAUAUAUUUUCACAUGCUGCUAUUAAAUUUUAAAGAUGGAGACAUGCAACAUGAAAGCUACAAUUAGAUCUCGAUCACAAAAUGGCAAAAAAAAAAAAUCCUAACCUAAACAUUUGUAUACUAAAACCCCAUUUAAGCAGCCAUUAACAUCUGAUUUAGUACUUCAGCGACUCACUAACCCGCCAUACCGUCAUGUCUCAUCCCCUCUCCACCACUGACUAAACAAACUAUAGGCGCAAUUGGAUAACAAAUCCACUCAAUUUUAGCAACCUCGCUACUUCAAUUGGCUUUGUUCAGCAUGAGACGAUAUAAGCAAAGGAAAAAGUCGAUGACAAGAGCAGCCAGCUCACUAUGAAAACUAAAACAUCAAGAUAGCAACGGCUUUAAAAGUGUAGAACCAGCAAAGAAGCAUCAGCUAAAAGAUCCUAUCAACAACAACAUAAAUGGCAUAAAAAAUAAAAGGAGAGAAAACAAAUCCCAGCACGAUAAGGUCAUUGCUAGGAAAAAUCAUUUAUCAGUGAGAUAGAAGUCUACCAAAAAGGUGCAAAAAAGACUAUGAAUAACAGUUUAUCCUUAAAAGAAUAUAACGGUCAGCAAAAUACAUUUAUCAGCAAGAUAGAAGUUGACCAAAAAGGUGCAAAAAAGAGUAUUAACAACAGUUUAUCCUUAAAACGGUUAAAGGCUUAUCUGUUUACAUUAUUGCCCUUAUGACCGAACAAAAAAAGUUUACAUUGCCCUUAUCUUAUCUAAAGACCCACCCCUUCUCUAGACAUUUAAAACUCCAAAGGCCGUUGCGGCGGAGGCAAGCAAGAGCAACAAAACUCCAACCUUUUUCCAGCUAGCAAACCUGUGGAUGCCAUUGGAAAACCCCAAAAAGCGUUGUGAAAGUGUUUUAUCGAGCGGAACUUUUUCUUUCGGCGGAUUACUACGAUUUGCAGGUGGAUACAUAGUAUGGACCACCAAUUUGUUUCGGUUUGCACCCCUACCAUAAACACGCAAACCCAUCCUUGUUUUUGCUAUUUUCACUGAUUUCUUUGUACCAGGUCCCGGGGCAGUGUCAGAAAAUCUCACUAAUGUCCCUCAAUUUUGUUCAUCGAUUCGAGCCUUAACCAGUUGCCUUAAAUUUUUGGCAAAAACUCCUCCUAGAAUCUGUUGUUCUCUUCGAUUGAUCUCUUGUACCAUUUUAUUUACCCUGAAUCAAAAUUUAAAUAUAGCGUCAAAAUUUCUGUUUUUUUUAAGUAUCUUUAAGCUUGUGAGUUGAAGAAUAACACCAUGAAAAACUUAACAACUCACAUUAAUAAAGUAAAAAUAUAAGAUUACCAAAAGUUACAUAUAAAUUAAAAAAAAACACAGUCAAAAAGCAUUUUGACAUUGUUUUAGAUCAAAUUUUGAAGUUGUAGCCGAUAAAGAAAAUACAUAACUUAAGUAUUAAUGAGUUAAUGAUACUUGUAGUUUUAAUGUUAAUAUCCAUGAAUUUUUCUGAACAUCUUAGUUGCAUUCAUGCAUUGUUAAAAGGUUACUCAUUUUCCUAAGUAUAGAAGUUGUGAAUUUUUUUUUUAAAAAUGUCUAGUUCGUUGAGAGAGCGCAGUUGUGAACAGCACAUGUUAAAGAACUUCGGGAGGAUGAGAUAGUUCACUAUUAGAAAACCUAACGAAAACACCAACCAACCAAUAACAGAAUCACAGACUGAAUUGUACAAACAAAAUUUUAAAAAAAACAAACAAACCAUCCAACCUCUGGACAAUGAGAGGAUUACAAAGACAACCAAGAAUGAGAGCAAAGCAGACAGCAGACAAAUAACAUAAAGCGAUCGAACCAAACAGUUAAUUAAAAAAGAAUCAUAAAGAUAAGAAGUCUGAAACGGAAAGAAUGGGAAAAGACCAUAUUAAGUUCAGGUGACAUAUGAAAGGCUUGAUUCAAAUGUGAUUUAAAUAUAAGCAAAAGAAUAGACGCAUAUCAUUUGUAUACACACACCACCAUCUGCAUAACCAACAACUUCAAUGAAUUUGCACAGAAUUCCAAACUCUAACCCUAAACCACACCCACCUUCUAAAAUCUCGAAAUAAUAGAAUGAAAGUGGAAAUUAAAUUUCAAAAACUCUCAUUUCCACAUCACAAUUAACCACUGCAACUAUAUAUUUUGCAACCAGAAAAACGAUAAUAGUUUCUUAUUUUAUACUUGUAUAAAUCUCUUAGGAGAAAUGGAGUUAAAAAUAAUAUAAAAUUAAAUGAAAACUUGAACAAAUAUUUCAAACCAACGAAAGUUUUUUUUCACCUGUCAACACAGAUUACAUAGUAAUGCAUUAGCUAAUUGUAACAAUUGGGAAAAAAAACCACUUGAACAACUCAAAAAAUCAGUUUGGUCCAAAGCUAUAACACAAAUCCUAAUUUGUUCUUUGCUGAUGUUGCUAAUUCUAUGAUCAAGAUGGGGAAUAUUAGUCCUCUUACAGGUACAACCCAAAGUAUGUGACGACUGGUGAGUGUGUGUGUGUAUGUGUGUGUAGUGAAGCGUUCACUUGAGAUGCUUAAGAUAAUAUUCGAGCAAACUCUGGCCUCAAGGUUUUACUUACCUCAAACCUAGCCUUGAUCUUCUCUUAAUUCACUGUUUAUUAACAUGGCUAAAAUCAUUUUCAUUUGCAAAUGCAAUAUGAUAUUAAGUGUGCUGCUACGUCUACUCAUAUGUUCUAUGUAGCAUAUGAAUUCUACUCAAUACCCUAACAUUACAGCGAAAAUUAAUUGAUAUUAUAAAGAAGUUGAGACUUUACCAAAGCAGCAAGGUAGCGGUUGCAAAAUUCAGAGGCUAAAGCUUUCACUUUGUUUCGAUUUGCAAAAUACCAAAAAAGAUAUUUACAAUCGAGGAAAGAAAACACAUUUCACUAAAGAAUGCACUUCAGCCAUUAUCAAAUUGUCAACUGAGCGAAACGCAUAAAACCAUACACAUAUACACAGCCGAAUUCUAUUCUUUUCAGCAGUUCCAGGUAAAAAAACCAAUCCCCCUACAGAAAAUCAACGAAAACAAACCCUGGUCGUAUGACUCUUAGGCCUAGUCAAAUGAUCCUAUUCCAUAUCCAAAUGGGUUUUCUUAAAAAAACCAAUCUCUCAGUUAUCCUUUUCUUUUCUUCUUUCAAAAAGUCAAAUCAAGACCAAAGUUUCACAGAUAAUGUAUACCCAGAAAAAUAAAAAGCAAAAUUAAUGUAUUUCAGAAAUGGACAUCGGGUGGAUGUUGAACCUUUAAAAUCUGUAAACCCAGCGAAUCAAAUGAGUAAAGAAAAAGAAAUCGAAAUCCUACUGUUCUGAAUUCAUUCUUCUGUUUGCUAAUCUAAAGAUGAAGGGAAAGUUAUCAUAAUUUCACUAUGCAAGAUUUCGCUAUGCCAGAUUUCAUUUGCAGGCACCAAAAACGUGCAAAAUUAAAGUUGGGGUGUUCAUACUCUAUUGGGUAUCUGAAGUCAUGUGAAAGCUCGGAAAUAACCAAACCAACAUCCAAUUUAGCACACACCUAAGAAAAACUUAAGCAAGAAAAUAUAUCCAACUGCUCAAUCAAUAAUCAAACACGGUAAUACAAUCAUUGAAAAAUUUUCAAUCAUUUAUCAAAAUUGAAUUAAUAAAAUUGAAUGUUGGGGUCAAAAUAAAAAAAAAUUAAUUUAAUUAUAGUUAACUAAUCAAGGUUAAGAUUAAUGAAAAAGCUUGAAAGUCUCAUAUCUAAAGUUACACCUCAGGCUGCAAGUAGAAUCAAAACCAUGGAAGAUCAAAACCACUAACCAUAAACACAGAGGUCUUCGUAGGCUUCAAAGAAAAGUCACCAACUCGAAAAACCCAAUCUCCUGAAAUCGAAAACAAAAUCAUAUUAACCAUCAUCACCCAGAAUCCAAAGCUCAACAGCUUGAAUCAACGUUCGAAUCAUAUAUGACAUCUUGUUUCAAUUUCCAUACAUGAGUUCAUUACAUGCACAAAUGCAGCGUUUGGUGUGUGAGAAAAACAAAAGAAAACCCUUUUGAAAAGGUUUUCUUUCAUUGAACAGAAAGAUGAAAGUACAUUUCACCACGACUAUGUUAAUUGAAUACAAAAUUAUUUUUGUGAUUAUUAAUUUAGUAUGGAUAAGGAUUAAGGGUUGCCAGUACAUGCAAACUUUCAAGCAUGACUUUGUUGUCGGAGAGGUUAUGUCAUGGAACCAAGUUUUAGUUUUAUAGAUUAUGCCAUGCAAUCAAGUUUUAGAAAUACGUUAAUCACACAAAAAAAAUAAAAAAAUCUAACUUGUUCUCAACCUUGGGCCUAGUGCUAUAUCGUUUCAACAUUCACAAAAUAUCGGUAAGGAUCUGAGUCGGAACAUAAGUGCUUACAAACUCUCUAUUGGUAGUAAGUUUUUGCGACGCUAAGUUGAAGGCCUAACUCUUGUUCAGUGCUGCAUCAUUUAGAUAAUCGUAGGCCUAGAGUAAAAAUUAUUAAAAAAAAGAGAGGGAUUUUCUCCCUGAUUGUUGUGAUAAGAAUCACUCAAAGACAAUAGGAACCACUCCAAUUCAUAAUAGCAUUUCACUGAGUUCAAUACUGUAAUGGAAAAAACGCAAGAAUAUAGAAACAUAAAGUGAGGAAGCACACUUCCUAUAUUUCAUGAAACCUCGCACAAAGUUACAGUUUUCAAUCUAAAAUGUUCCCAGAUAAAAGAAUCCAACAACCUAGUUUAGAAAAGAGCAAAACUUUCCUAGUAUUAUCUCAAAUUUCCUACCAAAUUUAUCAGGCAUCGUCUCUAAAUCAAAACUCUAAAAUCUUGAAUUUGCUCACCUUAAAUACACAGUGCUUUGAAGGCUGCAAACAAAAUGCCCAAAUCUGAAGAACCACGAUUUCCUAAAGCAAAAAACAAAACAAAACAAAAUUAAACACGACAACAGAUGAGCAAAACAAUAACUAAAAGAGCCUUCUAACACCCUUAUCACAUAAAUACAGAAGCAACAAAGUAUGGAGAAACAAUCUAGUAACAGAAAUACAUAAGCAACCAAGAUUUGCAAAAACAAUCUAUCAACAGAGGAGCAAAACAACAACUAAAACAGCCUUCUAACACCCUUAUCACAAAAAUAUAGAAGCAACAAAGUAUGGAGAAACAACCUAGUAACAGAGAGAUAUUCAAAGGAUGUAAAGCAGAAAGGAACCUCAGUUUGAUUUGUUGAGAAGGAAACAGGAGCAAAGCAUGAAGAAACAGAGAAAUGAGCACAGUGUAACUACCAAAGUUAUAAAGACACAAACCUGACUCUAACAGUGCACGAAACAGUGCACUAACCAGAUUGAUCUUCCUAACACCCAACUAAACGGGCUAUAAAAUUCCUUUACAACUUAAUCGAAACAAUAAAAUGUUAAUCAUAGUUUUAACAAAGCAAAUGACAAACCAAACAAUAAACAAUGACUGAAAAACAGUGUUUGAGCUAUUGAAUCAGAGUACAAAACCUCUAAAUAUCCCUGCCACUCAAUCAAAUCAUGCUUUCUGCCCUCUCUCUCUCACUCUCUAUCCUUCUUUAAAAACAUUGGACAAAAUCCAUAAAUGUCUCCCACAACCCCAAAAACUGCAUGCAACCAUGCCUUCCCCAUUAAUUGUUGAAGAAAUGGCAUCCAGCUGGAACCAAAAUCCCGAAAGGAACCCUACCCCUAGCCUUCCCAACUUGCCUCGCCGUCUCUCUCCGCACCCUUUGUUGUCGACCCUUCAAACCAAACUCUCAGGCACCCCUACCCUUGAUUCGCUCAUCCUACCCCUCUCUCUCUCUCCUCCCGUCUUUCCUCACAUCCCGUUUGAAACGCACGACUCUUCCCUCUCUCCUCUUCUCUCACCCACGACUCUUCCAUCUCUACUCUACUCCCUGCCAUUCUGCAAGCUACACUGGAUGACUCACGGCAUUCACCUCACCGCUUUCCUAUCCCUACCGAAACCAACCAAAUAAAACCCAUCCAUAGGCCAAACCAGCAAAAGGCCAUCUGCCCAAACCCAAAAAACAAUCCCCCAAGCCGAACCCAAAACUUCCACAAAGCCCACUCAUUAAACCAAUGGUAUAGAUGUAAUUAAACUGAAAUUCAGGUGCAAUGAACAGUAAGGAACAAUGCCAAUUGCAAUGCUUUCUUUAGACUAAAGUAAUUAUAAUUUCUUCUUUUUCAACAUAAUGGUUAAUCCGGAUAAGGAUGUAGUUGGAUGCAGGUGAGGUGGGGAGACUUUUUCUCAAAGAACCUCUUGGUGGAGUCCCCGGAGGAAAGAAUAGUAACUAUUCAAUGACUUGGAGCGGAGAGCCCAAUUUCAUUACAAUUUCUUCUUUUCAACUUAAUGGUUAUCGAAUUAAUUGCUUUUCCUCUAAGGGUACCAAAAGCAGGCUGAACUCAGCACUCAUACCUUUCCAUUGUUUCUUCCAAAUUCCCCAAGCAAUACCAAUGUUAUUCCGUUUUUUCAAAUUAUAAAUUUUCUAUAUGCAAUUCGAUUUUUUUUUUUUUUUUGCUCGGAAUUCAUAAGUGCAAUGUUUUCAAUUUGUAAAAAAGGCAGAAUAAUAUUUCCAUUUAGUUUAAUGUCAUUUUAACUUGGUGUUGGUUUACACAUAAUUUUCAGCAUUUUCCACAUAGGUUAUGAUUUUAAUUUUGUUGAAACCUAUAGAUUGUUAAACUAAUGACAAGCUAUUACUAUAUAUUGUUCAUAUCAAGGAGGAAUACAUUUUUAGAUUACCCUGAAAUAUAGCUAGGAAAACAUCUUUUCUUUCUUAUUACGGCGAACAUUUAUGCCCUACAUUGUUGACUUUCUUUAAUGCUUGCUCUGGAUUCUACAGGUUCUUUUUAAAGUUUAUUUGGUUGCUGGAAAAAAAAACUGAGAAAUGAAGGGCUUCAGAUUUUGAUCAUUUGUGCCUCAAAUUUGGUACGGUUUCUUUCCCCUAUAUAAUUUUGAUUGGUAAUUGUAGAUUUUCAUCAUAAAUUAUUGUAUUCUCUUGCAAUGUUGUUCAUUUUUUACACUUAUUUACUCAAUUUCAGUUAGAGAAAGAAAAAGAGGAGCAUAGAAGUUUGCCCAGUACUUCUCUGUUUCAUCAGUAAUAUCCACAAACCCAAUUCUCAAGUUUUAGGGUUUUUUUUUUACAUCAAUUAAUUUUGCCCAUCAUGUUAGAGCAUGAUAUUUUAGGGAAUUUUUUGCUCACAAUUUUUUUGGGUGAAAUAAAUAGAUAUGGGUCUUCAAUAAGUUAUUUUUAUGUAUUGUAGUUUUAUUAUUUCAGAACUAAAUGACAUCUUGCUGCUUUUGGUAGGUUUUGUGCAAGCUUACCUGCAUUGCAUACUUUGUUUACAAACAAUGUUUGGUUUAAUUGGGUGAUAAUAUAUUUGGUAAAUCAUUUCAGAAUUAGUCUUUCCAACCUCCAUAAGUUUACAAUAUUACUCUUGUAAAGCUUAAUUUCGGAUUGCAUGUAUUUUUUUUUCGUCGAACGGAUUGCAUGUGGGAAAAGGCGUGGAAUGAAGUUUUAGGAUUCAUACAGUCGACCCCACUUAGUGGGAAAAUGCUUUGUUGUUGUUGUCAAACGGAUUGCAUGUUUGAAAGUUUAGUCUUUUGUUUAGAAUUUGAAUUGCGUGUCUCAAAAUUUAUAGUAUUUUCUUUAAUUGCCAGCUUAGAGCACAAAGGAAGAGGUAGCAGGCAUCGAUCAAAUUCAAGUUCAAAUAUGAGUUCAUACCUGAUUUCAAAUCCUAUAUUUGAGCCCUUUGUUUCUUCGGUAAUCACGUAAAGCUCAAAUAUUUCGUACAUGUCUUAAUUUUGGAUUAGUCUCUAUAUCUACGCACAUACAUGAAACAAAUAUUCAUUGGUCCUUUACAAUGACGAUCCAACGGUUAUCAAUUAGUGUAGUUCAUCAUCUAAUUUUUGGCAUAUAUAAUCCAUGCAUAUUAAAUGACUUCGGUGUUUGUGACCUUUUACCCAAAUUUUAUAUAUUUUCUCCUUUCAAAUUUGUGUUUUUUGCUUUUUUUAGAAGAUUAAUUUUUGUAUAAAAUAUAAAUUUUAGAAACAUUCUACCCAUAGUUUAGUUUCUUUCACGACUUUUGUAGUGUUAGUUCUGCAUCAUUUCAAUUUGGCUUUGAUUGGAUAAAUAAUAGCAUUGUUUAGCUAAUUUGCAAAUUUCCUCAUAUUUAUAAGUUCUUUGUAAGCAGUAUUCUGGUGCCUUUUAUUCAAGGUUUUGAAGACACUGAGGACUUCACCGUGAAAAAGAAAUUGAAGACUUGGGUUGUAAAUAUAUUUUUACAUGCACGUAAAAAUAUAUGUAAAACUAUCUACAUAGUUUAUACAAUUUUUAAACCCUCGCAGCAUCGCGCGGGCAGCGUUUCUAGUCAACUACUAAAUUCAGUGAAAUAAUAGGUAAGUGUAAGAACAGUUGAGUGCAGAAGUGAUUUUUUUCUUCCUUUGAACGGCUUUUUAAGUGUUUUUUUUAUUAUCUGAUACCAAAGUAAGUAAAUGGUGGCUUCUUGUUUCAACAACGACUAGCGAGUCAACGAGGAGGGAUCGACGGAGACAACAACAAUCUUUACAGCAGAAGAACUUGAGAAGGCCACAGACUGCCACCAUGAGAGCAGAAGAACUUAAUGAAGUGGUUGCCAUAAAAAAGUCGAAAAUUGGAGCUUCAACCCAAAUGAGCAGUUUAUCAAUGAAGUUAUCGUUCUUUCUCACAGCCAUAGAAAUAUGGUGAAGCUAUUGGGUUGCUGUUUAGAGACACCGGUGCCAUUACCAGUUUACGAGUUCAUCACCAGGGCAACUCUUUUUUAUCAUCUUCAUAGCAUAAAGAGCAAAGAAUCAUCGCUUUCAUGGGAGUUAUGACUGAAGAUCGCAGCAGAGUCCGCCGGAGCACUGGCGUACUUGCACUCCACCUCCAUGGCAAUCAUACACCGAGAUGUGAAUAUAAUUAGCAGAAAGUCACUCAGGCACACGAGAAAUGAGAUACAUUGCUAACACAACAUAUUCAAAAUCCCAGGCAGAUUGACAUUCCUCAGAUGGAAUUCAAAAACGAGUUUUAACACGAAAAUGGUGUCUACAAUAUAUGAAAUUUCAAAGUUACAAAUAUCAGGAAAAUCAAGUAAUUUGCCAACUCAAUCUAAUUUGUUUAUUUUCAGAUGUCACAAGAAUCACCUAGACCAAAAUGGUCAACCUGUUCUUACAGCGAAAUGACCACGUACCUUGAAAUAAAAUUUGAAAUACAAAUACAAGAGAAGCACAACCUAAUUAAAUCGCGAUCUUUAACAUAGAAACCCUGCUCAAGGAGAUGAGACAAUCCACAUAACCGUUGUCGUACUUGAAGGUUGAAAAAAUUGCUCCCACUUGAGCAGCAGGAGAUCAUCUUAUCUGGGUAGGAGAACAGAGCAAACCAGACGCAUCUGAUCCAACCACUGAAAGAUCACAAACAGUACAGAGCUUCCCUUCCUGGUCGGGAACUAACCGAGAACUGCAGUACGGGCAUGACACAUCCUUCUGUCCACGGUAAAUAGACACGUAUGUUGCCCCACAAACCACAAAUGGGUUUCUGAAAUCAUAGUUUAGCUGGGUUGCAUCAGUCAUGUUCUUUUCGGCAGCUUGCAGGAUUUGUCUUGCAGUCUUUGCAUGGUUUUCAACAGUGGGGUUGGUCUCCAAAAGUCGCCUGGCAAAGUUAGCUGCCGUGUUGAGAUUACCAGCCUUAUAGCAAACACUCAUGGCAUUUAGUAAUGCAAGUCUCAAGUGAGGCAUCUGAAGGUUGCAGUGGGUGAAGUAAGCCGCUAGCUCCUGUUGGCAAACAGGAUCGCCUUUAAGUUCCUUCCUCUUAAUCUCCAUCUUCAAACCCAGCACAUACUCCUUUACAAUGAUAAUUAAUUCUUUUACUUCAUCAACCUCUCUCUUUGAAUCAACUACGAUCAGAGGAAUAGUAUACAGAAUACCAAGGAGAAGACGUAAAGCAUCAGCAAAUUUCCCUUGGGUUGUGGCCUUGUAACCCGCCUUAAGCUUCUCUUCUAGCUCUGAGAAUUUAAAUACAAGAGCAGCAGGACCCCUAACAUUAGAUACGUAUGACUGCCCAUGUGUAAAUCGAGAAAUAAUUGUCUCAAGGGAUCAAAGUUCUUUACACCCAGCUCCCUGCUCAACAAACGCAUUGCAAUAUCGAAAUUCCCAGCAGCAGCAUGUUCAGCAACAAGAGAUGAUUUCUGUGACCAGAUUUGGCUUACAGGCAUACCUGGAGUUGGGGCAACAAACACAGAAGAACGGGCAUUGCUCGCAGUUUUUGGAGUAUCAAUCUCAGGUGGAAGUUCAAGAUCUCAUCCUCCCUCCUCAUUUUCCUCGUGUGCUUCCUCAUCAUCCAGCACUGCACUGAUGUCUCCAUUUGGAAUAUUGUCCACGUCAACAAGAUUCAACUCCUCUCCCCAAUCAGCAUCUGCAGCCUCUCCAUAAUCUUCCUCAAUAUUCUUGCCCACAUUAUCAAGACCACCCUCAAAUAUUCCUCUCAUGACCGUCAACAAGGGCCAAUCUCCUCCGCAGAUGAUUGGCAUUGGUGGUAACAAUAGAGACGGAGAUUUCACCUUGGGUAAAACAGGAACAUUAUCUCCCAGUUCAGCCGCCAAACGUUCGGCAAUAUCAUGGAGCCCAUGAAUUUGCAUUACCCUGACGAAGGGCCUCCACUCCCAAUCGAUACCAGUGAUCUUUCUCAUCAAUCUCCUUGGCAGAAGCAACAGCAAUCUGGAUGUUCCCGCUCCCUAGUGCCAAGUUGAAGCGAGUCCUCUCAUCCUUCACAAAAUGAAGGGCAACCUCAGGGAAACCUUUCUGCUGUAGAUAUGCAAUCAUGGCCUGGCCACAGAGCUCAGAACUCCUUAUCAUGCUCAUAACCUGGUCAUACCUCUUCUUCAGUAAGGAUAACUUGAAAACAUAUUCUGUUGCAUCAACAACAAUGGCACGGUUCUUCCCAUCUCGAUCCAAGCAAUGUAUGGGUUUUCCAUACACUUUGGUUAUAUAUACGGGAACGUCGAGGGUCCUGAUGAUUCUACUAUCCCCAUUAGGAAGGCAGUAUUUGAUGUGGUUCAAGGUUGUAUAUAUGAAGACGCCAUUGUCAUCCCUAGCUCCCCAACAAUAAUUCUCUGCUGCAGGUAAAAAAUAAUGACUCUGUCCUCUGCCUUGCAGAGCAAGUUUCCAGUUCCAGCAUAAAAUAUUGCAUCAGCAACAAUAGGUAGGGCACUCUUCUUGACAAUCUCAUUUUUCAGAUUUUUAGCUAUAACUUGGUUGGUGCUCUUUUCAAGCACUGCAAACCUAUUUCGAGCCACGAACACAGCUGGGCCUCCGAUACCUCUUUUUGCCUCCUGCGCAGUAUCACCCCGACCAAAGCUAUCUUUGGGUAUAACGUAUAGUUCAUAAGACCCCCCUUCCAUAUCUGAACAUAUCAAAGCAGCAUUUUCUGUAGGGCUGUAAGAUAGUGUCUUUGCCCCUUGAUUCAAGUUGGAAGAACCACGCCUUCGAAUAGGGAUAAUCAUAGUGCAUUGAAUCACCGCUAACAGAAAAGGCAGGACGCUCCCUCUCCAAUUUAAAGACAAUCAUGCCACCAUCAUGGCCAGCAGCCAAGAGGUUCAUUUCAGGAUGUGCUGAAAGAAUCCAGAAUCUAUCAUGGCCAGCAAUCAAGAGCAGCCGGCUCAACAAAAUCAUUUCUACUUGAAUAAUUUUCCCCUAACUAACAAAAUAAGCAAUCUCUUCCCGUAGCACAUUUAGUCAUCCAUCUUAGCAUUCAUCUCAUUACUAUCACAGAAAUGUCUUAAAUUUCAUUACUAUAUGCAGCAUUCAUUUCUCGAAUACAGAGAGGAUUGUGGUCGACGGCACGGUGCGCCGGCGUUUGUACAGAAACAGCUCGCUGGUAUUGGAAGACCCAGACCCAGACCCUAACUUUUUUACGGUACAAAAAUAUUCAGAUGCAAAGACAGAGCACCACCAUUGAAGAGGAAUCCUCCUGGAGCAUCAAUUGCCGCAUAUUCAAAUCUAAAACGUUUUUACUCUUCAGAAAAUCACUGAACAUAUACACUGCAAACAACAGGCUUGGUGAAUGCCUUGGAUUUGUGCUGAGCAUGCAGAGCAGUCUGCAGUUGAGAAUCCAGAAGAAAAAACAAUCUCAAUGGAGAUUACAUAAAUAAGGGUACGGUUGAAAUCUAGGCUUGAUCUUUGGGUUUGGCUAGGAUAGCAGAAAAAUGAGAGAGAGCCUCUCGGGUUUUUCAGAUAGAAGAGGAGCACCUAGGUUUUAUCGUGGAUGUCAUGGACGGAGGAAGAGAGAGUGGGACAGAUACAAUCCCCCAAAUCGUGCACCCACAUUCACCCUGUGCAAACUCUAGAACGCAGCCGCUCACUUUCUCGAAACCCACUCUCAAACCUUAGAACGCAGCACUCUCACUCUCUCAAAACCCACUCUGAAUAACACGGAUGCAACAACCCGCCCUCUCUCCCGCCGUCAGCUUCGGUUCGACGCCGCUUUGUUUUCACCUAAACUCCAAAUCGCGCUCUCCCUCUCUCCCCAAAGAAAGCAUCACCGCUCAAUCCCCUCUCUUUUGUUAGGAAUGUCGGUACUACAAGAUAGAGAAUGCACAAGGUAAAGUAGAAAAUGGACGCCAAGAAUUUAUGUGGUUCGGCAAUUUAUGCCUACGUCCACCAAACAAGGAAUCUUCACUAUAUGAAAAAGAUGAAUACAACAAGAGUAGUCUUACCAAGCCAAAGACAAGGCUUGAUGGAUACAAGAAAGUAUAACACACACUUUCUAUCACUCUAAACUUCACUCACACAAUGUGUAGUGGAACACUCUCACUCUCACUCUUGGAGUGGAACUCUAGCUUUGGACUUGAUCCUUUGCUACUCACUCUUGGUUCUCAAUUGGUUACAUCACACCCAUAUUUAUAGGUGAGGGCUUGGCAUUCUACUAGUUUCUAGUUCCUUCUUCAAACCUCUAGUAUAGAAAAAUCUAGACUAGCCACAUACUUGUAGCUUCUAGAUCUUUCCAUUUGCAACCAAGGAAGCUAGUACUCUCUAGCUUCUUCCAUCAACUUAAUAACAUGCUAGAAUUGUCUAGCAAGCUCCAGCCUCAUCUCUUGCUUACUAGAAUAAUCUAGAACAUUGAUCAUGGGCUGGACCAUAUACCAACAAUCUCCCCCUCCAGUCCAUGAGGGAGGAAUUCCGAUCAUGACUCCAAGUUACCUGGAGUUCAUCCCAGCAGCCUUAAUGCAGAAUUCCAACUUUGAUUUUGUGACUACCUUUGUCAACAUGUCUGAAGAAUUAUUAUCGGUAUGAAUCUUCUUUAGCUGUAGCAACUUGUUCUCGAUAGCGUCUCUAAUCCAGUGAUAACGAAUAUCAAUGUGCUUAGUGCGUGAAUGAUAUGUAGUGUUCUUGCUCAAAUCCAGAGCACUCUGACUAUCACAAUAAACGCCAUAAUCACUUUGCUUCAAACCCAACUCUUGGAGAAACCGCUUCAGCCACAACAACUCCUUGCAUGCUUCUGUAGCGGCUAUGUAUUCAGCCUCGGUUGUGGACAAAGCAAUGCACUUUUGUAACUUGGAUUGCCAAGACACGGCUCCCCCUGCAAAAGUAAACAAGUACCCAGACGUAGAUUUUCUACCAUCCAGGUCACCUCCCAUGUCAGCAUCUGUAAAUCCUUCCAAGAUUGGUUUGGAACCGCCAAAGCACAAGCACAUCUUAGAAGUCCCCUUCAAAUAUCUGAGAAUCCACUUAACGGCUUCCCAGUGGUCCUUCCCUGGAUUAGAGAGAAACCUGCUCACCACACCUACUGCAUGAGCAAUAUCUGGUCGUGUGCACACCAUUGCAUACAUGAUACUUCCUACUGCUGAAGAGUAGGGAACAACUGCCAUUUUCUCCUUUUCUUCAUAUGUUUUUGGACACGACUCUUUGCUCAACUUGAUAUGAUUGGCUAAAGGUGAGCUUACCGGUUUGGCUGCUUUCAUGUUGAACCUUUCAAAGCACCCGUUCAACAUACUUUUCUUGUGACAGCCACAACUUCUUGGAUUUUCUGUCACGAAUUAUCUCCAUGCCCAAAAUCUGCUUGGCUGGCCCUAAGUCCUUCAUGUCAAAGGACUUAGAUAACUCUUCUUUGAGCUUUUUAAUCAUAGAAGCAUCUUGUCCGACAAUCAACAUGUCAUCAACAUAAAGCAAUAAGAUGAUGAAUGUACCUCCAGAAAAAUUGUUUGAUAUAGACACAAGAGUCAGCAUGAGUUCUCUUGUACCCAUUACUCACCAUGAAUGAGUUGAACUUCUUAUUCCACUGUCUCGGAGCCUGCUUAAGACCAUAUAAACUUUUCUUGAGCUUGCACACCAAAUUUUUCUUUACCUUUGACUUCAAAGCCUUUGGGUUGCUCCAUGUAUAUCUCCUCUUCUAAAUUGCCGUGGAGAAAUGCAGUUUUAACGUCUAACUGCUCGAGCUCAAGAUCCAUGCUUGCUGCCAUACCAAGGAUAACUCGAAUGGAAGUCAUCUUCACCACCGGUGAGAAAAUCUCAUCAAAGUCAACUCCUUUCUUUUGACCAAAACCUUUGACAACCAAACGAGCCUUGUACCUUGUCAUGUUGUCGUCAUUUUUCAAUUUGAACACCCACUUGUUUUUCAAUGCUUUUCUGCCCUUUGGAAGCUCCACCAGCUCAUAGGUAUUAUUCUUUAAUAAGGAAUCCAUCUCUGACUCCAUUGCCUUCAUCCAUUUAUCACUGUCGUUAUGAGCUCUGGCCUCCUCAUAAGUUUCGGGCUCUCCAUAAUUAGUCAACAUGAUAUACUCUGAUGAAGAAUACUUGGUAGACGGUCUUCGACUUCUGCUGGAUCUUCUGACCUGAUCUUCAUUCUCUUGCGGGGCUAGAGGCUCCCCCUGAUUGGAUUCUCCUUGAAUCUGCUCUUCUUGACUAGGCUCCCCCUGAUCAGCAAUCUCAUGGUCUGGCACAUCUUGAUCAGGCUCCUCUUGAUCAGCAUUAUCUGAUUCUGCAGGCACUUCAUUGGCAGUUGCUUCAGGGAUGUCAUCGUGACUUUCUUCAUCUAAAGCUAAUGGAUCAACUCCUCUGACUGCGCCAUCUGGUUGUGCCUCUUUAUCCGAAUCCCCAAUUGUUUGAUCUUCAUAAAAGACCACAUCUCUACUUCGGAUAAACUUCUUCUGGUAUGGGUCCCAUAAUCUGUAACCAAAAUCUUCACCGCCAUAACCAAGAAAGAUGCACGGUGUAGCUUUGUAGUCUAACUUCGAUCUCUGCUCUUUGGGCACAUGCACAAAAGCUUUGCAACCAAACAUCUUCAGAUGAGAGUAAGACACAUCAUUACCAGUCCAUACUCUCUCUGGAACAUCAAGACCUAAUGGUACUGAUGGAGAUCGGUUGAUCAAAUAGCAGGCUGUCCUUACAGCUUCACCCCAGAACUGCUUAGAUAACUUUGCAGUCCUCAACAUACACCUGACUUUCUCCAUGAUGGUUCGGUUCAUUCUUUCAGCAACACCGUUAUGUUGUGGAGUUCCAGGAACUGUCUUCUCAUGACGUAUGCCAUGUUUUACACAAUACUCUCUAAACUGGUGAGAUGUGUACUCGCCGCCGUUGUCGCUACGAAGGCACUUGAGAGGUUUCCCAGUUUCCCUCUCCACCAUGGCAUGGAACUCCUGGAAUGUCUGAAACACCUGGUCUUUGGAUUUCAACAAAUACACCCACACCCUUCGUGAAGCAUCAUCAAUAUAAGUAACAAAAUAUUUAUUUCUUCCAAGUGACUCGACUUCCAUGGGACCACACACAUCUGAAUAAACAAGAUCUAACAAGUUUCCUUUCUUUGUAGAUGGAACAGAAAAACUAACUCUUCUUUGUUUUCCGAAUAAACAAUGCUCACAAGAGUUUAACGACGUACCUUUGGCAAAGGGAAUGUGAGACUUCUUUGCCAAAACCUGUAGGCCUUUCUCGCUCAUGUGACCUAGCCUCUUAUGCCACAAGUCUAGAGAUGAGUCCUCCACAGCAUUCAACUCACCUUUCAAAACCUUGGCAUUUGACCGGUACAACGUACAACAAAGUCGUGCUCUUGCUACCACCAUUAAGCCUUUAGUAAGCUUCAAAUUUUCCUUCGCCAAUAUGGUGAUAAUAUCCUUGUCGAUCAAGGGUACCGAUGGAUAUCAGAUUGAGACGUAUAUCAGGAAUAUGUCUCACAUCUUUCAACAUCAAUUGGCAGCCGAGAUUAGUUCUUAAGCAGAUAUCACCAAUUCCAAGAAUUUUGGAAUAGCUUUCAUUCCCCAUCUUCACUAUGCCAAAGUCACCUUCUUUGUAUGUACUGAAGAACUCCCGUUUGGACGUAGCAUGGAAGGAAGCUCCAUUAUCAAAGAUCCAUUCAAUGUCUCUGUCAGAGUUGCCUAUAUGCAGACAUUCACCAACAGACAAUAUUUCUGGUACAUCACCACAUAUGACAGCGGUGGUAUUGCCAGUAUCAUCUUUCUUCUGAUUGUUUCCUUCCCUUUGCUCUCUCUUCCAAACUCGACAAUUUUUCUUCAUAUGGCCUUCUUUGCCACAGUGGUGGCAUGCACCCCUGAACCUUGACUUGGAUCGGCUAGGACUCCUGCCAUGACCUCUAGGCCCUCUACUCUUGCUUCUUCCGCGGUUCUCUGUGACAAAUACUUGGCUGCUAUCUGUGCCAGAAGUCUUUCUCCUUGUUUCUUCAUUGAGCAUGCUAUUUUUAACAUUAUCAAGAGUAAGAACACCAUUAGAAGCAGAGUUACUUAUACUCACCACAAAGGUCUCCCAACUGUCUGGCAAGGAUCCAAGUAACAAGAGCGCUUGUAGCUCGUCCUCGAUCGUCAUUUUCAUAGUAGCCAACUGGUUGAUGAUAUAUUCUGGAAAUUGUUCAAGUGUUCUGCUACACUUAAACCAUCCUUGUACUUCACAUUGAUGAGCUCUUUGAUCAAGAAGGCUUUCUUGGCUGGGGUCUUCUUCUCGAACAAGGACUCAAGCUUCGUCCAAAACUCGCGAGCAUUGGUUUCAUUAGACACAUGGUGAAAAACACUAUCAUCCACCCAUUGUCUAAUUGUGCCAAUAGCCUUGCGAUUCAUCUUCUUCCACUCGGCAUCGGACAUGCUCUCGGGCUUAGCGGCAUCUCCUUCAAUUGGCUCAUGCAAAUCCUUGCAAUAGAGAAUGUCCUCCAUCCUUGGCUUCCAUGUUACCCAAUUGGAGUUGGUGAGUUUGAUCAUAGUGCCACUUCCUUCCAUCUCGUAGUACGAGCCAACCGGGCUCUGAUACCACUUGUUAGGAAUGUCGGUACUACAAGAUAGAGAAUGCACAAGGUAAAGUAGAAAAUGGACGCCAAGAAUUUAUGUGGUUCGGCAAUUUAUGCCUACGUCCACCAAACAAGGAAUCUUCACUAUAUGAAAAAGAUGAAUACAACAAGAGUAGUCUUACCAAGCCAAAGACAAGGCUUGAUGGAUACAAGAAAGUAUAACACACACUUUCUAUCACUCUAAACUUCACUCACACAAUGUGUAGUGGAACACUCUCACUCUCACUCUUGGAGUGGAACUCUAGCUUUGGACUUGAUCCUUUGCUACUCACUCUUGGUUCUCAAUUGGUUACAUCACACCCAUAUUUAUAGGUGAGGGCUUGGCAUUCUACUAGUUUCUAGUUCCUUCUUCAAACCUCUAGUAUAGAAAAAUCUAGACUAGCCACAUACUUGUAGCUUCUAGAUCUUUCCAUUUGCAACCAAGGAAGCUAGUACUCUCUAGCUUCUUCCAUCAACUUAAUAACAUGCUAGAAUUGUCUAGCAAGCUCCAGCCUCAUCUCUUGCUUACUAGAAUAAUCUAGAACAUUGAUCAUGGGCUGGACCAUAUACCAACAUCUUUCUCUCCCUCGAAACGUACAGCCCCAUGUGACUCUGUCUACAUGCAAACCCUCUCCUCAACCACUCGGAAUGACACCAACACCAGCCACCCACCCCCCAAGCGCAUUCGCAGAAAUCCUCCCAUAACGAACACCCUUGCCCCCAUCUCUCUCUGCAAAUCCCUGAAUCUCGUAGCCAUCGAAAUCCCGCCAUAUCUCUCUCUUCGGGUUUCAGUAGGAAAAGGCCGGCUUUUCCAUCCCUUCUUCCUUUUCCACGAUUAUCAACACGUGUGCAUCAAGAGCAGCGGUAGAGAGAGUCCAAAACGCUGUCCAUUCCCAGAGUGCAAUUUCAUCCCCUACUCUCUCUCUCUGCAAGCAGGACCGCUGUCCAUUUGCAGGGAGGCAGCCCUCUACUUGCGGUGCCUACAUGCCAGCUAUAUAUCGUGCGAUGACGGUUAAGCCACGUCAACAUUUUAUAUUUUUAUUAUUUUUUAUCUUAUUAUCUCAUUAAAAGAUUAAUAUAAAAUAUUAACGUAAUUUAAUCGUAACCGCACAAAAUAGGAAGGCGCACCACAACUAGGAGGGCAGACAAUCUGCCUCCCAUUUGCAGCUCUCGUCUCUUUCCAAUCCGUCAAUGCUUCUGUCCUUCUUCCCCCAACAACAACAGGCCUACCGAAGCCGAAGCAAAAGCAAAAGCCCAGAUGCAGCCCAAACGCUCAAAACCGGUUCUUAAGGUGAUGGCAAAACCGUAAAUGUAACCAAAUUUACACAGUGGCAUAGACGUAAAUAUAUCAAAAAGAACAUGCGGUGGCAAUUUUGUAAAUAAAGUGAAAUCCGGCCAAAUUCACUGUUCAGUUGAACAGUGCAAUUGGAUUUCUUACUUUAGACUAAAGUAAUGAUUUAUUAAGGAUGUACUAUCCACACACCUCUUUUUACUUCUCUCACAUCUCUUGUUAAUUUGUGUCCUUUGAUCUUCUUCAAUUCAUCUGAUCCGACGACCGAAUUAAACGGGUGUGAGAGAAGUAAAAAGAGGUGUGUGGAUAUCACAUCCCUUUAUUUAACUUCUUAAUGUGAGGAGAAAUUUUUCAUUGUCGCGGAAACAUGAGGGGUACAUCAAGUGUUUUUAUGCAAGUGGUGAAAUUUUUUAUUUUUUAAGUUAUUAAUUUUUUAAUACACAUAUCACACCAUUAGUAUAGUGACAAGUGGUGUAUCAUCCCGUAUUCCGAUCACAUUGAAAAAUCUCUCUGAGAACGGUGUAAGUAUGUGUUUUAAGAUUAAAAACAAGAAGGAAAAGUUAGAUCGUAGUACAAAGACCUUAUCAACCUUCUAUACGUUCCUAGAAAACAAGAAAACAAUAUCUUCAAUUUCAUUUUUUCAGAAACCAAUAAAACUUUGAUAAGUUUUUGCUCCACCAUCUAUCAUUUCUUUCCUGUUUUUACUCAAAAUACGCAGACUAUGCAGCCCUCACAAAAGUAUUUCAACAACGGAAAUUUUAUUUGAACCCAUAUUUUGUAUCUCAACAUCCAGCUUAUUUUUUAUACCCAUAUUGUAUUUAAUUUAUCUAUCAUUAUCUCUUUUCACUCAAUAUUAUUUCCAAAACCGUCCUUACUUAUCAAAAUUCAACUCAAUCAAACUUCUUUUUACACCCAACUCAAUCUACUUAAAAAUAAAAAAAUAAAACUCUAACCAGUCCAUCAUCUCCAGGGAGAAAAGGCCCUUCUCUAUCUUUAAAAAAAUUAUUCCAUCUCCUAUGGUUGUCAUUCUGCACCCCCAUAUACUCCUCCAUAGUCGUCCAAACCUCUUCAUCUUCCUUUUCUUCAUCAUUUGACAUCUCUAAAUUUCUAGAGCACUAAUUAGCUUAAUAAUUGGUAUGUGUUCAAUCAAUUGGUUCAAUUUUUACGUAUUGAUUCCUUUUUCUUUUCAAUUAAAUGAGCUUCUAGUUGGAGUGUUUAAUGAGUUUGGUAUGCUUCAAUUAAAUGACGGCGUGAGUUUGAAUUUUAUUGGUGACUAGUCUACCAUCUAACUUACUAAUGCUAUCGCUCGACUAAAAAAAAAAACAUUUGAAAUGUAUGUAAUGGAUAAACACAAUCUCAAAAUUUAAUUAAAGUUAUAUAAGAACGAUAAAUAAAGGCAUUAUCACAACUUAGGGGUGGUGGGCAAUCUCAUUAAAAUAGAACUUAAUAUAUACAUAUUAAAAACAAAAACAAAUUAAUGCAAAAUCUCCCGACGACUAAUACUAUUCCAAGUCAUGCAUGAAACAUACACAUUUGUCCCUUCAUGCCACUUGGUUAUAAGCAAACAUCAUGCAUUUACUAAUACCAUUCAAAGUCAUGCAUGAAACCUACACAUUUGUCCCUUCAUGCUACUUGGUUAUAAGCAAACAUCAUGCACAAGUUGUUUACUAAUUAGUAUUACUACUAUUUAGCUUGUAUCAUGACUGUUUUCUUUCCGUUAUUCAUACGCCCAAAACUUUGUAAGAAAUAAUAUUGAUUAUUCAAAACGAAUCAACAACUAGUUGCACAGUGUCACAGUCAGUGAUACUCCCAACCUGAUAAAGAAAGAAGAAAAAAAAAAUGAAGUCGACUUCCAAACUAAAAUAAAAUGUAUAUAAAUAUAGAAAAUUAUUAUUAGCAUUCCAAAAAUCUCAUUUGGCACUCCAAACUUUCUAUAAUUAGAAAGAAAAAUACAUUUGUGUGAAGUGUAAAAUGAGAUUUUUGGAGUGCUAAUAACAAUUCCCUAAAUAUGUCUUAACAAAUAUUGUACGUGACAUUGACUUAGACUUUCGCGAAUAGACUUAUAAUUUCUGGUAUCUAAUAAAUAUCCAGAUUGAAAAUAUUCAUCGAUUUACAAAAUUUUCUCAUGGAGGUACCCAUUUUUUUGUCACAGAUACUAAUAUAGAGGCUAAAAGACAAUACAAUAUUAAAUUCAUAUGUGGUUGAGAUUUAUGAAUUUAAUCAUUAAAAUGCAUAAGCUCAAUUAUACAUUCAAGUUAGAUAAAUUCCUAAAAUUUUGGUCAACAAUAAAACUGCUUACGUAUGAGUUCACCUAUAAAACGUGCAAAUGCGAUAUACUUUUUAACCACAGUUCUAUGUAUUGUGAAUUUUUGUUUACAACUUUUGUGGCAUAUAGAGGCUAAAAGAUACUACAUAUUAAAUCCAUAUAUGGUCGAAAUAUUUAUCAGUUUAAUUAUUAAAAUCUAUAAACUCAAUUACACAUCCAGGUUAGAUCAAUUCCCGAAGGUUUGCUCCACAAUAAAAACUGCUUAGCUAUGAGUUUGCCUAUAAAACGUGCAAAUGUGAUAUACUUUUUAGCCAUAGUUCAAUGGAAAGUGAAUUGUUGCCCGCAACUUUUAUAUCUAAUAAAUAUCCACGGUUAAAAUAUUCAUUGAUCUACCAAAAAUUAUCAUGGACGUACCCAUUUUUCUACCACAGAUAGGAAUAUAGAGGCUAGAAGAUUCUCAUUUAAUUGAAACAUGCCAAACUUAUUAAACACUCUAACCAGAAGCUCAUACUGAUUUUUAAGCUAAUUAGUGUUCUAGAAAUUUAGAGAUGUUAAAUGAUGAAGAAAAGGAAGAGGAGGAGGUUUGGAUGACUACGGAGGAGUAGAUGGGGGUGCAUAAUGAUAACCAUGGGAGAUGGAAGGAUUUUUUUUUAAAGAGAGAGAAUGAGAUUUGCUCCAUGGAGAUGAUGGACUGGUUAGGGUUUUAUUUUUAAGUAGAUUGAGUUGGGUGUAAAAAGAAGUUUGAUUGAGUUGAGUUUUGAUAAGUAGGGGCGGUUUCGGAAAUAAUGUUGGGUGUAAAUAGAUAAUGAUAGAUAAAUAAAAUACAAUGUAGAUAUAAAAAGUAAACUGAGUGUUGAGAUACAAAAUAUAUGUUCAAAUAAGAUUUCUCUUUCAACAACUAGUUUCUUAAAAAAAAGAACAAUAAUGUUAUUCUUACUAUGUUUAUACCACAUUUAUAUAUCACCUUAUGUGGUAUUUUAUGUGGACGACCAUAUCAUUAAAUUAAUCAGAAUUUAAUAUAAAUUAAAAAUCAUUUAAUAAAUCAAUAAUUAAAAUAAAAGCUGGAAUUAAAUGGUGAUUAUGGCAUACGAGGAGUUUUCUUCUUCCUUCCCCAUUCAAUCAUGCUUCUUCUCCUAUUUCUUCUUCCACGCCAAUUCUUUCAUGCCAUAUUUUUUCGCUCCCUUAUUUGGAUUAUUAGUACGCAUCUAUCAUUUUUUUCAAUGAAUUUAAUUUUUUUAGUCUGUUUAUUUCUUCUUCUUUCUCUCAAUCUCCAUUGUGUAGCAAGAUAAAUUCUUCUUCGGGUCUUGAUCAGAGUUGACGUUAGUGGUGUUGUGGUGAGGGAUGAAGGUUUCCUGACAAUACGUAAUUGAGAUUCCUUUAAUUUGAUUAUAAGUAGGAACAAGAUGGAGUCCUUAAUGACUCAUAGUGUUAAAUCUUCAACCCCCAAGUGUCAUUUUUCUAUGAACAAAAAGGUUUAGGUAAAUAGUCCAAUGGAGAUCGAAAGAAAGAAAGAAGAAGAAUAAACAGACUAAAAAAAUAUAAAUUCAUUGAAAAAUAAUGGUAAAUGCUUACCAAUAAUCCAAACAGGGGAGCUUCGAUGAACCUUUGCCGUAGGAGAAUUAGUUGAGAUUGUGGUAGUCCGCACUAACGGGAAAAAAACUUGAGUGAAAAAAUAUGGCGAAGAAACGGAAGAAGAAGCAUGAUUGAACGGGGAAGGGAGGACAAGAUUCCUCGUAUGCCACAAUCACCGUUUAAUUCCAGCUUUUGUUUUAAUUAUUGAUUUAUUAAAUGGUUUUAAUUUAAAUUAAAUACUGAUUAAUUUAAAUGAUGUGGUUGUCCACAUCAAAUACCACAUAAUGUGGUAUAUUAAUGUGAUAUAAAAACAUGGUAAGAGUAUCAUUACUGAAAAAAAAGAAAGAAAAUAAUCAAUAAAUUCACUUUAGGUGUAAAUACAUAGAUUCACAUCGCUUUAUUUAUUUAUUUAUUUGUAUAUUCCAAGUUGAUUAAGGUAAUUAAGUAAUCUUUCUUGACUUAACUUUAAAUAAUUAAAUAAACUUGGCUUGACUUUGCACACUCCCCUCGCUUAUUGACCAAUGACUCAGUACUAAGUCUUUUUUUUUUGUUUGGUCAUAACUCAGUACUAAGUGAGAUCGAUAAUUUCUUGUGCUCGUCCUGGAAAUAAACCGGACAAAGCCUAAUGGUGGCCUAAAACAAUAACAGACAAAUCAGCCAAGAUGAGGAACACAAAAUAUGCAACCAUGCGUUUUAAUCCCCUCCUUUUAUAUUAAUUCCUAGAGAAGGCCAACCAUGCUCAAGGCAACGCGUAUCGACUAAUGACCAAUACUAAGUCAGGUGGCUGUUUUCUUGUGCAUUUCCUGGAAAUAAAUGGGACAAAGCCUAAUUGUGGACUAAAACAAUAACAGUCAAUUAAGAGUAGGGACACAUUUUCCCCCAACCGAAAAUAUUCCACCACGCCUUUUAAUCCCUUCCAUAUAUAUAUAUAUAUAUAUAUAUAUAUAUAUAUAUAUAUAUAUAUAUAUAUAUAUAUUCCACAUUAAAUGCCACAUAAAAUGGGACUAAGUCAGGUGGAUGUUUUCUUGUGCAUUUCCUGGAAAUAAAUGGGACAAAGCAUAAUUGUGGACUAAAACAAUAACAGACAAAUUAAGAGUAGGGACACAUAUAUAAUAUAUUCCACCAUGCGUUUUAAUCCCUUCCAUAUAUAAUAUAUUCCUACAGAAGGCCAACCUUCUUAAUUAGCAGUUCCUUAAUUUCUUGGAUCCAUCACCUGCUUGGAUUUUAUUCUCUGCUACUGCUAGGAUCUGCUCGACCCUUUUCAGUUAAUACUAUAUGGCGUUACAUAGGAGGAUGCAUAUUUUGCAUCUCUCUUUAGUAAUGGUGGUAGAAGUUACAAUUUUACUAGCAACUCCAACAACAGCUCAAUCUCAACUGGCACUGCCUGACUGCCCUGACCGUUGUGGUAAUCUCACAAUUCCAUACCCAUUUGGCAUAGGCGAUGGUUGCUACCUCGACGACCGGUUUAACAUCACUUGUGACAGUUCCACUCAACAGCCAACAACAUUUUUGUUGACGACCAAUAUCGAAAUUACCAACAUAUCUCUUUAUGACGGUGAGCUCCAAAUACAUAAGUUCACAUGCAGUGAUUGUUAUGAUGCUGUUGACCCUAGAAACUACAAAGGCCUACGUGGCGCGCAGGCCGAGUAUUUUCUAAGCUAACUACGUCCUUCGGUGAUUGCGGGGCGUGCCAACUCGUCGGCCGAGCUCGGCCGAGGAGUAAAUUUGAUGAUGUUGCGUCGAGCGCGCUGCUGACUUCUGUGUCUUGCGAUUGCGGCCGAGGAAGGAACAAUUCUCAGCCUCUUGGGUUCUAGAGCCUGAAGACAAGGCUGCUAAUUUGCGAAGUUCAAUCUCAAAUUCGGCUGUCAAUGUGCCGAAUACAGUAACCUGGUAACACCUCACUUCGCCGAGAAGGCUGAUGAGAUGACCUCGACCAAUAGGGAUUCGGAAAUCCUUCUCGACCGAGACUUGGAUAGGUAACCAGUCGUCCUCGCCGCAGUGCUGUUGAUGCCAACGAAAGAUACUGCGAGACCGACUGACUCUACGGUGACAGAGCUAUCUAUGCCGACUUAAGAUAUCACCGGUUGCUUCCACAGUGCUGUUGAUGCCAACGGAAGAUGUGUCAGCGAAGAAAGGAAAAAGAAAAAUCACAAGUUGUGAGAGUUUGCGCAGGGCAAUUUUUGUAUUGAUUUUGUAGGGGCUUUUCCUGAUGCACAGCGUCCCCUAUUUUAUAGUACUGAACCUUGAGUCCGAGUUUACAUCCUACUCGGACUAGGUUUCCCUCUCCGGAUCACCUCGACCAGUCCUACACCUAUUAGGACUAUGAACCUAGUCCUUAGCUAAGCUGGAUUAAUUUCCUGGAUAUCCGAUCCCGUCGAGACUCCCCAUUGCACUAGGAUUCGUCUUAACCGCCAUAGGUUUGGACUCCCACGGGUUGACCGAUCCAUGGUCCUUUUGCCGCCCGGCCUCCUGGGCCGAGAGUGAUCCUACCCUCGGCCCAAACUAUUAUUUUGGGCCCAAACAUUGCCCCCUCGCUUCUGAGGUCCUCGGCUUGAAACCUUCGGCCGAGUUUCGGCCUUGAAGAAGCGAAUCUACCACUCAGGAUCCUAAUACCUGAGUUCCAAGGCGCAUUUAUUGAGCACGAUCGCACGAUCUUGAUCCUGCUAACCCACUCGCCACGUGGCGUCCUCUAACAUGGCCAAUCCCCCAUAAUGACGUCUAAGGCGUGCGGCAGCCUGAACCGUCUUGCCAUCAUGACCACUAUCUCAAUCCGCGAGCCACUACCUCAGUCCGUGAGCCCACUUGUCAUCGUGCGGGCGUCGAACCGUCUUUCGUCAUUAAUUUCGCCGUCACACGCAAUCCUGCGCCCCCAAAACCCUGACCUUCGGUCUUCUCAACCGCAUUUCCCAAAUGUUCGUCAUGAUCGACAAUUCCUUCGGUCGAUUUUGCCCUUUGUUUUGAAUUUCGAACGAUUGCUCUUCCCCCUAUAACUCUAUAAAUACCGAAAUUCCCUCAUUUGUACCUUUACGCUCUCAAACUUCCUGAAAUCCUCUGCCGUUGAUUUCUAGUGCAUUUCUCCUAUUCCAAGUCUUCGUCUUUAAAUCCCCAACCCAGACAACCCUUCUACUCCGUGCUUCUUUCUCACAAUGGCGUCCUUCAUCUCCAAGCUUUCCAGGGAGUGUGACCAACAUCAGAAGAUUUUUGAUCGGAGCUCGAUCAAGACCAUCCGGUUUGAAAACGACAUGAGCACCCAGUACCAAAUCAUGGGCCCUCUCUUCAAGGCUACAAUACCGCCGACUAUCAUCGGCCUUCUACAGGAGCACUGCCUAACACCCUUGCUUCAAGGGUUUGAAUGGUCGCGAUGGGAUGCGGCUAAGCCCCAGGGCUCCUGGCCCUCGACGACCACAUCCUGGGCAGCCUGGGUCGUUCGAAUGGAACGACUUUUCGGCGAGCAAUGGAAGGCUCUUGGCAUCUACGACGCCAUCCUCCUUUCGUCUAUGGAAAUCGUUCCCGACAAGGAGCUUCUCCAAGCCGCUCUGUGCUUCUGGUGCUCGGCCACCAACACAAUGGUCCUUCCUCUGGGUCCUAUUGGUCCCACCAUCCUGGAUAUCACUGCCAUUCUGGGGACUUCGGCGACCGAGAUCCCCGUCGACGCGACCCUCUCUGGGCAUCCGUCGAAUAUCGACCUGAAAACGCUCUUUGACCGUCGGGCCUCCGAGACCUUGAACCGUGACGGUCAUAUCCCGUCGAAGGAAGAUAUUCAGAAGCUCCACAAGAACUUCUGUAAUUACAACACCCUCUAUCUCCACUUCGCCGGCCGAGGAGAAGAGGUCAUGCGAGAGGGAGAGCAUGAAGCCUUCCUCUUCUACUGGUACAACAAAUACAUUUGUUGUACCAAAUCCAACAAGUGUUUGGUCGAGAACAUGCCGGUAGCCGAAGCCCUGGCUAGUGGUCACGUCUUGGCACUGAGUUCCAACAUUCUCGCCCAACUUUUCCGCUGCCUGGCCGAGGCGACCCUCCACAAGGUCGACCCACACCAGAAUGGUCCUCUCUGGAUCUUCCAACUCUGGUUGCAGGUAUACUUCGCCUCCCUUCGGCCGGCCAUAGCUGAAUUCUCACCAACAGAGGCGCUUGGGCCUCAACUGGCCUCUCGACCGACACCUCCCCAUCAAGCCGAAGAGGUAUUUCGGUACCUCUUCGCUCUCGACGACUUCUCCAACGACGAGUUCCUAAUAUGUCGUCGUCGAGACUACCCUUCCUCCAUCAGGCUGCCUACCUCCCCAUGGAGCGCGGAGGAAGACGCCGAUCUUCGUCAGACCUGGGGGUCGUUUGUGCUUGCUCGCGACCUCCCUCUCGGCUGUGAUGGGAAACGGUCAGGUUGGGAAGUAUAUCAUCCGAACUUCCUUGCCCGACAGCUCGGCUACCUUCAGGGCUGCCCUAUCCCCCUUCUCUCCUCCCGAACGGUCCUAAGCCGUGGACGCGAACCUCGUUCCUCUGAGAAGGAGUGUAGAACCGCCGUGAGGGAGUUCCAAGAGCGCUGCCAAAAAUUCCGCCUUCGACCAGCCACCCCGGAAACCCAUUGCACCGACACCUUUGGUGAGUGGUGGGAGAAAUACACCCAGGAAUUCUUUGGUGCGCCGGUUGGAGAUGUGCUUAGCAGACUCUUCGGUGACCGGCCUAAGAAGGCAUCGGCCCCUCAUCCUCAAGGUACCUGUUCCACUUUCCUCCUUUCCAUCAACCUUGCAUAUUGAUUUGCCUUACUGAAUUGUCUUUAUCUUUUUAGGUAGUCGGCCUUUGAGGAAGACGGAGGCAGUUGCCGCUGUCACGGCCGAGAAAAAAUCGGUCGUGGCCCAAAAGGACAAACCCGCUGGUAGGGCUGUGCUGAACAAACGGCCUCGCCAAGAGGCCGAUCCGGCUGUUGAGCCUUCCCCGCCUGCUAAGCGGGUUAAACAAAUGGCGAAGAAAGGUACACGGGAGAUCCACGUUAUCUCCAGUCACACGACGACUCCCAGUGCUUCCCCUUCUCCCGCCGCUGGUAAUUCUGGGGUCGAGAAACAACCGGCUUUGGCGCAGAGACGGCCCUAGCGCGGCCUGCCUCUGUGGCCGACGCAUCAAUUGUCCCUCCCUCUAUCGAGAAGGCACCUGUCUCACAACAGGCGGUUUCUACGACCGAGGGAACCUCUCCCAAGAAUCCAAAUCCCUCGGUCCUCGUGUUGGAAGAGAGUGAGGGGAGCGACGAGGUCCCGCUGGCGCAUCGUCCUCAUACUCGUCGACAACCUCCUCCAGUAUCCGAGAUGGUGGUUCAAACCGGCCCCUCCUCGGCUAAUCGUGGCAAGCGCACGGUCGAGGAACCGACCCCUGUGGCCGAACCUCUCGUUCCUUCUCAGGACCAGGAAGUCCCUGCCUCUGAAGCAGCUGCGCCAAUCGGCCCAUCGGCAGCCGACCGUGGCAAACGGCUGCUCGAGGAACCCGAGGCCACGGCGGAAUCGCCGGUCCAUCCUCAAGACCAAGGCUUCCACAUUCCUCCACAGGAGGUUACCUCGGCUUUUGUAAGUACCUCCACUUGUCUCCUCCUGAUUGCUUUUCUGCUUUAGAAUUCUAAACAAGGAAAAUACUAAAUGUCAGGUGCCUAUACAUUCUUUUCACCGUCAAUUCUAUGCGCCGAAGGGCGUUAUCUAUAUUUCCUGGCCGCCUCAGUGGCCAUCAAACGUAGAUAACCUCCAUCGGCCGCGUUAAGUGAGAAGCAAUCUGAGACACUGGGCUCGGCCAUUGAGUUCUUUAGGUUCAAGCAACGAUCCUGGGGACAUGGCCGAGGUCUUCUCUCAGCAGGUUAAAAAACGACACCUUCUUGCUAUUCUUGUCAGGACUUCCUUUAAGCUUAACCUUGUCUAUUCGUGCAGGCUUCAUGGGAGGUUGAAUUCAAAGCCCUCAUUUCCAGCACGACUGCAGAGUCCGGCCCUUCGGCCGCUCCGACUGAGGCUGCCGAUCCAAGCGCCCUAACCCAGUUGCGAGAAAUCCUGUCGCUCUCAUCCUCGCAAGUACUUGAGCGCAACGGUCUUGAUCUGCUCGGCGUGUGUCUGAACGACCUUGGAGCUGACGGUCGCCUGAGCGGAGAUGCCAUUGUUCGGGCAUCGUCUGCCUUGGAGCGCGUUCGGGAGACAUUCAGUAUCUUCCAGACUGCUCUGAAGGCCGAACAAGACCUGCAAGCCGCCACGGCCGUUCAAGACACCCUCCGUCCGAAGAUUGACGAUCUACGGGCAAAAGGAGAAGCGUUAGCCGAACUCGACCGUCAGAUGGCCGAACUAGCGAAACGCCGGUCGGCCAUUGCUUCUGAGCUUGCGAGGGACUUCGAGUCAGGUGGGAAGAAUCGCCUAACUGAGUAUGCGGCGGCCAAAAAAUGGGUCGAGCGACUGAAACUGGACAAAAAGAAUCGGCAAGCCGAAGUCAUCAUGGCCGACGUGCGGUGGUUGGAGUUGAAGGCUCUGCUCAGCACUCUUCUUCCCUCGUCUCCUUGAAUGUAUUCGACCCACUCAUUUUUGUAAUACCUAUCAAUCUUAAUGGAAUGAUUUUUUUCUACUGGUACAAGAAAUUUUUUUAUUCGCGCAUUUCCCAUGUGACCGGAUAGUAUUUCUUCAAGAACUUCCCAUUAAUCGGUAAUUUGUGAACUACUCCAGUCCGGUCUUUAAGAUGAUACGCCCCUUUGCCGUAUACUUUAUGCACAAUGAACGGCCCUUCCCAAUUCGGCGACCACUUGCCGAACCUAGGAUCUUUUAAUCCUAUGGGCAACACCGUUUGCCACACCAAUUCACCUUCGCCGAACGUUUUCUGUCACACCUUCUGAUUAUAGGCUCGCUCGGCAAUCUGUUUUUGUGCCACCAGUAAGUUAUAAGCGUCAAUUCGUGCCUCUUCCAAAUCUUCCAGUCCCUGUCUUAUGGACUGAUUAUAUUCGGCGCUAAACAAACUACUUUGUUCAAUUAAUCGCAACGAAUUUAUGCUCAACUCGACUGGUAGCACCGCAUCGUGUCCGUAGGUUAAUGCGUACGGGGUUGUUGCAGUCGCCGACCGGGGCGACGUUCGGUAUGCCCAUAAUGCCUCGUUCAAUUUCAAAUGCCACAUGCCAGGCCUUUCUUUUAUUAUUUUUUCGAGGAUGCCGAUCAACACUUUAUUACUUGCCUCGGCCUGCCCAUUCGCCUGUGGAUAAUACGGUAUGGACUGUUCCAGCCGAAUUUUCAAAUUGGCCGUGUAUUCUUUAAACCUUUCGGCUGUGAAGAUUGUUCCAUUGUCAGUUAUGAUCGUUUCUGGAACACCGAAUCGGGUCACAAUGUGUUCCUCCACGAAAUCGCAAACUUCUUUGGAUGUUAACUCGGCAUAUGAUUUUGCUUCGACCCACUUAGUGAAGUAAUCAGUUGCGACUAUUAUCCAUGCAUGCUUAGCAGCUCCGGAAGUCGGCAUGAUUUUGCCGAUUACAUCCAUGGCCCAUCCUCUAAACGGCCACGGCUUAAUGACCGAAUGUAGUGAUUCGGCCGGGACCCUUUGUAUAGGCCCAUGGAUUUGGCAUUGCACGCAUCCUCGUGCAAACUCGAUACAAUCUUUCAGUAUUCUCGGCCAAAAAUAGCCAUGUCGUCGGAGUAGCCAUCGCAUUUUUCGUCCCGACUGGUGAGCCCCGCAUACCCCUUCAUGAACCUCUGCAAUCGCCCGAGCACUCUCUUGGGGGCCGAGGCAUAGCAAUAACAAACCAUCUUCGCCCUUUCGGUACAACUCGUUCUGGUACGUGACAUAGUUCGUGGCGUGAACCCAUGUCCUGCGACUAUGUUUUCCGUUAGGAUUGUCAAGGUACUGCAUAAUGGGCUUUCUCCAAUCAUCUGGUACUGCCUCGACCGUGCAAAUUUCUAUAGAGUCCUGCCGAUCUAACAACGACGGCAGGGACAUGACCCUGGUGCGUAUCACAUUGUCUCGACGGAAGAUUUGCUGAUCAACCAAGGCCGGGUAUAAUUGUCGUAAUAUUGGUAUCUCCCGGCCUAGCUUGCCCCCCAGGAGUUGUGCACCGGAGGUGAUUUGAGCCAACUCGUCUGCGUCGGUAUUAUGAACCCGGGAAACAUGCUCGAAUGUAAUACCGUCAAAAGACUCGGCCAAAUAGCUGGCGACCAUGUGGUACGGCGCCAGAGUACAACUCAUGUAGCGAAAAGACCCAUUAAUUUGGUUAAUCACUAGUUCAGAAUCCCCGAGGACGAGGACACGAGUGGCAUGUAGGUCAAGAAGGAGGCCCAGACCAAUGACCAGCGCCUCGUAUUCGGCCUGAUUAUUGGUGCAGUCGAAAUCCAAUUUGAGCGAAAAAUACCAACGAUCGUUGUGAGGAGAUUGAAUGACGAUGCCUGCGCCGGCCAAGGACGAAGUACUAGAACCAUCGAAAUACAUCGUCCAAUAAUUGUCGCGGGUCACCACCAUGCCGAUUUCGACGUCAGCACUCCCGAAACCGUAAGGCGAAGGGUGCUGGGCAAGGAAAUCGGCCAACGCCUGUCCUUUCACAGCUUUUUGCGGCACAUAUUGCAAACUGAACUCGGACAACGCCAUCGUCCAUUUCCCAAUUCGGCCCUUCACAAUUGGCCGGGUAAGCAUGUACCGGAGAACGUCGGUCUGGGCAAUAACUUGUGUGACCGUCGGGAGCAUGUAAUACCGAAGCUUGGAUGCAGCGAAGAACACGGCGAGACAAAGCUUCUCAACGGCGGAAUAAUUGAUUUUCGGAUGACUCAGAUUACAGCUGAGGUAGAAGAUAGCCUGUUCCCGUCCGACAUCGUUGUCUUGCGCAAGGAGGCAACCGAUGGACUCUUCGGCCGCCGAAAUGUAUAGCUUGAGAGGCUUGCCGCGUUAAGGAGGGACCAGGACAUGUGGGUUUGUAAGAGAAACCUUGAUCUGCGUAAACGCCGCCUGAUGCUCCUCAUUCCAUACGAACUUAUCUAAGUCCUUGAGUUUCAAAAGUGUGGAAAAUGCUUUCAUUUUACCUGCCGAAUUAGCAAUAAAUCGACGUAAAAAAUUGAUCUGGCCGAGUAAGGACUGUAAUUGUUUCUUUGUUGUUGGGGGUGGGGCAGUGAUGAUUGCGCGUGCCUUAUUCUCAUCGACUUCAAUCCCACGAUGAUGUACGAGGAAACCAAGAAAAUUUCCGGCCGAUACACCGAAGGCACACUUGGCAGGAUUCAUCUUGAGGUUGUGCUGACGCAUGCGGAGGAACGCCUGUCGGAGAUCGUCCAGAUGUGUCUGUCGGCGUUUAGAUUUGACGACAACAUCGUCGAUAUAAACUUCGACGAUGGUACCAAUCAAAUCAUGGAAGAUGGUGUUCAUUGCCCGUUGGUACGUGGCGCCGGCAUUCUUGAGGCCAAAUGGCAUGACAACCCAUUCGUAAGUGCCGAGUGCCCCCGGGCAACGGAAAGCAGUUUUGUGCACAUCGGCUUCGGCAAUAAAUAUCUGGUUGUACCCGGCAUGUCCAUCCAUAAAGGAUAAGAUCGCAUGAUUCGCCGCGGCAUCGAUUAACAGAUCUGAAAUCGGCAUUGUAUAUUCAUCUUUGGGCGUUGCCAGAUUCAGAUUUCGAAAAUCGGUGCAGAUGCGCAGUGCACCACUUUUCUUUAAUACAGGAACAAUAUUCGCCAACCAUUCGACAUAUCGAGCUGUCCGGAUGAAUCCAGCUUUCAAGAGCCGAACUAGUUCGUCCUUGACACUGAGUUGUACUUCGGUCGAGAAUCGACGAGGAGGCUGACGGAAAGGCUUGAAUCCGGGCUUAAUACGUAAUUCAUGCUCGACCAGAGCACGAUCUAAGCCGGGUAUUUCAUGAUAACUCCAAGCAAAACAAUCUUUGAAUUCCGUAAGCAAGGCCCGCAACUCGUCUUUCAUUUGCUGAGGAAGUAAAGCGCUAACAAACACAGGCCGUGGGUCACCGGCCGUCCCAACAUUAAUUUCUUCUAGGGGGUCCUUAACUUGGGGCCGAUAAUCUUCAAGCUCGGCCGGGGCCGCUCGAACUUGAUCAAAAGAUAGGGCAGGACCAGGAUCCUCUUCGGCAAGGAAUUCGACGAGGUUCACGCCUGAAUUCGGUUGCCGAGAUAUAGUAUACCAAUGGGCCAGCAGUCGUUCCAUCGUAGAUGAAACCGCGGCCCUACGUUUGUCCUGGUCUGUGUCAGACAUCAGACUCGGGGAGGAAAUUGGCCAAUCCGAGUCUCGCCGAAUCCUGGUGGACAGUCUCGGCGCCAACCUCGAUAGCUUUCUGAACCGAAAUCUGAGUCGGCCGUCCGUCUUCAUUGAAACCUUGCAAUGUAAUAUAGCCGACGUGGUCAUCAUAAUACCGGGCUUGGACCAUGUUAGCUUCGAAGGGUUGGCUAUCGGCCGGAUGAACAGUGACCGAUUUGCCGUCCCAAAAGACAAGCACUUGAUACAACGAAGAAGGAAUACAGCUGGUUUGAUGGAUCCAAUCUCGGCCGAGCAGUGCAUUAUACUCGGUUUUGGAAUCAACCACGAAAAAGGCGGUCAUGUGGGUGCGACCAACGAUAUUGACGGUUAACGGAAGUACCCCUUUGGUUUGGGAUUUGUCGCCGACGAAACUACUCAUUGUGAUUCCUGACGGAAUAAGCUCGUCAUUCGAACGGCGUAAGGCCUUCAUGAUGUUCAAAGGCAUGAUAUUGACGGUAGCCCCACAGUCGACAAAAACUUUAGAAACUGGAUACCCCUCAAUGUGAGCCGUCACAUACAAUGGCUUUAAAUGGUGAAGCUUGGCCGAUGAUGAACGAGGGAACAAUUCGGCCAAGGCAGCCUUUAAACCAUCAUCUUUUGUUGCUGACUCUCCUUCAGCAACCGAUACAAAAUCAAUAUGGCCGGGUUCUUUGGCAACCACAUCUCCAUCGAGGAAAUUUGGUUGAGCCGUGCGUGAUUGAAAAUCGGCAGGUAACACAUGGACCAUACUGAUUUCCAUAUUCUCCAGGACUGAUGGGCCCAUUGGGUCAAUACCCUCCUUGCUCGGUUGGUCGGCAACGAACGAUUCCGUUGCUGUCAAAGUUGGACAACAAGACUCCUCUGUUUCCUCUGUGAUGGCUUCAUGCGGCGGUGCUGCAUCAGCGAGUCGUUGGUCCUGUGCGACCGCUUCAGGCAGGGUCGAAAUUGCCAGUGCUCUUGGGGCCAAAGCCUGAACCUGCUCUUGAUAGUGAAGCCGGGCAUCCCUGAUGUCGAGAUAAGCAUCUAGACGUGCGACACGUGCAACUUCAUCGGCCGUAAGGCCGAAGAGAGAAACAGCCGAAAAUACCUCGAAGUGAUAUCGUAAAUACUGAAGGUCCUCCAUCGAGAAAGGGAGGUCAGCUGCACCGAUAUCGGUGCACGGGUCAACUUCAAAUCCAAGGACCCGAGCUUCUCGGAUAUGCUGGAACCUUGCUUUCAGUCCUGGAUCUGAGGUCUUUUGGAUGACUCGCUCGGCAUCCGGACAAGUCAGGACCAGAUCAAUAGUGUCCUGGCAUGCCUUCGGCAAACCAUACAGAUCGUUGGCCGAAUGCUUCUUAUGAAAUUCUCGCAUAUAUUCCAAGGCCUCCCCAAGAAAUGGUGGAUGCAAAUUCCGUCGAAUUUUGAUCAAAGGUUCUUGUAUAGCUGGCGGUGCGAACUUGCUUUCGGCCUCUUGUCGGAAAAACUCGAGUCGUGCCUUCAUCUCCCCUGGCCGAAGAAGAAGUUUGAUCCGUUUAUCAGCCUCCUCGAACGUAGUUUCAACAUCUCGGUCGACCAACCGUUUCCCUUGAACCAACUCUGUCAUGAUAGAGGGACUUGGUCGCUCAUCAUCGGGAGCAAUUGUGUCUUUCGGCCGCCAUUUAGGGCCCGAAGUUUCAUGGGUUGCCCGUCGGCGAGCCAUGCAAUCUAUCCUUUGGUGCCUACGUUUUUGGGAUUUGGACAGUGCCGUGUAAACUCCCCUCGAAGAAUGAUAUGUAUACCACCGUUGAUCUUUAGGUUCAGGAGGUUUGAAGGUUUUCUGGCUCCGCGAUGAUUCUGUGCUGCUAGAAUUUCGUUUGUAGUAAUCAUCGUCAUAGAACGAAUCAUCAAAAUCGAGGCGCCUCCGAACCGGGGGUAUCUCUUCCAUCCGUACUUUAGGACCAAGCCUGUCAAAAACCCCUUGAUGUUGGCCUAUCUUGGCAACAGUCCGCCGGGUUGCGGCCACGGGUCGUUCCGUCCCACGUGAAGGGGGCUUCUCCUCUGACUCACUCUCGACCUUGUUCUACAUUUCCUGCACAAAACCACCGUCCCGCUGUCUUCAUCGGUGGUAUAAUCCAUCAUAGGUUUGACAACAGCGGGUCCUGUUAAAGCCGUAGGUGGUGCGUUUAAACGGAAAUCGGCCAUGAAGCGUGGCCGAGAACUCUGAGUCCGAAAACAUUGCGUCGUAACGACUUCGGCCUUCCCUUUCCCUUUGUCCUUAGGGAGGCACGCAUCGACCAUAUUCACGGUUGCCGUGGGGAACGGAUCAACGUCAAUACCCAUCUUCUUCUCAGGAAAUUUCAGUUUACCAUUAUCAAUCCAGCUUUGGACGUUGUCGCGAAAUACGACACAAUUGUUUGUCGUAUGUUUGCUCGAAUUGUGAUAUUUGCAAUACACCUUUCCUUUAAGCUCUUCGGCUUUAGGAAUGUUGUGACCAGGCCAAAGCUUGAUAAUUCUUGCGGACAACAGUUGGUCAAAAAUUGCGUCAGCCUUGGUAAUAUCAAAAGUGUAAACCUUCGACGGUUUCAAUGCUCCUUCGGUGGCCGAGCGACUUUUGACUUCUCUAGAAUCAACCUGAGUCAACGCCUUGCAAACGUAUGGCUUAUCUAUCACUAUCUCGGCCGCAUCCACACUAACGCAUUCAUCCUUGGUGGACGCAUAGUUGACAGUAGGAUUCUUGUAAAGCGUCCCCCGAGAUGGCGUUUUCGAAACCUUCUCCUCGCGGAGCAAAUAGUCAUACUGUUCGACAUGUUGGGCUAAUUCGUACAUGUCCCGAAAGUUUGCCCCCAAGAAUUUCUUUUUAUAUUCGACGUCUAACCCGUUCAAAGCAAGCCUGACGAAUUCUACUUCGGGUAAAGGUACUCGGCACCAAUUCCUGGCUGACUUGAACCUAGUAAGAUAAUCCAUUGGUGAUUCAUCAGAUGCCUGAGCCAUCCUUGCUAACGAAGAAACUGACAUCUCCAUCCCUGGCCGAUAAAACUGCUCAUGGAAUUUCUCGACCAACUCUUCCCAGUUCUGGACGGAAUUGGGGGGUAAAUUAAUGUACCAAGCGAAUGCCGAGCCGGUCAAUGAGAAGUUGAACAGCCGUAACUUAUGAAAGUCGCUAUUAACAUCUCCGCAUUGCGCGGUAAAACGAGCCACGUGUUCUAACGAAGAUAAGGACGAUUCACCGGCAAAGAGGCUAAAAUCUGGAAUCUUGAAGCCUUUAGGGUAUCCAAACGUUUCCACGUAAGCCGGGUACGGAUGGAUAAACUUAGGAAACUUCGGCCCCUUUUUCAUGGCCGAGUCAAUCAUCCGCUGGACUUCGGUCAUAUCAACAGGUGCUGCUUCACUCCUCUGGUUGGUUCCGUCUGACCCGCUGUUCGACCCUCCACCUUUUUCCAAUUCAAUUGGUUUGGGGCGAGCAGGAAUAGGUUCGGCCGGUACAAUUGGUAACGGAUUGUUUCCCGGAGGGCAAUGCUGGAGAAGAUCGGAAGGCCUGCUGCCACCGACUUUACUAAACAACAUUUCGAGCAACUUGUUCUGUCGCUCAGCAGAACUGACUAUCGCAUCAUGCAAUUUGUCGAUGCCUCGACUAAAUGUCUGCUCGACUGACCGAGACUGCUCGUCUAGUCGCUUUCGGAGAAACGACCUCGUUGGUGGGUCAGAUCCUUCACCACCAUCCUCGUCGCAAUCUUCUAUUAUCCCUUCAUUGAGAACGCACGUGUUUCUGUUAGGGAUCUCUAAACCACGGGGUUGACCGCCGAGAUUAACUUCUCUCUCUCGGCGAGUCGCGCUCGUGGACUCAGGUGUCGCAGCGCUAAGGAGGUUCUGCGCCUGUGGCACACUCUGUCCUAUGCUCUAACUCGGCAAAUCGGCUGUCGACUUUCCCAUAGCUGUUUUCUUCUUUACCGAUCGUGUUUCAAUUGGCAUGAACUUCGUAGUUUAGCACUGGGUCCCACCGGGCGUGCCAAAAUGUUGACCCUAGAAACUACAAAGGCCUACGUGGCGCGCAGACCGAGUAUUUUCUAAGCUAACUACGUCCUUCGGUGAUUGCGGGGGGUGCCAACUCGUCGGCCGAGCUCGGCCGAGGAGUAAAUUUGAUGAUGUUGCGUCGAGCGCGCUGCUGACUUCUGUGUCUUGCGAUUGCGGCCGAGGAAGGAACAAUUCUCGGCCUCUUGGGUUCUAGAGCCUGAAGACAAGGCUGCUAAUUUGCGAAGUUCAAUCUCAAAUUCGGCUGUCAAUGUGCCGAAUACAGUAACCUGGUAACACCUCACUUCGCCGAGAAGGCUGAUGAGAUGACCUCGACCAAUAGGGAUUCGGAAAUCCUUCUCGACUGAGACUUGGAUAGGUAACCAGUCGUCCUCGCCGCAGUGCUGUUGAUGCCAACGGAAGAUACUGCGAGACCGACUGACUCUACGGUGACAGAGCUAUCUAUGCCGACUUAAGAUAUCACCGGUUGCUUCCACAGUGCUGUUGAUGCCAACGGAAGAUGUGUCAGCGAAGAAAGGAAAAAGAAAAAUCACAAGUUGUGAGAGUUUGCGCAGGGCAAUUUUGUAUUGAUUUUGUAGGGGCUUUUCCUGAUGCACAGCGUCCCCUAUUUAUAGUACUGAACCUUGAGUCCGAGUUUACAUCCUACUCGGACUAGGUUUCCCUCUCCGGAUCACCUCGACCAAUCCUACACCUAUUAGGACUAUGAACCUAGUCCUUAGCUAAGCUGGAUUAAUUUCCUGGAUAUCUGAUCCCGUCGAGACUCCCCAUUGCACUAGGAUUCGUCUUAACCGCCCUAGGUUUGGACUCCCACGGGUUGACCGAUCCAUGGUCCUUUUGCCGCCCGGCCUCCUGGGCCGAGAGUGAUCCUACCCUCGGCCCAAACUAUUAUUUUGGGCCCAAACAGAUGCUCAAGGCAACUCGAUCAGAUCCAACAGUCCCGAGCUCUGGGUGUCUCCUCCUUACACCAUCUCCGAAACCAAAAACGUGUUCGUUGCAGUUGGAUGCGACACAUAUGCGUUUUUUAUAGGUUACCGGGGUGAAGAAGAGUACACAACUGGGUGUAUGUCCAAAUGUGACAAUCUUGGCAACGCUAUCAAUCGGCGGGAUACUUGCUCUGGCGUUGGAUGUUGCCAAACUAAAAUCCCUAGUGGGCUGAAAAAUCGGACUGUGACCUUGGGAAGCUUUAACAAUUAUACAUAUGUGCUAGACUCCCACCGAUGCAGCUACGCGUUCCUUGUGCAAGAAGGCGAGUUCAACUUUAACAGCACGAGUGAUCGAGAACUAAACGAUACAACCCAGCGUCCGGCAAUUAUUGAUUGGGUAAUUGGGAAUGAGUCAUGUGAUAUUGCAGCUAAAAACGAGAGCACUUUUGCAUGCAAGGCAAAUAGCUACUGCCAUAAUCGGUCUUCAGGGGGCUACAUAUGCCGGUGCCGGUCAGGUUACGAAGGGAACCCAUACCUCCCAGGUGGUUGCCAAGGUAAAUAAAUCUAGACAGCAUUUGACCAUUUGAUUAUUAUCAUAAAAGAUUUUGCGUUCAUCAAAACAUAUUGUAUGUAUAUGUGUAUGUAUGUAUGUAUGUAUGUAAUGUAAUGUAUGUAUGUAGGUCUACUUUUUUUAUUAUGGUUAAACAAAUAAAUUUUCAAUUUGCUUGACUUUUGUGCAUAUAUGAUUUUAUUGUUAGGCUUAUUGGGGUUGCGCUGAGGGAUUCAGCACACUUUUGAUCCCUUUAUAUCUUAUUAUAUGUUGCAUAGUACUAGUAGAAAAAUAAAAAAAACAGCAUUAGUCAGCAAAUAAUUGCCACUUUUGUUGGGUAGACUAUAAUAUUAGUACAGAAAAAUUGUUCAUGGUCAUAGAAAAAGCAUGCACUAUGCAGUAGUUUCCUUUUGGAAAAAAAAAAAAGAUCAAUUGGUAGCUUCAUUUCGGCAGUAUAUCUUUUUUGGGGCGAGAAAGACUCACAAAUGUAUUUUAACUUCUCCCCAGCCACCAUUGUGUCCGGGAAUCAAACUCAAGACGUGAUGUGUCAAAUACAAGCCUAAAAUUCGUUCUCAACCAUUGAUUCACCCAGUGGUGGUUGCACUAUGCAGUAAUAAGCUAUAAAAUAAUAUUUUCUGUUACAGUGGUUUUAAAACAUUAAAAUAAGAAUAAAUUAGGAUUUCAUUUCUCAUUUUUCUUUCUCAUUAAUUGAAACUUUUAUUUUUCAUUUUUGAUCAAGAUCAUUUGACUUUUGUCCAUGUCAAUUUUUGAAUAUUAAAUUAUUUACAUGUCAUCAUAUGUCAAUUUUAAAAAUAAAAAACUUAUGAACCACUUCCAAAAUAUCUUUUUAGUAUUUUUCAUACAUUUUUAUUUUUAAUUUUUACCCUUUUUUUAAAUUUAUACCAAUAUUCUUUUUAGUUUUAAUUUAUACCCAUAAUUUUAAAUUUUAAUAUAUACCAUAUUUUUAAUUUAAUAUGGACCCAUAUUUCUUUUGGUGAAUGUACUCAUGCUAAUUACAUGUAUUUAUUUUAUGUUUUAAAAUAUAUCGAUAGUUAUUUAUUAAAAUAUACUAAGAAUUACCUCCAUUAAUUUUUUUUGUUAGAACUAUGUGAAGAACAAUAUUACUCUAUUAUUAAUUUUUAAGUAAUUAUUAUAUUGAAAAUAUAUGAUUUGAAUUUGUUUAAAUUUCAUAAUUUGUGGGAUAAUGAAUGCAUAGAAGCAAAUGUUAAAUCCCUUAAAUAAUGCUAGGAAUCUCAAUCAAAAUAUUUAAAUAAACAAGGUUUUAAUAUAACAAUUAGGUUGACUAGAGAUCAGAAUCAAAAUGACCCUUAUCAUUAAAAUAAUAUGUAAGCUUAGCUGAUGAUGCCAAAGUAGUCACCAAUUAGCCACGGAUGCUGUUGCUCGGUGAAGAUAUAAUGUCCACAAGCUAAUAGUAAUUGUACCCAAUUACUAAAUUUUCCGUGGAUUGUCAAAUCUGUGGGUUCAUGAACUGUUUCCUUUAACAUUUUUUUAGUAGCGAGUUGUUAACAAAAAGUCUCAAUAGUGGAAUUUAAUUUUCACCCUUCAUGGAUUUAAUUCAUUCUUUUGCUGUUCAGAUAUUGAUGAGUGCAAGGCUCCAGACUCCUGCGGUAAUGGAACCUGCAUAAAUAAAGCGGGAGGUCAUUCUUGUCUAUGUCCGAAAGGGUACAUAUACGAUCCGGAUGAAAAAAGUUGCAUCAAGGACAAUGGUCGAGCGGACAAUGGUCGAGCAAAGCUCAGUCUCCCGCUUAUUAUUUCACUAGGUAUGCAUUUGUUAGUUUUACUGUAAUUUUUUCUUUAGGCGCUUGUUUUUACAUCGCCUCUGGAUUUAAAGAUGAAUGUUCUUAACUAACUCAGCUGCAAAUCUCUUACUUUAGGUUGUUAAUUUAUUAUUUACAUGUCAUAUCAUAGUCCUAGUCUAAAAUUCAAAACUUCCUAUUUAUCUUUGAACAAUUGCACUCAAAUUUUAUUUACUUUACCCACUUUUAGAUCCAAAACUUUCACACAUACUUAUAUCAGAAGUGUUCUCUGGAAGAUAGGUUUUUAAUCAAUAUUGUCAAUAAUGUACCAAUCGAAUCAAUACGUACACUUUGUUUUUGACAUGAUAUCAAAAUUAACAUCGACACCUUGUCAAUAACAUAUGGAGAGUAUGUCUUGCCUAGAGAUUACUUACAUAUGUGUCAAUAACAUAUGGAGAGUCAUCUUUGCAGGUGCCAGUGGAGGCUUCUUGCUUUUACUAAGUGCUUCUUGGAUAUAUUGGGGAAUGCAAAGAAGAAAGUUCCUCAAACUCAAAGCAAAAUACUUUAAAGAAAAUGGUGGCUUAUUGUUACAACAAAAAAUUGCUAGUCAAGGAGGCUCUGUGGAGACAACAAAAAUUUUCACGGCAGAAGAACUUGAGAAGGCAACAAACAAUUACCAUGAAAGUAGAAUCCUUGGUGAAGGAGGCUAUGGAAUAGUUUACAAAGGAAUAUUAGCAGCAGAUAACAAUAAAGUGGUUGCCAUAAAAAAGUCUAAAAUUUGUGUCCCAACGCAGAAGGAGCAGUUUGUCAAUGAGUUGAUUGUUCUUUCUCAAAUCAACCAUAGAAAUGUGGUGAGGUUAUUGGGUUGUUGUUUGGAGUUAGAAGUUCCUCUACUAGUUUACGAGUUUGUCGCUCACGGCACUCUCUUUGAGCACAUACAUGGCAAAAAGAGGAAAGGAUCAUCAUUUUCAUUAGAAUUACGACUCAAGAUAGCAGCUGAAACUGCUGGAGCACUAGCAUACUUACACUCCUCAGCUCUGAUGCAAAUCAUACAUCGAGAUGUGAAAGCGACAAAUAUACUGUUAGAUGAAAAUUACAUUGCAAAAGUGUCUGACUUUGGAGCUUCACGAUUGAUUCCUCUUGAUCAAGCCCAACUUACAACUUUAGUGCAGGGAACAUUCGGAUACUUAGACCCUGAAUACUUCCUCACGAAUCAACUAACAGAUAAGAGUGACGUCUAUAGCUUUGGAGUUGUCCUUAUGGAGCUACUAACAAGCAAAGUGGCACUUGCUUUUGACAGGCCUGAGCAAGAGAGAAACCUAGCAAAUUUCUUUGUUUGUUUAAUGAAGGAGGAUCGCCUGAAUGAAAUUCUCGAUGAUGACAUACUCAACGAGAGAAACAUCGAGACAAUAAAAACAGUGGCCAAUCUGGCAAAAAGAUGUGUAAGGUUAAAAGGGGAGGACAUGCCAACAAUGAAAGAAGUUGCCAUGGAGCUGUAAGGAAUGAGAAUUACAGAAAAGCAUCCAUGGGGAAAAGCUGAAAUUUGUUCAGAAGAGACUGAGUGCUUACUUGGGCCAGGUAACUCAGAUGCUUAUCCUGUGGAUGUUAGAGCUAAUUGUGGUCCUAGUACUACUACAACUAUUGGGUAUGACAGCAUGCAGAUCCAGAUGUUAAUUCCACAUGAUGAUGGAAGAUAAUUCACUGCUUCAUAUAAUCAACUCAACAUUGUUUAUCAUUCUAGCCAUAGUGAAAUAGUGUUAUUUUUCAUCACAGACUGUAAGUGUAGCCGCAUUAGCUAGAGCCAAUGUGCUUCCUCUGUACCCUCGAGUUUGAAUUUUUCUUUUGCUGUAGUUUAGAUUUAGUUGAAAGUAAAGUAUCGCUUGUAUAAAAUAAAAUACUAUUAUUCAUCAUUUUGACAUGUUUUUAUUUAGGGUAUGUAUCAGAGCAUUAGGUGGUGGAGAUCCCAACUUUUGCACGUAAGAAGUGGCCCAACACCCAAAAACUAUAGCUAAUUUCUUCUUCAAAAUAAGUAUGAGUUUGGAAGAUCCCGAGUUACAUGCUUAUGACAUUCCGUACUUAAUUAGUGUAUAUGAUAAUUAAUUGUUAAUAUGGUAGUGAGAAAUAUUUCAAAAAAUAAAGUUAUAGAAAGAAAAAAAAAUCCCCGUAUAUCAACUACUAAAGUCGGUGAAGUAAUAGGUAAGUGCGUGCAAAAGUGAACUUUUUUUUUCCUUGGCUUUCUAAGUGUUUUUUUUUAAUUAUCUGGUACCAAAGUAUUUCAAAGGAAAUGGUGGCUUGUUGUUACAACAACGACUCGCGAGUCAACGAGGAGGGAUCGAUGGAGACAACAACAAUCUUUACAGCAGAAGGACUUGAGAAGGCCACAGACUACCACCAUGAGAGCAGAAGAACUUAAGGCAGUGGUUGCCCUAGAAAAGUCGAAAAUCGGAGCUUCAACCCAAAUGUGGUGAAGCUUCAUCAGCAGGAGAACUCUUUGAUCAUCUUCAUAGCAUAAAGAGCAAAGAAUCAACGCUUUCACGGGAGUUACGACUGAAGAUCGCAGCAGAAACUGCCGGAGCACUGGCGUACUUGCACUCCUCCACCUCCAUGCCAAUCAUACACCAAGAUGUGAAUAUAAUUGGCAGAAAGUUACUCAGGCACACAAGAAAUGAAAUACAUUCCAAACACAACAUAUUCAAAAUCCAGGCAGAUUGAUAUUUCUCGGAUGGAAUUCAAAAACGAGUUUUAACACGAAAAUGGUGUCUACAAUAUAUGAGGUUUCAAAGUUACAAAUCCAGGCAGAUUGAUAUUUCUCGGAUUGAUAAUCUACCAACUCAAUCUAAUUUGUUUAUUUUCAAAAGUCACAAGAAUCACCUAGACCAAAAUGCUCAACCUGUUCAUUACAGCGAAAUCAUGAUCACGUACCUUGAAAUAAAAUUUGAAAUAGAAAUACAAGAGAAGCACACAACCUAAUCAAAUUGCGUUCUUUAACAUAGAAACCCUGCUCAAGGAGAUGAUAAAACUAACAUAACCGUUGUCGGACUUGAAGGUUGGAAAAAUUGCUCCCACUUGAGCAGCAGGAGAUCAUCUUAUCUGGGUAGGAGAACAGAGCAAACCAGAUGCAUCUGAUCCAACCACUGAAAGAUCACAAAAGAACAGAGCUUCCCUUCCUGGUCCGGAACAAACCGAGAACUGCAGUAUGGGCAUGACACAUCCUUCUGUCCACGGUAAAUAGGCAAGUAUGUUGCCCCACAAACGACAAAUGGGUUUCUGAAAUCAUAGUUUAGCUGGGUUGCAUCAGUCAUGUUCUUUUCGGCAGCUUGCAGGAUUUGUCUUGCAGUCUUUGCAUGGUUUUCAAUGGUGGGGUUGGUUUCCAAAAGUCGCCUGGCAAAGUUAGCUGCCGUGUUGAGAUUACCAGCCUUAUAGCAAACACUCAUGGCAUUUAGUAAUGCAAGUCUCAAGUGAGGCAUCUGAAGGUUGCAGUGGGUGAAGUAAGCAGCUAGCUCCUGUUGGCGAACCGGAUCGCCUUUAAGUUCCUUCCUCUUAAUCUCCAUCUUCAAACCUAGAACAUACUCCUUUACAAUGAUAAUUAAUUCUUUUACUUCAUCAACCUCUCUCUUUGAAUCAACUACGAUCAGAGGAAUAGUAUACAGAAUACCAAGGAGAAGACGUAAAGCAUCAGCAAAUUUCCCUUGCGUUGUGGCCUUGUAACCCGCCUUAAGCUUCUCUUCUAGCUCUGAGAAUUUAAAUACAAGAGCAGGAGGACCCCUAACUUUAGGUGUAGCUGAUUCACUCCAUCCCCUCUCAAUGGCCACGGUGAGCACAUGAGCUGCCGAGAAGGCAUGUAGAUACAUAUGACUGCCCAUGUGUAAAUCGAGAAAUAAUUGUCUCAAGGGAUCAAAGUUCUUUACACCCAGCUCCCUGCUCAACAAACGCAUUGCAAUAUCGAAAUUCCCAGCAGUAGCAUGUUCAGCAACAAGAGAUGAUUUCUGGGACCAGGUUUGGCUUACAGGCAUACCUGGAGUUGGGGCAACAAACACAGAAGAACGGGCAUUGCUGGCAGUUUUUGGAGUAUCAAUCUCAGGUGGAAGUUCAAGAUCGCAUCCAGCACUGCACUGAUGUCUCCAUUUGGAAUAUUGUCCACGUCAACAAGAUCCAACUCCUCUCCCCAAUCAGCAUCUGCAGCCUCUUCAUAAUCUUCCUCAAUAUUCUUGCCCACAUUAUCAAGACCACCCUCAAAUAUUCCUCUCAUGACCCUCAACAAGGGCCAAUCUCCUCCGCAGAUGAUUGGCAUUGGUGGUAACAAAAGAGACGGAGAUUUCACCUUGGGUAAAACAGGAACAUUAUCUCCCAGUUCAGCCGCCAAACGUUCGGCAAUAUCAUGGAGCCCAUGAAUUUGCAUUACCCUGACGAAGGGCCUCCACUCCCAAUCGAUACCAGUGAUCUUUCUCAUCAAUUUCCUUGGCAGAAGCAACAGCAAUCUGGAUGUUCCCGCUCCCUAGUGCCAAGUUGAAGCGAGUCCUCUCAUCCUUCACAAAAUGAAGGGCAACCUCAGGGAAACCUUUCUGCUGUAGAUAUGCAAUCAUGGCCUGGCCACAGAGCUCAGAACUCCUUAUCAUGCUCAUAACCUGGUCAUACCUCUUCUUCAGUAAGGAUAACUUGAAAACAUAUUCUGUUGCAUCAACAACAAUGGCACAGUUCUUCCCAUCUCGAUCCAAGCAAUGUAUGGUGUUUCCAUACACUUUUGUUAUAUAUACGGGAACGUCGAGGGUCCUGAUGAUUCCACUAUCCCCAUUAGGAAGGCAGUAUUUGAUGUGGUUCAAGGUUGUAUAUAUGAAGACGCCAUUGUCAUCCCAAGCUCCACUCUUUACACUAAUGCACUAGCUUCUUAUUUGCUAUCACAAUUGAAUGUUUGCUCGGUAAAGCAAUGCUCUCCAUGUCAUUUGACCAAACAAUAUACCUUACGAAAGGAGUUUGAAGCUCCCCAACAAUAGUUCUCUGCUGCAGGUCAAAAAUAAUGACUCUGUCCUCUGCCCUGCACAGCAAGUUUCCAGUUCCAGCAUAAAAUAUUGUUGUGCGGAAGCAUCAAAUAUGAAACCAAUAAGCUACAACAGCAAAAUAUGACAAGACAAGCAAUCCAAAUGACACAAGGAUUUAUACUGGUUCGGCAUAAGCCUACGUCCAGUUUCGAGACGGCGAGGAAAUUCCACUAAUAUCAAAAUGGAAAUUACAAAUUGAGUUUUAACUCUAUUUGUAAUCUCCUUUUGAUAUUAGUGGAAUUUCUCCGCCGUCUCGGAACUGGACGUAGGUUUACGCCGAACCAGUAUAAAUCCUUGUGUCAUUUGGAUUAUUUGUCUUAUCAUAUUUUGCCGUUGUAGUUUAUUGGUUUCAUAUUUGACGCUUCCGCACAACAAGUGGUAUCAGAGCUCUGGGUUUCGACUUGGGGCUUUGUACUAAUAUGUCUAUGAAACCUUCGAAUAUGUCGGUGAAAUAUGAUAUUGAAAAAUUCAAUGGGAGAAAUGAUUUUAGCCUGUGGCGGGUUAAGAUGCGAGCUGUGCUAGUUCAACAAGGGUUGCUUAAGGCGCUACAGGGUGUGGAGGCCUUGCCACAAGAUUGGUCUGCUGAAGAAAAAGAAGACACUUUGAAUCGAGCAUAUAGUGCAAUUAUGUUAUCACUAUCUGAUGAAGUUCUUCGUGAGAUGGAAAAUGAAACUACUGCAGCUGGUUUGUGGCUUAAGUUGGAGAGUAUAUACAUGACCAAAUCCCUCACCAAUCGUUUGUAUUUGAAGCAACGUUUGUACACUCUCCGUAUGACUGAAGGUACACCUAUUCAAAACCAUCUUGAUGAGUUUAAUAAGGUUAUUAUGGAUUUGAAAAGUAUGGAUAAUAAAAUUGAUGAUGAGGAUCAAUCUUUGAUUUUGUUGUGUUCUUUACCUCCUUCGUAUGCGAAUUUUGUUGAAACUUUGUUAUAUGGGAGAGAUUAUAUUUGUAUGGAGAAUGUAAAAGCCGCUUUGAAUUCAAGAGAGUUAAAGAACAAAGUAUUUGGAAAUUUGAAUGAUUCUCAUUCUGAGGCUUUUAUAGCAAGAGGCAGAGAUAGGGAAUAUGGUUCAGGUAGUAAUAAAGGAAAUUUGAGAUCGAAGUCUAAGACCAGAAACAACACAUGCAACUAUUGUCGCAAGGAAGGGCAUUGGAAAGUUGAUUGCCCAAAACUGAAAGAUAAUGUUGGUGUGAGUGCGAAUGUCGUCGAUGACGACUUCGACUUUGUUCUAUGAUGACAGUUGGCUACACCAGAUUUGAAAUAAAAAAAAUAAAAAAAAAAGAAAAAAAGAAGAAAGGGAAUCUGGUGUUGUGGGUACUCUUAAAUCUCUUUGCUACAUAUGGAGAUUUAAGAUUUUGUAAGGAUUCUUUGUUAUGAUUUGAGAAAGUUGCUUAGUAGCCUCUAUGUAUGUUUGUGUUAUGUCAGUUGCUCUUCAUCGGUGUUUUUAUUGUUUUGGAUAUUGGUAUGGUUUUGCUUUUUUUUGGUAAAGUUGAAUUCAGUGAGGGCCAAUUUGUUAAGUUCUGCAAGUUUGGAUAGUGAGACACCACACUAUUUUGGAGACACCACAUGCACUGCAGAACAUUUGUGUGGAACCCUCUUGUAGAAGGCAAGUUAUAUGCUUUCUAACUUUGUUUGGUCUAUGGACAUUUGGUUGGAUUUGUUUACCAUUGCUAUUUGGUCUGUUGGUCUCCAUCAUCUGCAAUUAGUUUUCUUGAAGACUCCAGUUGAGGUAUGAUUUUGGAUCUUUAGCUGAUUAUUUGAAUUUGAAAUUUUGGUUGACCUGUUGGUGCUCAUGUGAUGAUGGUAAACUUGAGUGAAAGGCAUAUUUUUUGUUGUGGUAUGUGAGACCUUGUUGCCAAAUUUGUAAUCAGUUUUGACUUGGAGAAUGUGCCAUGCUAUGUGAAUGAGUCUAUUGGUGCAGUUUAAGACCAUGGUGUUUAUGAGCAGGUGGAGUUCGUUGUGUGUCCAACUUUGGUAUGGUGUGCUUGAUCUUUUGUUGGUGAUAUUGAAGAAUUUCAGUUCUUCGUUUGAAUCACCUUUUGUUUUGAUCAAGGCACUUAUGGUUUGCAAAUUUGGAGACGACGGUAGAGAAAUGGUCUACUUUUGUUGGCUUUGGUACAAUUUGAGUCGAGGUGGAGAUCAUUAUGAGUACCGAGAGCUUGUGGAAUUUGAUUUAGCUUCCGUUGUCUCUAGUUCGUAUUUUGGGUGCUUAUGAUGAUUGUUGAGUCGACUCUGUGUUGCUUUCGAGAAUUUCGCCAAGGUGGAGAUUGUUGGAUUUUGUGGCUCAAUACUUCUUGGGCCUUUAGUUUUUUGUCUCAAGCCCAAAUAGGUUUGGCCUUUUGUUACCCAUUUGAAAGCCACAUGGCAGCUAGGGUUUAAUUAAAAGGCACCAGCCUUAUAUAAGGCAAUUCAUGCCUUUUGGUAAAAAAAGAGAGCAUAAACUCAGCGGCAGCAGAUAGCAGAAAACAGAGAGCAGCCGAUAGAGAAGAAAACAAAGUGCUGCUGUUUUACUGUUCUCCAUUUGUGCAAUCAUUCAUUCAAAGAUAUAUUGCUACAUUUUGUGGCUUUUGGGAGAGAAGGAUUUGGUAUGUGUUUCUUCUUCUCCAUUUGUUCUUUGUAUGAGUGAAAGCUAUUGGGUGUAUGUGAGAUUUGGGUUUGAGUGUUGAACUCUAUUUGUAAUCUCCUUUUGAUAUUAGUGGAAUUUCCCCGCCGUAUCGGAACUGGACGUAAGCUUACGCCGAACCAGUAUAAAUCCUUGUGUCAUUUGGAUUAUUUGUCUUAUCAUAUUUUGCCGUUGUAGUUUAUUGGUUUCAUAUUUGACGUUUCCGCACAACAAAUAUUGCAUCAGCAACAAUAGGUAGGGCACUCUUCCUGAAAAUCUCAUUUUUCAGAUUUUUAACUAUAACUUGGUGCUCUUUUCAAGCACUGCAAACCUAUUUCGAGCCGCGAACACAGCUGGGCCUCCGAUUCCUCUUUUUGCCUCCUGCGCAGUAUCACCCCGACCAAAGCUAUCUUUGGGUAUAACGUAUAGUUCAUAAGACCCCCCUUCCAUAUCUGAACAUAUCAAAGCAGCAUUUUCUGUAGGGCUGUAAGAUAGUGUCUUUGCCCCUUGAUUCAAGUUGGAAGAACCACGAUGUGAAUAUAUCAAAAGAACAGGUGUAAAUAUAUCAAAUUUACAUGGUGGCAUAGACGUAAAUAUAUCAAAAGAACAGGCGGUGGCAAUUUUGCAAAAUAAAAUGAAAUCCGGCCAAAUUCACUGUUCAGGUGAACAGUGCAAUUGGAUUUCUUACUUUAGACUAAAGUAAUGAUCUAUUAAACUUCUUAAUGUCAGGAGAAAUUUUUCAUUGUUACUGAAACAUGAGGGGUAUAUCAAGUAUUUUUAUGCAAGUGGUGAAAAUUUUAUUUUUUAAGUUAUUAACUUUUUAAUACACAUAUCACACCAUUAGUAUAGUGACAAGUGAUGUAUCAUCCCGUAUUCCGAUCACACUAAAAAAUCUGUCUAAGAACGGUGUAAGUCUAUGUUUUAAGAUUAAAAACAAGGAAAAGUUAGAUCGUAACAAAGACCUUAUCAACCUUCUAUACGUUUCUAGAAAAACAAGAAAACAAUAUCUUCAAUUUCAUUUUUUCAGAAACCAAUAAAACGUUGAUAAGUUCUUGCUCCACCAUCUAUCUUUUCUUUCCUGUUUUUACUCAAAAUACACAGACUAUGUAGCCCUCACAAAAGUAUUUAAAUGACGGAAAUUUUAUUUGAACCCAUAUUUUGUAUCUCAACAUCCAGCUUAUUUUUUUAUACCCAUAUUGUAUUUGAUUUAUCUAUCAUUAUCUCUUUACACCCAACGUUAUUUCCAAAACAGCCAUUACUUAUCAAAACUCAACUCAAUCAAACUUCUUUUUACACCCAUAAAAAAUAAAACCCUAACCAGUCCAUCAUCUUCAUGGAGCAAAUCUCCUUCUCUCUCUUUAAAAAAUCCUUCCAUCUCCCAUGGUUGUCAUUCUGCACCCCAUCUACUCCUUUGUAGUCAUCAAAACAUCUUCCUCUUCCUUUUCUUCAUCAUUUGACAUCUCUAAAUUUCUAGAGCAUUAAUUAGCUUAAUAAUUGGUAUGUGUUCAAUCGAUUGGUUCAAUUUUUACGUAUUGAUUCCUUUUCCUUUUCAAUUAAAUGAGCUUUUGGUUAUAGUGUUUAAUGAGUUUGGUAUGUUUUAAUUAAAUGAGAAUCUUCUAGACUCUAUAUUCCUAUAUGUGGUAGAAAAAUGGGUACGUCCAUGAUAACUUUUGGUAAAUUAAUGAAUAUUUUUAACCGUUGAUAGUUUUUUUUUUUUUUUUGUCGAAAUAUGCAUGAAACACACACAUUUGUCCCUUCAUGCCACUUGGUUAUAAGCAAACAUCAUGCAAACAUCUAACUUACUAAUGCUAUCGCUUGACUUAAAAAAAAAUCGAAAUGUAUGUAGUGGAUAAACACAAUCUCAAACUUUAAUUGAACUCACAUAACAACGAUAAAUAAAGGCAUUAUCACAACUUAGGGGUGGUGAGCAAUCCCAUUAAAAUAGAACUUAAUAUAUACGUAUUAAAAACAAAAACAAAUUGAUGCAAAAUCUCCCGACGACUAAUACUAUUCCAAGUCAUGCAUGAAACAUACACAUGUCCCUUCAUGCCACUUGAUUAUAAGCAAACAUCAUGCAUGCACAAGUUAUUUACUAAUUAGUAUUACUACUAUUCAGCUAUCAUGACCCUUUUUUUUCUGUUACUCAUACGCCCAAGACAUUGUAAAUAAUGUUGAUUAUUCAAAACGAAUAGAUUUAUAAUUUCUAGUAUCUAAUAAAUAUCCAGAUUAAAAAUAUUCAUCAAUCUACAAAAUUUCCUCAUGGAGGUACCCAUUUUUUUGCCACAGAUACCAAUAUAGAGGCUAAAAGACAAUACGAUAUUAAAUUCAUAUGUGGUCGAGAUAUUUAUGAAUUUAAUCAUUAAAAUGCAUAAGCUCAAUUAUACAUUCAAGUUAGAUCAAUUCCCGAAGUUUUAGUCAACAAUAAAACUGCUUACCUAUGAGUUCACCUAUAAAACAUGCAAAAGCGAUAUACUUUUUAACCACAGUUAUAUGUGUUUGUACCAUACUUAGGGCAUUCGUAUUUAGAUCUCGUAUAAAUACUCGGGAGACUCAAAUGUAAUUAUGUAAUAAAUGAAGGGGCAAAUAUGUAAUAAGUAAGGAGCCCUUAUUCUAUAAAAGGGCCUCAUCACCCUCACAAUCCUCAAGCUUCACUUUCACAUUACAAAGCUCUCAUCCUCACAUACAGAGGCCAAGUUUUAGGCCAUGGGAGGAGAGCACACAGAAAAUAGGCUAAAGAGCGCAUUGCCACUAGCCUUCUUGUAUAUUCGCCAUUCAGAAUGAAACAAUAUCAACAUCAGUGUGGACGUAGCCCAAACAUUGGGGUGAACCACUAUACAUCUUGUGUUCUUUACUUUCUUGCAGAUUCACGGUCGGAUUUACGUUGUUCCGAUACCCUUCCGGUUUUGUGCAUCAACAUUUGGCGCCGUCUGUGGGAAACGAUACAAAAAGCUGUGUCGGUUCUCUUUCAUUUUUUCACCUCCAUCGUGAAUCUGCAAAAACCAACCCAAGGCUUUCCAGAAAACCCACGGAGCCACCUCCUCUCUCAGUCAGUCGCACACAAAAACCAAUUUGCAAACCCAAAGAAAACAUUUCCUCGUUUGGUUGCGGCUGUCCUCUCUCAUUCUCUCGUCGUGUUGCUUUCUUUUUCUCUCCCAGUAAGAGCCUCACGUCACAUAACUUGAAACCAACUCUUGUAAUUAGCACUUCUCUGAGAUUCAUGAAAGCGGAAAGCUCGAGAGAGAGAGAGAGAAAGAAAGCUUAGAGAGAGAGAAAGAACCGAUGGCUCUGAGUCUGAAUUCAAUGCUGACCUUCUUGUUUCACAACCUCACUGCCAAGUCCCACAAUCUCAGAUCUCCCAAAAUCUUCAUGGCCUCCACUCUUCAGUCAUCCACUAAAGAGACUGAGUUCAAUCGGGUUCUCCGCCUCUCUCCGCUUGUGUUCUUAAACCGAGUAGUGAGUUUAAUGUGUUUGGAAGAAAUCCAGCAGACAAGGAAAGCAAGCAGCUUAAGAGGUUGUUGAGGAACAGAGUUUCAGCACAGCAAGCAAGGGAGAGGAAUAAGGCAUAUUUCACACUUCCCCUAACAGAAAUAGCCGAUCCCAACCGCCAUCGGAUUUCAAAUCCACUCUGAGAACAAAUGGUGGAGAGUGGGAGCGAGACCGCCGCCGGAGCUAAACCCAAACGAAAACCAAUCGUAUGGCUGGGGAUUUUCCUCAUCUCCCACAGUUUCUUCUUCAGUAUCGUUUUCUCCGCCGCCAGGGUGGUGGCUCUCUCGCUGCUUCCGGUUCUCGUUAAGAACACUUACAUUUUCGAGAAUGCCCUCAUGCCUGGCUCUGCGGCAUCUACGCUUUCGAAUCAGAAGGUUGCAGAGGCAAGCAGAUUGGUUAAUGAUUUGACCUCUUCGAAUUCGAAGCCUCUCGUUUCAGCAAUUAGAAGGGGAGCCGCCUUGGCAGCCUGCCUUUCCUGAGCAAGACGUACGACAUGGUGGACGACCCGAUUACCAACCUGAUCGUAUCCUGGAGCUCCACCAACAGCAGCUUCGUGGUUUGGAACCUGCCGGAGUUCGCUAGGGACCUCCUGCAACUCUGGGCUUCUCUAGGACCUCCUUUCAAGAAUCUGGUACCCAAUAAACCGGUUCAGAAUAACCCAGUUCAAACUCGGGUUUUGGACUCCGAGAAAAAGAUGAUGCUGCAGACAGAUGACCCACGGGAGAACAUGCAAAAGGGGAAAAUCAUUUAUGGGUCGUCUUCCAUUUGAGGGAUCCAGCUGAAAUAAGCUUUCCCAUCCAUUGUUCUCACUUUCUUCGAAUUCCCUUCUACUCAUUCCUCUCGGCGCAGAGACAGACUGUAAAGAUUAAUUGGGUGCACAUGCAUGAUAGCAGCGCACAAACAGACAGAAAGCAGAAAACAGAAAGCGAAAGCGAAAGCAAAGCAGAAAAAACCGAGAAAAAGCAUAAAGCAAAAAUGAGGCUUUCCUCUGCGAGAGCACAUGGGGACACUGCAAAAGCAAGGAAUAAACACCCACACUACAAAAGUAAGGAAUAAACACCCCAUCAGAAUGAUGUGAUUUACUUUUCUUGUUUUUGAAUGAUGUGAUUUAUUUUUCUUAUCUUUCGGAGAUAUCUGUAUAACCCUAUCAGAAGGUAAUAAUAAAAUAAAAUAAAAUAAAAUAAACGGCAAGCCCAAAGUAAUGGGCUGGAAUGUUCUGUGAAAGGCGAAGGCCCAUAUGCCCAAAAAAGCCAGGCUUCUAUUAUCACCAAUCAGGUGAUCAAAAGUACGUCGAGUACUCCAAAUUUAUUCUGCAGCCUGCCGCUAGUAUCACCAACCAGGUGAUCAAAAGUACGCCCAGUACUCCAAAAUUAUUCGGCACCAUGCCGCUAUUAUCACCAACCAGGUGAUCAAAAGUGAUCAAAAGUACGCCCAGUACUCUAAAAUUAUUCGGCAGCUUGCCGUUAUUAUCACCAACCAGGUGAUCAAAAGUACGUCCAGUACUCCAAAAUUAUACAUGAGCAUCACUCAUGUCAAUCAUACAUAAACAUUUAUGAGCAUCACUCAUGUCAAUCAUACAUAAACAUUCAUGAAUAUCAUUCAUGUCAACAUUUAUGAGCAUCAUUCAUGUCAACAUUCAUGAGCAUCACUCAUGUCAACAUUCAUGAGCAUCACUCAUGUCAACAUUCAUGAGCAUCACUCAUAUAAACAUUCAUGAGCAUUACUCAUGUCAAUCAGCUUCGAAAGCUUCAUUUACAGAGCUCCAGCUUCGAGAGCUUCAUUUACGAAGCUCCAGCUUUCAAAGCUUCAUUUACAAAAGCUCUAUCUUCAAAGCUUCACUUGCAAAGCUUCACCUACAAAGCUUCAGUGCAGGGUAUACAAAUACCGCCUCCGAACAACCGCCACUUCGGCCCAUACAUGGUUCGAAUUUGAAGUCUCCAGCCAACAGACUCUAUUGACUGAAGACUUGGGGGACUACACUAUGUACCAUAUAUUGGGCCUCAUAAAAAAUACUUGGGGGACUUAGCCCAUUAUUUAUGUACUGAGGAGUGAACCCUUAUUCUAUAAAAGGGACUCUCUCACUUUCAUUAGAGAGCACCCAUUAUUCAUGUACUGAGGAACGAACCCUUAUUCUAUAAAAGGGACUCCCUCACCUUCAUUAGAGGGCAUCGCCGCCAGCUGAGCAACUGCCUCGCCGCGAGCAUCACUCCUAACCCAUCACUCAUGUAUUGAGGAGCGAGCCCUUAUUCUAUAAAAGGGACUCCCUCACCUUCAUUAGAGAGCAUCGCCGCCAGCUGAGCAACCGCCUCGCCACGAGCAUCACUCCUAACCCAUCAUUUAUGUAUUGAGGAGCGAGCCCUUAUUCUAUAAAAUGGACUCCCUCACCUUUAACGCCACAAGCCAAGCCAACCAAGGCAACAUAAGCCACAAGCAGAGCAACCUCGCAACAUGUGCUACUUCUAGUUGAGCAUCAUUUCAGAUUGGGCACCGCCUCAUAUCGAGUAUCAGUUCUAGACGACAUCUAGUUACUUCGACCCACACAUAAACUGAAUUUCAAAUCUCCAGCCAAAAGACUCUCUUGACUGAAGACUUGGGGGACUACUGUUUGUACCAUACUUAGGGCCUCCGUAUUUAGAUCUCGUAUAAAUACUCGGGAGACUCAAAUGUAAUUAUGUAAUAAAUGAAGGGGCAAAUAUGUAAUAAGUGAUGAGCCCUUAUUCUAUAAAAGGGCCCCCUCACCCUCACAAUCCUCAAGCCUCACUCUCACAUUACAAAGCUCUCAUCCUCACAUACAGAGGCCAAGUUUUAGGCCAUGGGAGGAGAGCACACAGAAAAUAGGCUAGAGAGCGCACUGCCUCUAGCCUUCUUGUAUAUUCGCCAUUCAGAGUGAAACAAUAUCAACAUUAGUGUGGACGUAGCCCAAAUAUUGGGGUGAACCACGAUACACCUUUUGUUCUUUACUUUCUUGCAAAUUCACGGUCGGAUUUAUGUUGUUCCAAGACUCCUCCGGUUUUGUGUAUCAACAUUAUGUAUUGUGAAUUUUUGUCCUCAACUUUUGUAGCAUAUACAAGCUAAAAGAUAAUACAAUAUUAAAUCCAUAUAUGGUCGAAAUAUUUAUCAGUUUAAUCAUUAAAAUGCAUAAACUCAAUUACACAUCCAGGUUAGAUCAAUUCUCGAAGUUUUGCUCCACAAUAAAAACUGCUUAGCUAUGAGUUCACCUAUAAAACAUGCAAAGGCAAUAUACUUUUUAGCCACAGUUCAAUGUAAUGUGAAUUGUUGUCUGCAACUUUUGUAUCUAAUAAAUAUCUACGGUUAAAAAUAUUCAUUGAUCUAUUAGAAGUUAUCAUGGACGUACCCAUUUUUCUACCACAUAUAGGAAUAUAGAGGCUAGAAGAUUAUCAUUUAAUUGAAACAUACCAAACUCAUUAAACACUCUAAUCAUAAGCUCAUACCAAUUAUUAAGCUAAUUAGUGCUCUAGAAAUUUAGAUAUGUCAAAUGAUGAAGAAAAGGAAGAGGGAGAGGUUUGGAUGACUAUGGAGGAGUAGAUGGGGGUGCGGAAUGACAACCAUGGGAGAUGGAAGGAUUUUUUAAAGAGAGAGAGAAGGGAAUUUGCUCUAUGGGGAGAUGAUGGACUGGGUAGGGUUUUAUUUUUUAUUUUUAAGUAGAUUGAGUUGGGUGUAAAAAGAAGUUUGAUUAAGUUGAGUUUUGAUAAGUAAGGGCGGUUUCGGAAAUGAUGUUGGGUGUAAAUAGAUAAUGAUAGAUAAAUCAAAUACAAUGUGGAUAUAAAAAGUAAGUUGGGUGUUGAGAUACAAAAUAUGGGUUCAAAUAAAAUUUCCCUUUCAACAACUAGUUUCUUAAAAAAAGAACAGUAAUGCUAUUCUUACCAUGUUUUUAUACCACAUUUAUAUAUCACCUUAUGUGGCAUUUGAUGUGGACAACCACAUCAUUUAAAUUAGAAUUUAAUUUAAAAUUAAAAAUCAUUUAAUAAAUCAAUAAUUCAAUAAUUAAAAUAAAAGCUGGAAUUAAAUGGUGAUUAUGGCAUACGAGGAGUCUUCUCCUUCCUUCCCCAUUCAAUCCUGCUUCUUCUCCCGUUUCUUCUUCAAUGCCAGUUCUUUCAUGCCGUAAUUUUUUCGCUCCCCUAUCUGGAUUAUUAGUACGCAUCUAUCAUUUUUUUUUCAAUGAAUUUAAUUUAUUUUUGUCUGUUUAUUUCUUCUUCUUUCUCUCAAUCUCCAUUAUGUAGCAAGAUAAAUUCUUCUUCGGGUCUUGAUCAGAGUCGACGUUAGUGGUGUCGUGGUGAGGGAUGAAGGUUUUUUGACGAUACGUACUUGAGAUUCCUUAAUUUGAUUAUAAGUAGGAACAAGAUGGAGUCCUUAAUGAUUCAAAGUGUUAAAUCUUCAACCCCCAGUGUCAUAUUUUUCUAUGAACAAAAAGGUUUAGGUAAAUAGUCUAAUGGAGAUCGAGAGAAAGAAGAAGAAUAAACUGACUACAAAAAUGUAAAUUCAUUGAAAAAUAAUGGUAAAUGCUUACCAAUAAUCCAAAUAGGGGAGCGUUGAUGAACCUUUGCCUUAUGAGAAUUAGUUGAGAUUGUGGUAGUCCACACCAAGGAAGAAAAUAUCGGUAAUAUCGGAAAUAUCGGUAGUCCGAAAACACGGAAAUAUCGAUGGAAAUAUCAGGAUAAUAUCGAUAUCGAUAAAAAUUACAUGGAAACCACGGAAAUUGUAAGAAAAACUUGGAAAUUUUUAUUGAAACUUUGCAGGAUGUUUAUUUAGUCAAUUAUCUAUUAGUUUAUCACAAAAAAUUGGAAGGAAAUGCAUUGCAUGAUGGAUUUAACUGAUUUAAGUUGAUUAUACAGCGAGCUGGCAAACACUGUGAGUGUAGAAAAUAUGUAGUAAUUAAUGAAAAAAAGAUUAAACACACCAUAAUCAUUUAUAUAUAAUGAUUUACUACAAUAUUUUACACUUUAUACAUUGCAGGGUAAGAUACAUGAGUGAUUUAGAAUCUUGAUGAAACCACCAUUACUUUUUAUCUUGUCAAAAGUUGUAAAAGUUGUCAAGAGUCAGAGACAGAGAGUCAGAGACAAGGUUAUGAAUUAAGGAAAACUAAUGAAAAGAGCUUGAAAACUUUGAGUUUUAACGAUAAGGACAAAAUAAAUGGUAAAAUGAAUAGUACCAAGAUUGAUUUUUUAGUGUAAAAAUGUGAUUUUUCAUUAAAGUGAACAGUACCAUGAGUUUUUUGUUAAAGUUCCCUAUGAAUUAUUUGAAUGCUUUUUUUUUUUUUCUCACACGCCACCACACACAUACACAGAGUCAGAGACUCUCACACGCCACCACACACGCACACAGAGACAUUUAUAAAAUAUAUGUUUAAUUUAAAUAGGUUUAAGAAUUAUGUGGAUCGUCGGAUUGGUUGAGAUUUAAUCUCAACCGUCCAAUCCAACUUAAGUUUUUCAGUCCUCUCCUCUCCGUCUCUCAUUCUGAAUCUCUGAUUCAUAGACACGCACACACAUUCUUGAACUCUCUCAAGUCUGAACCCAAUCUCAUCUCUCUCAGUCUCGACUCCACAGUCGUCGAGACGCCAUCAUCAUCAUCCAAGAGUCACCGCAGAAAAAAGGGGCGCCGUUGUCGUCAGAAGUAAGGAGGCGCCGUCAUCGAGACUCUUGCCUCUCCUUCUGUAGAAGUAUGAAGGAGGCACCGUCAUCGUCAUCCAAGAGUUGUCGACGUUGUUGUUAUCCAAGAGUCGCCGCAGAAGAUUUGACAACGAUUCUGCAUUGUAUACUGAGUCCAAUGGUUUCGAUAGUCGCAACUCCUCUCCGGCGAAGCUCCAGGGAGCGGAAGGAACGAAGCAGUCGUAGAAAAAGCAGCCGCCGGAAUGAACGAUGAGAUUUCUGGGUUGAUUUCAAAAUAUAAGGUUUUAUUUCGAUUUUUUUUUCUGGGUUGAUUUCUAGGGUUUGUCAAGAUUGGGGUUGAAUCUGUUUUGAUUGUUUCUUGAUCUGCAAUUGGAACAAGAUUGGGGUUGAUUUCUGGGUUGAUUUCUAAAAUGUCGCGAUAAUAUCGGUAAUAUCGCGAUAUUAUCGAUAAUAUCGAUAAUAUCGCGAUAUUAUCGAUAAUAUCGAUAAUAUCGCGAUAUUUUGACGAAAACCUAUUGGAUGUGUGUGGAAAUAUCGGACUCCGAAAAAAACGAUAAUAUCGGCGAAAUAUCGCCGAUAUUAUCGAUUUUUUAUACCCUGGUCCACACUAACAUAAAAAAAACUGGUGCGAAAAAAUAUGGCGUGAAAGAACUGACGGAAGAAGAAACGGGAGAAGAAGCAUGAUUGAAUGGGGAAGGAAGGAGAAGAUUCCUCGUAUGCCACAAUCACCAUUUAAUUCCAGCUUUUGUUUUAAUUAUUGAUUAUAAAAACAUGGUAAGAGUAUCAUUACUGAAAAAAGAAAGAAAAUAAUCAAUAAAUUCACUUUAGGUGUAAAUACAUAUAUUCACAUCGCUUUACUUAUUUAUAUAUUCCAAGUUAAUUAAGGUAAUUAAGUAAUCUUUCUUGACUCAACUUUAAAUAAUUAAAUAAACUUGGCUUGACUUUGCACACUCCCCUCGCUUAUUGACUAAUGACUCAGUACUAAGUCAUUAUCACAACUUAGGGGUGGUGAGCAAUCCCAUUAAAAUAGAACUUAAUAUUUACAUAUUAAAAACAAAAACAAAUUGAUGCAAAAUCUCCCGACGACUAAUACUUUCCCAAGUCAUGCAUGAAACAUACACAUUUGUCCCUUCAUGCCACUUGGUUAUAAGCAAACAUCAUGUCAUGCAUAAAACAUACACAUUUGUCCCUACAUCUAACUUACUAAUGUUAUCGCUUGACUUAAAAAAAAAAAAAAAAAUCGAAAUGUAUGUAGUGGAUAAACACAAUCUCAAACUUUAAUUGAACUCACAUAACAACGAUAAAUAAAGGCAUUAUCACAACUUAGGGGUGGUGAGCAAUCCCAUUAAAAUAGAACUUAAUAUAUACAUAUUAAAAACAAAAACAAAUUGAUGCAAAAUCUCCCAACAACUAAUACUAUUCCAAGUCAUGCAUGAAACAUACACAUGUCCCUUCAUGCCACUUGAUUAUAAUCAAACAUUAUGCAUUUACUAAUACUAUUCCAAGUCAUGCAUGAAACCUACACAUUUGUCCCUUCAUGCCACUUGAUUAUAAGCAAACAUCAUGCAUGCACAAGUUAUUUACUAAUUAGUAUUACUACUAUUCAGCUUGUAUCAUGACCUUUUUUUUUUUUUCUGUUACUCAUACGCCCAAGACAUUGUAAAUAAUGUUGAUUAUUCAAAACGAAUCAACAACUAGUUGCACAUGGUCACAGUCAGUGAUACUCCCAACUUGAUAAAGAAAGACAAACAAGGAAAUCGAAUUCCAAACUAAAAUAAAAUGUAUAUAAAUAUAGAAAAUUGUUAUUAGCACUCCAAAAAUCUCAUUUGGCAUUCCAAACUUUCUAUAAUUAGAAAGAAAAAUACACUUGUGCAAAGUGUAGAAUGAAAUUUUUUGAGUGCUAAUAACAGUUCCCUAAAUAUGUCUUAACAAAUAUUGUACGUGGCAUUGUUUUAGACUUUCGCGAAUAGACUUAUAAUUUCUAGUAUCUAAUAAAUAUCCAAAUUGAAAAUAUUCAUCGAUCUACAAAAUUUUCUCAUGGAGGUACCCAUUUUUUUUUGCCACAGAUACCAAUAUAGAGGCUAAAAGACAAUACGAUAUUAAAUUCAUAUGUGGUCGAGAUUUUUAUGAAUUUAAUCAUUAAAAUGCAUAAACUCAAUUAUACAUUCAAGUUAGAUCAAUUCCUGAAGUUUUAGUCAAUAAUAAAACUACUUAUCUAUGAGUUCACCUAUAAAAUGUGCAAAGGAGAUAUACUUUUUAACCACAGUUUUAUGUAUUAUGAAUUUUUAUCCGCAACUUUUGUGGCAUAUAGAGGCUAAAAGAUACUACGAUAUUGAAUCCAUAUAUGGUCAAAAUAUUUAUCAGUUUAAUCAUUAAAAUGCAUAAACUAAGUUACACAUCCAUGUUAGAUCAAUUCCCGAAGUUUUGCUCCACAAUAAAAACUGCUUAGCUAUGAGUUCGCCUUUAAAACGUAAAAAAAAAAAAGGAGUGAAAAAAUAUGGCGUGAAAGAACUGGCGGAAGAAGAAACGGGAGAAGAAGCAUGAUUGAAUGGGGAAGGAAGGAGAAGAUUCCUCGUAUGCCACAAUCACCUUUUAAUUCCAGCUUUUGUUUUAAUUAUUGAUUUAUUUAAUGAUUUUUAAUUUAAAUUAAAUUAUGAUUAAUUUAAAUGAUGUGGCUGUCCACAUCAAAUACCACAUAAGGUGGUAUAUAAAUGUGAUAUAAAAACAUGGUAAGAGUAUCAUUACUGAAAAAAGAAAGAAAAUAAUCAAUAAAUUCACUUCAGGUGUAAAUACGUAGAUUUGCAUCGCUUUAUUUAUUUAUUUAUUUGUAUAUUCCAAGUUGAUUAAGGUAAUUAAGUAAUCUUUCUUGACUUAACUUUAAAUAAUUAAAUAAACUUGGCUUGACUUUGCACUGCCGUCGCUUAUUGACUAAUGACUCAGUACUAAGUCUUUUUUUUUUUUUUUUUUGGUCAGGUACUAAGUGAGAUCGAUAUUUUCUUGUGCUCGUCCUGGAAAUAAACCGGACAAAGCCUAAUGGUGGACUAAAACAAUAACAGACAAAUCAGCCAAGAUGAGGAACACAAAAUAUGCCACCAUGCGUUUUAAUCCCUUCCAUUUAUAUUAAUUCCUACGGAAGGCCAACCAUGCUCAAGGCAACGCGUAUCGACUAAUGACUAAUACUAAGUCAGGUGGAUGUUUUCUUGUGCAUUUCCUGGAAAUGAAUGGGACAAAGCCUAGUUGUGGACUAAAACAAUAACAGACAAUUAAGAGUAGGGACACAUUUUCCCCCAAUCCAAAAUAUUCCACCACGCGUUUUAAUCCCUUCCACGUAUAUAUUCCUACAGAAGGCCAACCUUCUUAAUUAGCAGUUCCUUAAUUUCUUGGAUCCAUCACCUGCUUGGAUUUUCUCUGCUACUGCUAGGAUCUGCUCGACCCUUUUUAGUUAAUACUACAUGGCGUUACAUAGGAGGAUGCAUAUUUUGCAUCUCUCUUUAGUAAUGGUGGUAGUUGUUACAAUUUUACUAGGAACUCCAACUCCAACAACAGCUCAAUCUCUCCUUCCGCCUCAGCUGGCACUGCCUGACUGCCCUGACCAUUGUGGCAAUCUCACAAUUCCAUACCCAUUUGGCAUAGGCUCUGAUUGCUACCUCGACGACCGGUUUGAAAUCACUUGUAACAUUUCCACUCAACCGCCAACAGCAUUUUUGAUGACGGGCAAUGUCGAAAUUACCAACAUAUCUCUUUAUGACGGUGAGGUCCAAAUACUACAGUUCGCAACCAGUGAUUGUUAUGAUGCUCAAGGCAACUCGAACGAAACGAACAGUGCCGAUCUCUCUGUGCCUCCUCCUUACACCAUCUCCAAAACCAAAAACAUGUUCGUUGCAGUUGGAUGCGACACAUAUGCGUUUUUUAUAGGUUACCGGGGUGAAAAAAAGUACACAACUGGGUGUAUGUCCAUAUGUGACAAUCUUGGCAACGCUAUCGAUCAGCGGGAUACUUGCUCUGGCGUUGGAUGUUGCCAAACUAAAAUCCCCAGUGGGCUGCAAAAUCAGACUGUGACCUUGGGAGGCUUUAACAAUUAUACGGAUGUGCGGGACAGCAACCGAUGCAGCUACGCGUUCCUUGUGCAAGAAGGCGAGUUCAACUUUAAAAAUACAAGUCUUCAAGAACUAAACAAGAAAGCCCAGCUUCGGGAAAUUCUUGAUUGGAAAAUUGGGAAGGAAUGAGUUAUGUAAUAUUGCAGCUAAAAACGAUAGCACUUUUGCAUGCAAGGCAAAUAGCUUCUGCCAUAAUCGGACUUCAGGCUCCAUAUGCCGGUGCCUGCCAGGUUACGAAGGGAACCCAUACCUCCCGGAUGGUUGCCAAGGUAAAUAAAUCUAGACACCAUUGACCAUUUGAUUAUUAUUAUUAUAAACAAUUUUGCGUAUAUCAAAACAUAAUUAUAUGUAUGUAUGUAUGCAUGCACGUGUGUAUGUAUGUACGUGUGUACGCAUGUACGUGUGUAUGCGUGUACAUGUGUAUGUGUGUACGCGUAUGUGUGUCUGUGUACUUGUGUGUCUGUGUACGUGUGUAUGUAUGUGUACGUGUAUAUGUAUGUAGGUAGGUCUACUUAUUUGAUUAUGGUUUAAACAAAUAAAUUUUCGAUUUGCUUGACUUUCUUGCAUAUAUGAUUGUAUUGUUAGGAUUUGGACCCAUCCGGUUUCAAAUUGUGGGAAUUCUAAGGAUUCUCAUAUUUUAACCAUUCAUCGUGUAUCGUAGGGUAAAAAAUUAAAUCUAGACACCAUUUGACCAUUGGAUUAUUAUCAAAACAAUUUUAUGUUUAUCAAAACAUCUUGUAUGUAUUUAUGUAUGUAUUUAUGUAUGUAUGUAUGUAUGUAUGUAUGUAUGCAUGCAUGCAUGCAUUAUGUAUGUAUGUACAUAUGUAUAUGUAUGUAUGCAUGCAUACAUGUAUGUAUGUGUGUAUAUGUACAUGUGUACGUAUGUAUGGAUGUACGUACGUACGUACGUACAUAAUGUAUGUAUGUAUGUAUUGACGUAUUGUAUGUAUGUCUACUUAUUUUAUCAUGGUUAGACAACUACAUUAUCAAUUUGCUUGACUUUCUUGCAUAUAUGAUUGUAUUGUUAAGGUCAGUUGAGGGAUUGAACACACUUGUGAUCCUUUUAUAUCUUACUAGCAUCUUGCCACACCCUCGUGCUGUGGCAAUUUGCUCUUUUACACUUUUUAUUAUUUAUUAAUUUGAAAUUUUUUAUUUUUGUUUAGUUUGAAUUUUUUUUAAGGGACACUUUGGAUGCGGUCCCUAACUAUCAAUAUUCUUUUAUUGAAACCUUGUUAGUUUUUAGUUUUUGAUUGAGGUCCCUGACAUUAAUGUAAUAAUGUAAGUUACUAUAUUUUUUAAAUUAAAAAUUAAAAAUUGAAAUUUGUAAUUGUUUAUAUUAAUGAGAUUUUAAAUAAAACCCAUAAUUUAUGGGAUUAAAAAUAAUAAAAUAUAAAUUAUACUCUCUAUUAUAUUGUGUGUGUGUGUGUAUAUACAUAUAUGUAUGGGUACAUUAACCAAAAUUAACAAAAAAAGUUAUUGUACCAAAACAUGGAUACAUUCUCAAAUCAACAAAAAAGAAUGUACCCAUAUAAGUUUAAACAUGGAUUAAAAAUUUUGAAAGGAUUUUAUAUUAAAAAAGGGUACAUUUUAAAUAUAACAAAUUGAUAUAUUUGAGAAUGGGUACAUUUAAGAUUAAAAAAAAUUGAAAAAUUAUAUAAAUGGGUACAUUUAAGAUUAAAAAUUGAGAAUCUUUUUAUAUAUAUAAAAAAAACUAAUAGGUACAAACUUAAUUUAAUUUAAUUUAUUAUUAUUUUGGAAAUGUUUGAAUUGAAAAUUAAUUAGAAGUUUAAAAGAGGUGUGAGUAUUAAACCCUAAAUUAAUUACUAAUUUUUAUAUUAAAAAAUUAUAUAAUAAACAUGUAAAUUCAUUAUCACAUUAAUGCUAGGGACUUGAAUCAAAAUUUGAGAACUAAUAAGGUCUUAGUCAAUGAACAGUAAGAACUAGGGACCGGAUACUAAUUUUUCCUUUUUUUAAAUUAAAUUGUUUUAUUAGAAUUCUGAUUAGGAAGGGAUAUUUUGAGAAUAUUAAAAGCUUCACCAUUUUGGUCCACUCACUUUAUAUAUAAUAGGGUAAAUAUUAGUUUAAUACUCUUAUGUUUCAUGGUUUUCAACAUUUAGUACAUCAAGUUUUUUUCGUCCCAGAUUCAUACCUAAAGUGUAAAUUUUGGGACAGUCUCAUACAUCUGCUAGUCUAACUGUUAAGUCUUCCGUUAACUAAUGACGUGGCGCCCACAUGGAUAAUCACGGGGCGCCACGUGUCAAUAAGAGUCGCAUGUGGAUAUUAAAAAUUACAAAAUUACAAAAAAAAAAAUGUUCUUCUCCUUCGAACAUCUUCUUCUUCUCCCUCCCUUCUUUAACCCUCCUCUCUCUCCUCCUCUGCACACCCUCUCCGCACACCCUCUCCGCACACCAUCUCCACUUUCUCUCUCUAACCCUCAUCUCUCUCCUCCUAUGCACACCAUCUCCGCACACCAUAUCCACUUCACAGCUUCUGGGCCACUCUGCUUUGCCAAAGAGUUACUAAGUCUGAAUCCUAAACUCGCCGCCGAGCUGGACUCCCGCAGCUCUUCGCCUCUUCAUCUGGCGAAGUCAAAAGGGUCGGUGGAAAUAGUGAAAAUCUGGUGUGGGUCAACCCAGAUCUGGGUUUGGUGUUGGAUCGCGAUGGGUUCGCUCCCUUACAUCUGGGUGUGAUCAAGGGGCGAGCUGGCCGAGUUGGCCUGAGUCAGACCGGCGGCGAAGGUGUGCCGAGGAGGGUGUUCGGAGGAAAGAAGGGAGGGAGAGGGUCGGGGGUUGAGUAAGGUGCCCAGAAACUUUUUUUUUUUAAUUUUUAAAUUGAGUAGGUUGGGGGUUAAGGUCGGGGGUUGAGGGAGGGAGAGGGUUGGAUUUGCACAUAUGGGUGGAGGCUGAGAAGGGAGGGAGAAGGGAGGGAUGGUUGGGGUUGAGGAAGAACAGCCUUUUUUUUUUUUUUUUGUAAUUUUGUAAUUUUAAAUUUUUUUUAAUAUCCACGUGGAACCUUUAUUGACACGUGGCGCCCAGUCAUUGUCCACAUGGACGCUACAUCAUCAGUUAACAGAAGACUUAACAGUUUAACUAACGGAUGUAUGAGACAGUCCUAAAAUUUACACUUUAGGUAUAACUCUGGGACGAAAAAAACUUGAUGUGCUAAAUAUUAAAAACUACAAAAUAUGAAGGUAGUGAACUGAUAUUUACCCUAUAAUAUAUAUAUAUACACACACUAGCCUCUUCUCAUACGCCUACGUGUGUGACAAUUGUCUUUUUUUAAUUAUUAUUAUUAAGUUUUGUUUUAAGUUUACUUAUUUUAAAUAUUAUUUUAAUUAGUAUAUAUUUUGAAAAAUAAUGAACUUACUAACAACUCUACACGAAUUUUUUUUUUGAAAUCCUAAUGGAGAAGGGCAAUUUGGGUAUUAUGAAAACUUCACAAUUUUUGCCUUCUCUCUUUAUAUGUAGGUAAAUUAUAUUGCAAAGUACUAGUAGUUAAAACAGCAUUAUUCAGCAAAUAAUUGCCACUUUUGUUGGGAUGACUAUAAUAUUGGUACAAAAAAAUUGCAUAACAGCGUGGGUUCGAACCCCAUCAGUGACAAAUCUAAUUUCUAACUUAACGACAAUAUCGCUCAACUCAAAAAAAAUAAAAUAAAAUAAUGUUCACGGUAAUAGAAAAUUAAAGCACGCACUACGGCACUAGCAGUAAUAAGCUAAAAGAACAUUCUCUGUUACAGUUGUUUUAAAACAUUAAAACUAAAAUAAAUUAGGUUCUUGUUCCUUAUUUUUCUUUCUUAUUAAUUGAUUUUUUUAUCAAGAUCCUUUGACUUUUGUCCAUGUUAUUAUUUGAAUAUUUAAUUAUUUCAAUGUCAUCAUAUGUCAAUUCUAAAAAUGAAAACCACAGCAAGCGGCCCAGUGGUAAAGGUGCAGACUACGGCUCCCCAAUAAACAAAAAAAUGUGGGAGGUCCCGGGUUCCAUACUCCAAGCUGGUGAGCCUGCUUGACUGUGGCCACGGGCAGGGUGAAAUUCCCUAUAGCCUCUCCGGACCCAAAAGAGGUAGAUAACUGUGGCUUGACACAAGUUGUUCCCUUUUUUUAAAAUAGAAAAUAAAUUCUGAAAAUGAAAAACUUAUGAAUCGUAUCCACAUAUACUUUUUAGUAUUUCACAUAUUUUUAUUUCUAAUUUGUACCCACUUUUUUGUACCAAUAUUCUUUUUAGUUCUAAUUUGUACCCAUAAUUUUAAAUUUUAAUAUGUACCAUAUUUUUUAAUCUAAUAUGGACCCAUAUUUUUUUGGUGAAAUGCUAAUUACAUGUAUUUAUUUUAUGUUUUAAGAUAUAUCAGUAGUUAUUUCUUAGAAAAUAUUAAUAAUUACAUGGGUACAUUAUUUUUUUUUUGUUAGAAUUAUGUGAAGAACAAUAUUACUCUAUUUUUUAUUUUUAAGUAAUUAUUGUAUUGUAAUUUUUUUUUAAAUUUCAUAAUUUGUGGGAUAUUGAAUGAGCUAGGAACCUCAAACAAAAUAUUCAAAUAAAUAAGGUUUCAAUCUAAUAAUUAGAUUGAUUAGACCAGAAUCAAAAUGACCCUUAAAAUAAUAUGUAGCCAAAGUAGCCACCAAUUAGCCACAGGUGCUGUUGCUCUGUGAAGAUAGUGCCCACAAUCUAAUAGUAAUGGUGCCCAAUUACUAAAUUUGCCGUGGAUUGUCAAAUCUGUGGGUUUAUGAACUGUUUCCUUUGGCCAUUUUUUAGUAGCGAGUUGUUUACAAAAAGUCUCAAAAGUGGGAUUUAAUUUUUACCUAUUGUCCAUGGAUUUAAUUCAUUCUUUUUCUGUUCAGAUAUUGAUGAGUGCAAGGCUCCAGACUACUGCGGUAAUGGAACCUGCAUAAAUACACCGGGAGGUCAUUCUUGUCUAUGUCCGAUAGGGUACAAAUAUGGCGAUCUGGAUAAAAAAACUUGCAUCAAGGACAAUGGUCGAGCAAAGCUCAGUCUCCUGCUUAUUAUUGCACUAGGUAUGCAUAUGUUAGUUUUAUUGUAAUUUUUUCUUUUACAUCGCCUUUGGAUUUAAAGAUGAAUGUUCUUAAAAAACCCAGCUGCAAAUCUCUUACUUUAGGUUGUUAAUUUAUUAUUUACAUGUCAUAUCAUAUAGUCCUAGUCUAAAAUUCUAAACUUACUAUUUAUCUUUGAACAAUUGCACUCAAAUUUUAUUUACUUUACCCACUUUUAGAUCCAAAACUUUCACACGUACUUAUAUCAUAAGUGUUCUCUGAAAGACAGGUUUUUAAUCAAUAUUGUAAAUAAUGUAGCAAUCGAAAUCGAUAUGUACACUUUGUUUUUGACAUGAUAUCAAAAUUAACAUCGACACCUUGUCACUAACAUACGGAGAGUCUGUCUUGCCCAGAGAAUACUUACAUAUGUGUCAAUAACAUAUGGAGAGUCAUCUUUGCAGGUGCCAGUGGAGGUUUCUUGCUUUUACUAAGUGGAUCUUGGAUAUAUUGGGGAAUGCAAAGAAGAAAGUUCCUCAAACUCAAAGAAAAAUACUUUAAAGAAAAUGGUGGCUUAUUGUUACAACAAAAAAUCGCUAGUCAAGGAGGCUCUGUCGAGACAACAAAAAUUUUCACGGCAGAAGAACUUGAGAAGGCAACAAACAAUUACCAUGAAAGUGGAAUCCUUGGUGAAGGAGGCUAUGGAAUAGUUUACAAAGGAAUAUUAGCAGCAGAUAACAAUAAAGUGGUUGCCAUAAAAAAAGUCUAAAAUUUGUGUCCCAACGCAGAAGGAGCAGUUUGUCAACGAGUUGCUUGUUCUCUCUCAAAUCAACCAUAGAAAUGUGGUGAGGUUAUUGGGUUGUUGUUUGGAGUUAGAAGUUCCUCUACUAGUUUACGAGUUUAUCGCUCACGGCACUCUCUUUGAGCACAUACAUGGCAAAAAGAGGAAAGGAUCAUCAUUUUCAUUGGAAUUACGACUCAAGAUAGCUGCUGAAACUGCUGGAGCACUAGCAUACUUACACUCCUCAGCUCUGAUGCAAAUCAUACAUCGAGAUGUGAAACUGACAAAUAUACUGUUAGAUGAAAAUUACACGGCAAAAGUGUCAGACUUUGGAGCUUCACGAUUGAUUCCUCUUGAUCAAGCCCAACUUGCAACUUUAGUGCAAGGAACAAUCGGAUACUUGGACCCUGAAUACUUCCACACGAGUCAACUAACAGAUAAGAGUGACGUCUAUAGCUUUGGAGUUGUCCUUAUGGAGCUACUAACAAGUAAACUGGCACUUGAUUCUCAUAGGCCUGAGGGAGAGAAAAACCUGGCAAGGUUCUUUCUUUGUUUAAUGGAAGAGGAUCGCCUGAAUGAAAUUCUCGAUGAUGACAUACUUAACGAGAGAAACAUCAAGACAUUAAAAACAGUGGCCAAUCUGGCAAAAAGAUGUGUAAGGUUAAAAGGGGAGGACAUGCCAACAAUGAAAGAAGUUGCCAUGGAGCUUGAAGGAAUGAGAAUUACAGAAAAGCAUCCAUGGGGAAAAGCUGAAAUUUGUUCAGAAGAGACUGAGUGCUUACUUGGGCCAGGUAACUCAGAUGCUUAUCCUAUGGAUGUUAGAGCUGGUUCUAGUUCUGGUACAACUAUUGGGUAAGACAGCAUGCAGAUCCAGAUGUUAAUUCCAUAUGAUGAUGGAAGAUAAUUCACUACUUCAUAUAAUCAACAUUGUUCAUCAUUCUAGCCAUAGUGAAAUAGUAUUAUUUUUCAUCACAGACCAUAAGUGUAGCCGAUGUCCUUCCUCUGUACCCUCGAGUUUGAAAUUUUCUUUUGCUACAGUUUAGAUUUAGUUGAAAGUAAAGUAUCGCUUGUAUAAAAUAAAAUAUUAAUUUUCAUCAUUUUGACAGUUUUUAUUUAGGAACCAGGAUCCUCUCCUGAGCAGUUCCCUAGGGAUCCCACAAUCUUGUCCGUUCAUUUUUUAUCGUGCGGUCAGUUUUCGUUAGGUACUAUUCAUAUUUGAAUUUUAAAAUUUAAAUUUUAAAUAAUUUCUGAUCGUACAAUAUACGAUGAACGGACAUGAUUGCGGGAUCCCUAGGGAACUGCUCAGGAGAGUAUCCUGGUUCUUUAUUUAGGGUAUGUAUCUGAGCAUUAAAUGGUGAAGAUCCCAACCUUGCACGUAAGAAGUGGCCCAACACCAAAAACUAUGGCUAAUUUCUUCUUCAAAAUAAGUACGAGUUUGGAAGAUCCUGAGUUACAUGCUUAUGACAUUCCGUACUUAAUUAGUGUAUAUGAUAAUUAAUUGUUAACAUGGUAGUGAGAAAUAUUUCAAAAAAUAAAGUUAUAGAAAGAAAGAAAAAAUCCCCGUAUAUCAACUACUAAAGUCGGUGAAGUAAUAGGUAAGUGCAACAACAGUUGAGUGCAAAAGUGAAAAUUUUAAGUGUUUUUAAGUGUUUUUCCUUGGCUUUUUAAGUGUUUUUUUUAAUUAUCUGGUACCAAAGUAUUUCAAAGGAAAUGGUGGCUUCUUGUUACAACGACUACGAUUCAACGAGGAGGGAUCGAUGGAGACAACAACAAUCUUUACAGCAGAAGGACUUGAGAAGGCCACAGACAACUACCAUGAGAGCAGAAGAACUUAAUGCAGUGGUUGCCAUAGAAAAGUCGAAAACCGGUGCAAUGUUCAUGAGUUCAUCAGCAGGGGAACUCUUUGAUCAUCUUCAUAGCAUAAAGAGCAAGAAUCAUCGCUUUCAUGGGAGUUACGACUGAAGAUCGCGGCAGAAACUGCCGGAGCACUGGCGUACUUACACUCCUCCACCUCCAUGCCAAUCAUACACCAAGAUGUGAAUAUAAUUAGCACAAAGUUACUCAGGCACACAAGAAAUGAAAUACAUUCCAAACACAACAUAUUCAAAAUCCAGGCAGAUUGACAUUUCUCGGAUGGAAUUCAAAAAAGAGUUUUAACAUGAAAAUGGUGUCUACAAUAUAUGAGAUUUCAAAGUUACAAAUCUUUGGAAAAGCAAGUAAUUUACCAACUCAAUCUAAUUUGUUUAUUUUCAAAAGUCACAAGAAUCACCUAGACCAAAAUGCUCAACCUGUUCAUUACAGCGAAAUCAUGAUCACGUACCUUGAAAUAAAAUUUGAAAUAGAAAUACAAGAGAAGCACAACCUAAUCAAAUCGCGUUCUUUAACAUAGAAACCCUGCUCAAGGAGAUGAGAAAACUAACAUAACCGUUGUCGUACUUGAAGGUUGAAAAAUUUGCGACCACUUGAGCAGCAGGAGAUCAUCUUAUCUGGGUGGGAGAACAGAGCAAACCAGAGGAAUCUGAUCCAACCACUGAAAGAUCACAAACAGUACAAAGCUUCCCUUCCUGGUCGGGAACAAACCGAGAACUGCAGUACAGGCAUGACACAUCCUUCUGUCCACGGUAAAUAGGCACGUAUGUUGCCCCGCAAACCACAAAUGGGUUUCUGAAAUCAUAGUUUAGCUGGGUUGCAUCAGUCAUAGUUUAGCAGGAUUUGUCUUGCAGUCUUUGCAUGGUUUUCAAUGGUGGGGUUGGUUUCCAAAAGUCGCCUGGCAAAGUUAGCUGCCGUGUUGAGAUUACCAGCCUUAUAGCAAACACUCAUGGCAUUUAGUAAUGCAAGUCUCAAGUGAGGCAUCUGAAGGUUGCAGUGGGUGAAGUAAGCAGCUAGCUCCUGUUGGCGAAUCGGAUCGCCUUUAAGUUCCUUCCUCUUAAUCUCCAUCUUCAAACCUAGAACAUACUCCUUUACAAUGAUAAUUAAUUCUUUUACUUCAUCAACCUCUCUCUUUGAAUCAACUACGAUCAGAGGAAUAGUAUACAGAAUACCAAGGAGAAGACGUAAAGCAUCAGCAAAUUUCCCUUGCGUUGUGGCCUUGUAACCCGCCUUAAGCUUCUCUUCUAGCUCUGAGAAUUUAAAUACAAGAGCAGGAGGACCCCUAACAUUAGGUGUAGCUGAUUCACUCCAUCCCCUCUCAAUGGCCACGGUGAGCACAUGAGCUGCCGAGAAGGCAUGUAGAUACAUAUGACUGCCCAUGUGUAAAUCGAGAAAUAAUUGUCUCAAGGGAUCAAAGUUCUUUACACCCAGCUCCCUGCUCAACAAACGCAUUGCAAUAUCGAAAUUCCCAGCAGUAGCAUGUUCAGCAACAAAGAGAUGAUUUCUGGGGACCAGGUUUGGCUUACAGGCAUACCUGGAGUUGGGGCAACAAACACAGAAGAACGGGCAUUGCUGGCAGUUUUUUGGAGUAUCAAUCUCAGGUGGAAGUUCAAGAUCGCAUCCAGCACUGCACUGAUGUCUCCAUUUGGAAUAUUGUCCACGUCAACAAGAUCCAACUCCUCUCCCCAAUCAGCAUCUGCAACCUCUUCAUAAUCUUCCUCAAUAUUCUUGCCCACAUUAUCAAGACCACCCUCAAAUAUUCCUCUCAUGACCCUCAACAAGGGCCAAUCUCCUCCGCAGAUGAUUGGCAUUGGUGGUAACAAAAGAGACGGAGAUUUCACCUUGGGUAAAACAGGAACAUUAUCUCCCAGUUCAGCCGCCAAACGUUCGGCAAUAUCAUGGAGCCCAUGAAUUUGCAUUACCCUGACGAAGGGCCUCCACUCCCAAUCGAUACCAGUGAUCUUUCUCAUCAAUUUCCUUGGCAGAAGCAACAGCAAUCUGGAUGUUCCCGCUCCCUAGUGCCAAGUUGAAGCGAGUCCUCUCAUCCUUCACAAAAUGAAGGGCAACCUCAGGGAAACCUUUCUGCUGUAGAUAUGCAAUCAUGGCCUGGCCACACAGCUCAGAACUCCUUAUCAUGCUCAUCACCUGGUCAUACCUCUUCUUCAGUAAGGAUAACUUGAAAACAUAUUCUGUUGCAUCAACAACAAUGGCACAGUUCUUCCCAUCUCGACCCAAGCAAUGUAUGGUGUUUCCAUACACUUUUGUUAUAUAUACAGGAGCGUCGAGGGUCCUGAUGAUUCUACUAUCCCCAUUAGGAAGGCAGUAUUUGCUGUGGUUCAAGGUUGUAUAUAUGAAGACGCCAUUGUCAUCCCUAGCUCCCCAACAAUAAUUCUCUGCUGCAGGUCAAAAAUAAUGACUCUGUCCUCUGCCCUGCACAGCAAGUUUCCAGUUCCAGCAUAAAAUAUUGCAUCAGCAACAAUCGGUAGGGCCUCCAAUUCCUCUUUUUGCCUCCUGCGCAGUAUCACCCCGACCAAAGCUAUCUUUGGGUAUAACGUAUAGUUCAUAAGACCCCCCUUCCAUAUCUGAACAUAUCAAAGCAGCAUUUUCUGUGGGGCUGUAAGAUAGUGUCUUUGCCCCUUGAUUCAAGUUGGAAGAACCACGAUCUUUAACAUAGUACAUUGAAUCACCGCUAACAGAAAAGGCAGGACGCUCCCUCUCCAAUUUAAAGACAAUCAUGCCACUAUCAUGGCCAGCAGCCAAGAGGUUCAUUUCUACUUGAAUAAAUUCCCAUCCUGCUUCCACUAAGUGCUUCCCCUAACUAACAAAAUAAGCAAUCUCUUCCCGUAGCACAUUUAGUCAUCCAUCUUAGCAUUCCAUCUCAUUACUAUCACAGAAAUGUCUUAAAUUUCAUUACUAUAUGCAGCAUUCAUUUCUCGAAUACAGAGAGGAUUGUGGUCGACGGCACGGUACACAGUGCGCCGGUGUUUGUACAGAAACAGAGCGCUGGAUUGUGGUCGCAGCCGCUCACUUUCUUGAAACCCACUCUCAAACCUUAGAACGCAGCACUCUCACUCUCUCAAAACCCACUCUGAAUAACACGGAUGCAACAACCCGCCCUCUCUCCCGCCGUCAGCGUCGGUUCGAAGCCGCUUUGUUUUCACCUAAACUCCAAAUCGCGCUCUCCCUCUCUCUCCCCAAAGAGAGCAUCACAGCUCAAUCCCCUCCCUUUCUCUCCCUCGAACCGUACAGCCCCAUGUGACUCUGUCUACGUGCAAACCCUCUCCUCAACCACUCGGAAUGACACCAACACCAGCCACCCACCCCCCAAGCGCAAUCGCAGAAAUCCUCCCAUAACGAACACCCUUGCCCCCAUCUCUCUCUGCAUAUCCCUGAAUCUCGUAGCCAUUGAAAUCCCGCCAUAUCUCUCUCUUCGGGCUUCAGUAGGAAAUGAGGGUUUGAGAAGGAAAUGGAAAAGGCCCUUCUUCCUUUUCCAUGAUUAUCAACACGUGUGCAUAGAGAGAGUCCAAAACGCUGUCCCUUCGCACAGUGCAAUUUCAUCCCCUACUCCCUCUCUGCAAGCAGGCCGCUGUCCAUUCGCAGCUCUCGUAUCUCUCCAAUCUGUCAGUCCUUCUGUCCUUCUUCGCCAACAACAACAGGCCUACCGAAGCCGAAGCAAAAGCCAAAAGCCCAGAUGCGGCGCUCUCGUCUCUCUGCAAUCUGUCAGUCCUUCUUACCUUCUUCUUCUUCGCCAACAACAACAGGCCUACCGAAGCCGAAGCAAAAGCCAAAAGCCCAGAUGCAGGCCAAACGCUUAAAACCGGUUUUUAAGGUGAUGGCAAAACCGUAAAUGUAACCAAAUUUACACAGUGGCAUAGACGUAAAUAUAUCAAAAGAACAGGCGGUGGCAAUUUUGUAAAUAAAAUGAAAUCCGGCCAAAUUCACUGUUCAGGUGAACAGUGCAAUUGGAUUUCUUACUUUAGAUUAAAGUAAUGAUCUAUUAAACUUCUUAAUGUCAGGAGAAAUUUUUCAUUGUUACGGAAACAUGAGGGGUAUAUCAAGUGUUUUUAUACAAGUGGUGAAAUUUUUUAUUUUUUAAAUUAUUAACUUUUUAAUACACAUAUCACACCGUUAGCAUAGUGACAAGUGGUAUAUCAUCCCGUAUUCCGAUCACACUAAAAAAUCUGUCUGAGUAUGGUGUAAGUCUGUGUUUUAAGAUUAAAAGCAAGAAGGAAAAGUUCGAUCAUAGUACAAAGACUUUAUCAACCUUCUAUACGUUUCUAGAAAACAAGAAAACAAUAUCUUCAAUUUCAUUUUUUCAGAAACCAAUAAAACGUUGAUAAGUUCUUGCUCCACCAUCUAUCUUUUCUUUCCUGUUUUUACUCAAAAUACACAGACUAUGCAGCCCUCACAAAAGUAUUUAAACGACGGAAAUUUUAUUUGAACUAAUAUUUUGUAUCUCAACAUCCAGCUUAUUUUUUAUACCCAUAUUGAAUUUGAUUUAUCUAUUAUUAUCUCUUUACACCCAACGUUAUUUCCAAAACAGCCCUUACUUAUCAAAACUCAACUCAAUCAAACUUCUUUUUACACCCAUAAAAAAUAAAACCCUAACCAGUCCAUCAUCUCCAUGGAGCAAAUCCCCUUCUUUCUCUUUAAAAAAUCCUUCCAUCUUCCAUGGUUGUCCUUCUGCACCCCAUCUACUCCUUUGUAGUCAUCAAAACUUCUUCCUCUUCCUUUUCUUCAUCAUUUGACAUCUCUAAAUUUCUAGAGCAUUAAUUAGCUUAAUAAUUGGUAUGUGUUCAAUCGAUUGGUUCAAUUUUUACGUAUUGAUUCCUUUUUCUUUUCAAUUAAAUGAGUUUUUGGUUAUAGUGUUUAAUAAGUUUGGUAUGUUUCAAUUAAAUGAGAAUCUUCUAGACUAUAUUCCUAUAUGUGGUAGAAAAAUGGGUACGUCUUUGGUAGAUUAAUGAAUAUUUUUAACCGUUGAUAUAUAUAUAUUUUUUUUUGUCGAAAUAUGCAUGAAACAUACACAUUUGUCCCUUCAUGCCACUUGGUUAUAAGCAAACAUCAUGCAUUUACUAAUAUUAUUCCAAGUCAUGCAUGAAACCUACACAUUUGUCCCUACAUCUAACUUACUAAGCAAUCUCUUCCCGUAGCACAUUUAGUCAUCCUCCCAUAACGGACACCCUUGCCCCCAUCUCUCUCUGCAAAUCCCUGAAUCUCGUAGCCAUCGAAAUCCCGCCAUAUCUCUCUAUUCGGGCUUCAGUAGGAAAUGAGGGUUUGAGAAGGAAAUGGAAUGGGCCCUUCUUCCUUUUCCACGAUUAUCAACACGUGUGCAUCAAGAGCAGUGGUAGAGAGAGUCCAAAACGCUGUCCAUUCGCACAGUGCAAUUUCAUCCGGACUUGGAUUGUCUGCUCUCUCAUUUCGGUGCCCUCUGUUUGUGUGGUCACGGUUAAGCCACGUCAACAUUUUAUAUUACUAUUUCUUUUUGUUUUAUUAUUUUUGUUGAUGCACAAAAUCAGCGAAGACUUUGGUACAACAGAAAGUGUCAGGUUUGUGACCUUCGCUUGGUUGUUUCGGUCACUAGUGAGGAUAAGUACGUAAAUGAAUAGAGACAGAGAAGCAAACACAGGAUGUACGUGGUUCACCCAGAUUGGCUACGUCCACGGAGUAGAGGAGUUCUUAUUAGUAGUGAAGGGCUUACACAAGUACAAAGGAUCAAGCUCUCAAUUUAGUGAGUUCUUGUGAAUGAUUUAACACAAAUGGCAUUAGCCAAUAUUGUGGGGGAAUGACCCCUAUUUAUAGAAAAACUUGUAGCUUUGUCACAUUGACAUGUGUCAUGUUAUGAUUGGUUCUUGAUGUCGACACGUGCUGCGCUCUGAUUGGCUUCUAAUCUUGACACGUGUCGAGUAAUGAUUGGCCUCCUGGUCGGAGGGGAACUCUUCUGGGUCCUUGACAGUAUAGCGUUGGCCGGUGCUCGGUAGUUUCGGGAUUGGUCAAGUAUGGUACAAACAGUGCUCCCCUAAGUUCCCGAGUGAGGGAAACUCCUCGGUUGGGGACUUGCAAGAUCCAAUCCCUUGAGUAAUCACGAAACUUCUAAGUACCGAAGUGUGGUCUGAUCUUUAUCUGCCCUUCUCUGGAAGUACCUUUCCUCCAUCCGGGAAUGGUGUAUUUAGCUGAUGUUGACGCACAAGGUAAUGUAUCAAUUUCACUUGAAGCUUAGUUGUAGUUUCGGGCUUAGUCAAGUGUGAUACAAACCCUAUAGUAGGAGUCCCCCAAGUCGCCGAGCUAGGAGAUCUGCCGAAAGAGGUGACAGACAAGGUAAGCAGUCAAACUUCCAAGUAAGCAACCCAGGAUCAGAGGUUUGACUUCGGCUUCCGGUUGAUUGUUCUCCUUCUCCUUGUCUCUCAUUCAACUGCCAGGAUAAGGAGAAGCAAAUGGAUAAGAGAUGAUAUGAGAUACUUUUGCUUUUGAAGAAGUAACUUUCCACAGGCUUAUUCUUGAACUGUGCUGGAGGGUUUUUCUGGUGCCCUUCAGAGAGUAUAAGGCCGACUCAAAAAUUUGAGGGUCAAAACAAGUCCAUCAAAUCUAGAGUACGUUCGACCUUGAUGAUAUGGGAUACUUUUGCUGUUGACGGAAUAAUGAAUGUGGUAUGGAAAGGUGUCGUGCUGUAGUGAUCUGUUUCAGCUCACCGUUGAACCUUCUGCUUCAAUCUUUUGCAUGGCAGAAGUGGUGUGCAACCUUUGCAUUUAAAUGGUCCUUCAGAACAUUCCUUCAUAGUGACUCAUCCACACUUGGCAGCUUCAGUGUAAAGAGCCAAUAUCUGAUCAACUGUCAUGAGGUAUUUGCCGGUGGAAUUCGUGACCUUGAUAGCAGUUGAGGAUGAGUACUCGAGAGCAAUGCUAAGUAAGCAACCAGGCAAAGGCUCCAGGCAGUCAGUUCCAAAUUGGAGGUUUGAUUUCAGGUUCCGACUGACUGCUCUCUUUCUCCUUGUCCUGCAGGUGUGGACAAGGACAAAGACAAAGAUAGGGAGAAAGCAUGAUAUGGGAUACUCUUGCUUCGACCCUGAUGAUAUGAGAUACUCUUGUUCUUGGUGUGGCUUAUUUGCUGAGGUAUUAUCGGGGGGAAAUAAAGCUGAGUAUUUCGAGAGGUUAUGUUGAGGGUGCCUUUUCGAAUGCGAGAAAGGGUUAAGCAUUUUUGCAGGUUUGCCUGUCCGUUGAGGAGGGAGGUCAAUGUAUAUAGGGAUUUCCCAAUAACAAGUAGUAAUGAUAUUCCUUUACCCUUCUUGGUCACAGCAAUGUAGUGGGAGCUACCAGCUUCACGUGUUUUAAUUUUGUCAGAGCACUUUGAAAAAGUGGUAUGUGGUAUCUGGAAAGCUGAUGUUACGUGUGAAGAUUACAGACAAGCUUUAUCUAAGGAAAUCUGGCUCUCGAAGUUCUGAGAGUUGUGCCUCUUCGGUUUUCGAACAAGCAAUCCCGUCGAGGAUCUGACUCUCGAGAUUCGGAAAGCGGUGCUACUCCGGUUUUUUGAGAAAGUAAUUAUGUUGGGAGUCUUUUCUCGAAUGUGAGUAAAGGUUGGACGUUCUUGCCAACCUGUCUUGCCGCAAAACACGGAGGUCGACACACAUAGGGACUUUCCAGUUGUCAAGCAGUGGUGCUGUUCCUUUACCCUUAUGGGUAAUAGUAGGGUAGCUGGAACUUCGAAAUUCUCGUGCCUAAACUUUGUCAGAGAUCUUUGACAAAGUUAUAUGUGGUACCCGAGGAGUUGAUGGUGCAUAUGGAGAGCGGUGAUUGAACAGUAAGAUUCACGUGCUUUUUACUUCACCAGAAAUCUUCGACAGAUUGCCCGUAAUUUUCGCAAAGCUGAUUGUGCAUGUGACAGGUGCUGACGAGGCUGAAAAAGCAGGUGCUUCUUCGAUUUCUGAGAUCGGCCCUCGUGGUCUCUGAGCAGCCCAGCUUUUGAGAAAGCAAACGCCUCUUCGAUUUCUGAGAUCGGCCCUCGUGGUCUCUGAGCAGCCCAGCUUUUGAGAAAGCAAACGCCUCUUCGAUUUCUGAAGCUCCGUCGAGUGCAGAUUUUUAUAGAGGCUGGCAUUAAGUUCCACAGCACACCUGAAUCUCUACCAGUAGAAGCUCAUUUCUUGCACUUCUAAGAUCUUGAUUUGUCUGACCUCUUCCUUCUUCAACACAUUUGAAAAUGUCUGGACCCUCCGACCGUCGUUUUGACCUGAACCUUGGAGAAGAGACAGCCACGCCUUCUCCAGACAACAUAUGGCGCCCAUCCUUCAUAUCCCCUACUGGUCCUCUUACCGUUGGGGAUUCUGUGAUGAAGAAUGAUAUGACCGCUGCAGUGGUGGUGGCCAGGAACCUUCUCACUCCCAAAGAUAACAGACUACUUUCCAAACGGUCUGAUGAGUUGGCUGUUAAGGACUCUCUGGCUCUUAGUGUUCAGUGUGCAGGUUCUGUGUCUAAUAUGGCCCAACGCCUAUUUGCUAGAACCCGCCAAGUUGAAUCAUUGGCUGCUGAAGUGAUGAGUCUCAAACAGGAGAUUAGAGGGCUCAAGCAUGAGAAUAAGCAGUUGCACCGGCUCGCCCAUGACUAUGCUACAAACAUGAAGAGGAAGCUUGACCAGAUGAAGGAAUCUGAUGGUAAGGUUUUACUUGAUCAUCAGCGGUUUGUGGGUUUGUUCCAAAGGCAUUUAUUGCCUUCGUCCUCUGGGGCUGUACCUGGUAAUGAAGCUUCAAAUGAUGAACCUCCAAUGCCUCCUCCUUCUGGGGUUUUGUCAAGUACUGAGGCUCCGGAUAACCACCCUCCGGUGCUUUCUCUUUCUGGGGCUCUACCGACUGCUGAGACUUCCCCUAAGCAACCUUUGUGAAGGCUCCCUUUUUGUUUGUUUAUUUUGACUCAUGUAUAUGUACAUAUUUGUGGCUUAUCGAAAAUAUUAAUAAAUAAGCUUUGCUUCAUUUCAAAUAUAUUGUGUUAAAUACACCAAAGCCUUCUUCAUAAAGUUCUUUGAAUUUUUGCUUUUGUUGAAACCUGUAUUGUUGAAGCUUUGUGAGUGAAGCAUGUAGUUUGAGGUAGUGUUCCCUUAAUUUCCCGAGUGAGGGAAAACUUCUCGGUUGGAGACUUGAAAAAUCCAAGUCACUGAGUGGUUGUGAGACUGCCGAGUAUUAAGGUGCAGUAGCAUAUGGUGGGAGUCCCCCAAGUCUUCAGGCGAAGAGAGUUGCCGAAUGAGGUGUCUCGCUUGUUACUAAUUUGUCAAAGUAACGAAUCCUUGUUUCGAUGUCACACAUUCGCAUAUGCCUUAUCUAAAAAUAUUUCCAACUUUUGUGUGUUUGAUGCUGCAUGCUAUUGACUAGACAAGAUCAAGUGCAAUUAGUAGCUUUUCUCUCUUUUUCAUCUUUUCUUCGGUGGAAUUGCUUUUCGUUUCCACUAAUCAGCCUGAGUGGAUGCAAGAUAACACCAUUCUCUAUAGCUCAGAUCGCAAAGUCGUCUUCAUGAAAGUUGUUCCUUAUCUUGUGAACUACAAAAUCUCCAAAUUUGAGAUCCAUCGGAGUAGUACAACUCCAGAAAUUCAGGUAUGAUGAGUAACUGUUCAUCAAUUUUCUGUUAACCCGUCAGACUUGUUGUGAGCUUCUAAACUCCAUUUUCUCUUGCUCAGAUCAGCAUGCUUUCUUCAUUGAAGUUGUGCCUCAUCGUCUCUUUCAUAACAUAUCAAAAAUUCAGAAUGAACUAAUGGUUAAAUAUUUCCAGAUCUUCGAAACAUCAUAGCAGCUUCGAAAUCUGCAAGAAUCCGACUGUCAUGUUUGGAGCUUCAACACUUUAAUUUCCGUCGCUCAAACAGAAAUGGUUCCUUCUUGAAAGUUGUUCAUAUGCUCAAAAACUAUAGGGUGUCCAAAAUUCAGCUCCAUUGGAGAAGAGCAGAGGUUGCAGAAAUUUGAUAGAUGAAAGGAGGCGGAAGAGGGAGAGAGAGAAAAAGUCUCUUGGGUUGGAUUUCUAUUUUGGGGCAGAUUCCAAGUUUUGUAGCACCUUCAUUAUUGAUGAAUUGCUUGUACUUUUGUCCAUUAUGAAACUUGGGACUUUGGCUUGUUGUUGGAUCUAUUAUAAUAUGUUUGGAAACAUAUACAUAAUUGCUUGUUUGGUUAUGACAGGGAUGUUGUGGGUGUAGAACAAAACAAAUGUUUGUGUUGACCUGUGUUUUUGUACAAGUUCAAGGGCAUCUUGGGUUUUGUGAACAAAAUUUGUUUAUUUGGAGCAAGGUUUUGUGUUGAAGCUUUGUAGGUGAAGCUUUGGUGUUGAAGCUUUCUAGGUGAAGCUUUGAUGGUGAAGCUUUCUGGGUGAAGCUUUUUUAGGUGAAGCUGUUUGGGUGAAGCUUUUUGGAGGUGAAGUUUUUUUUUGGGUGAAGCUUUUUUAGGUGAAGCUUUUUGGGUGAAACUUUUUGGAUGAAGCUUUUUGGGUGAAGUUUUGGAGGUGAAGCUUUUCGGGUGAAGCUUUUUGAAUGAAGCUGUUUUUUUUUUUUUUUUUUUUUUUUUUUGGCGCUUGACACGGUCUUCAUUUGCUUGUUUUGUAGUGACUGUGGAAGACGGAUUGCUUUCUGAUUGAGAAGGGUUCCGGCAUCGCUUUGCACCAUCUUCAUGUGGGUAAUAUAGGAACUUCCUUAUGUUUUGAUCAUGCAUGUAGUGAUAGAAUUUGUUUCUUCUUAUUGUAGAUGUCAGAGCCUAGAAGUUCUAGUGAUGAGGGCUCUUCUAGCUUUAGCUCUAAGUCUGAGUCUGCAAUGUCGGAGUCUUCAGGGUCUUUGUUAGAGUCCUGUACUAGAGAAACAUUGGAUGAUCUUCCCAACCGUCAAACUUUAGCUAUUGCUAGUUCUUCCUCCAUGGCGUUGGGUGAGGGGGUUUCUCUCCUGAUAUGUCUUUGCCUCGGCGGAGGCAUGGUUAUAAGCCUGCGCCAUCACCUCAGAGUAAGUCUUCCAAGUAUUGGCAUUGAUCAUGUAUUUAAAGAAACAAUCACGUAGGCCUGCCGUGAAGGCUUUGAGGGCAGUCUUGUCGUCUGCCUCGGCACACCGGGAGUAUUCAUGGCUGAAGCGGCCAGCAUACAUACGUAAUGACUCGUCUGGCCUCUGGCGGAUAGUGUACAGGUCAUCUGCAGAGUGCAAGCGAUCGGUUUGGAAAAUGUGUUGGGAAACAAAUAGUUUCCUCAAUUCCUCAAAUGAGUCUACCGUCUCAGGUGUAAGACGACAAUACCAAUUUAGAGAUCCGCCAGAGAGGGUGGAGGGGAAGAGAAGACAUCGCUCUUCGUCGGUGUGCAUCCGGUAUGCCAUGGUGGACUCAAAGAGGUUAAGGUGCUCAAUCGGGUCCUCUUUUCCAGUAUAAAGUUGCAAGCCAAGCCUCUGCUUUGUCUUUGCUUGAAGGGGGGUGUUGAGGAUCCUCCUUGUAAGAGGGCCAGGCCUGGGUUGGUUCCAGUCAGGUAUUUCAGCCUGACGUUCAGCCUUCAACUUGUUUACUUCCUCAAGAAGUUGUAGGACAAGGGGGUCCUGAGCGGAGUUAUGUGCCACUGGAGCUUUCUUUCGUAAAUCUCCAUCUCCUCUUAGAAUUAGGAAGGUUUGAUCAAGGGCAUGUGAUUUUUCCCUGGACUCGCUGUACUGGCUUCCAGGGUAUGUCUGUCGGAACACCUCUGAGUCCCCUGUACCCUCAUGUCUCUCUAGGACUUGUUGCACCUUCCCCAAGUUGGUGGCCGGCUCGGGCCGUGGCAGGGGACCGAGUCUCUCAGAAAUCCUUGGGUCAUUGAUCUUUGAGCUUAUAUGGAUGGAAUUCUCUCGACGUUGCUUCAGGAAAUCCCGACAAUCGCGAAAAGACGGCUUUCGAUCCUUCUGCCCCUUCAGCAAAGAGGUGUCUCCCUCCGCUUCUCAUGGUUCGGGUCGAAGCAACUGGGUUAAGAGAAGCCUCAUGUUGAUUAUCAAAUCGAGGGGUAAUUUGUUCCCUAUCAGGGAUAUCUAUGUCGAAUGCAUGUGACCCUCCAUGUUGGAGGGCACCCAGUUGAUGGUUGACUUCCACGGGGGCAACAAGCUCGCGUGUCUGAGCUUGCCUAGCUUCGUGGAGUGUCUCGAAGAGCUUCUCAUAUUGCUCCUGGAGGACCUCAUUCCUCAUUGCUAUCUUGUUGUUCUGAGCUUCCAACUCAUCGACUUUAGCUUGAAGAAGAACUCGUUUUCCUUCCUUCUUUCGUUGUUUCGCACUAUGUGCAAGGGGGUGUCAUUCUGUGUGCUGUGGCUUCCUUCGCUUCCCAUGCUGGAGAGGGAUGCCUGAUCAAAAGAAAGUGUACGAAUGAUAGAAACCAGCUUGACACAGCUGAAGAGAGUAGGAAUAAGUGUCGUUUCCCACAGACGGCGCCAAAUGUUGAUGCACAAAAUCAGCGAAGACUUUGGUACAACAGAAAGUGUCAGGUUUUGUGACCUUCGCUUGGUUGCUUCGGUCACUAGUGAGGAUAAGUACGUAAAUGAAUAGAGACAGAGAAGCAAAACACAGGAUGUACGUGGUUCACCCAGAUUGGCUACGUCCACGGAGUAGAGGAGUUCUUAUUAGUAGUGAAGGGCUUACACAAGUACAAAGGAUCAAGCUCUCAAUUUAGUGAGUUCUUGUGAAUGAUUUAACACAAAUGGCAUUAGCCAAUAUUGUGGGGGAAUGACCCCUAUUUAUAGAAAAACUUGUAGCUUUGUCACAUUGACAUGUGUCAUGUUAUGAUUGGUUCUUGAUGUCGACACGUGCUGCGCUCUGAUUGGCUUCUAAUCUUGACACGUGUCGAGUAGUGAUUGGCCUCCUGGUCGGAGGGGAACUCUUCUGGGUCCUUGACAGUAUAGCGUUGGCCGGUGCUCGGUAGUUUCGGGAUUGAUCAAGUAUGGUACAAACAAUUUUUAUAAAAAAUAUAUAUAAAAUAUUGACGUGGAUUAACCGUGACCACACAAAACAGGAGGGCACGGGAAGAGCACCGAAAUGGGAGGGCAGACAAUCCAAGUCCAUUUCAUCCCCUACUCUCUCUCUGCAAGUAGGGCCGCUGUCCAUUCGCAGCUCUCAUCUCUCUCCAAUCUGUCAGUCCUUCUGUCCUUCUUCACCAACAACAACAGGCCUACAGAAGCCGAAGCAAAAGCCAAAAGCCCAGAUGCAGCCCAAACGCUCAAAACCGUUUUUUAAGGUGAUGGAAAAACCGUAAAUGUAACCAAAUUUACAGUGGCAUAGACGUAAAUAUAUCAAAAGAACAGGCGGUGGCAAUUUUGUAAAUAAAAUUAAAUCCGGCCAAAUUCACUGUUCAGGUGAACAGUGCAAUUGGAUUUCUUACUUUAGACUAAAGUAAUGAUCUAUUAAACUUCUUAAUGUGAGGAGAAAUUUUUCAUUGUUACGGAAACAUGAGGGGUACAUCAAGUGUUUUUAUACAAGUGGUGAAAAAUUUUAUUUUUUAAGUUAUUGACUUUUUAAUACACAUAUCACACCAUUAGCAUAGUGACAAGUGGUGUAUCAUCCCGUAUUCCGAUCACACUAAAAAAUAUGUCUGAGAACGGUGUAAGUCUGUGUUUUAAGAUUAAAAACAAGAAGGAAAAGUUAGAUAGUAGUACUAAGACCUUAUCAACCUUCUAUACGUUUCUAGAAAAUAAGAAAACAAUAUCUUCAAUUACAUUUUUUUAGAAACCAAUAAAACGUUGUUCUUGCUCCACCAUCUAUCUUUUCUUUCCUGUUUUUACUCAAAAUACACAGACUAUGCAGCCCUCACAAAAGUAUUUAAACAACGAAAAUUUUAUUUGAACUCAUAUUUUGUAUCUCAACAUCCAGCUUAUUUUUUAUACCCAUAUUGUAUUUGAUUUAUCUAUCAUUAUCUCUUUACACCCAACGUUAUUUCCAAAACAGCCCUUACUUUUCAAAACUCAACUCAAUCAAACUUCUUUUUACACCCAUAAAAAAUAAAACCCUAACCAGUCCAUCAUCUCCAUGGAGCAAAUCCCCUUCUCUCUCUUUAAAAAAUCCUUCCAUCUCCCAUGGUUGUCAUUCUGCACCCCAUCUACUCCUUUGUAGUCAUCAAAACCUCUUCCUCUUCCUUUUCUUCAUCAUUUGACAUCUCUAAAUUUCUAGAGCAUUAAUUAGCUUAAUAAUUGGUAUGUGUUCAAUCGAUUGGUUCAAUUUUUACGUAUUGAUUCCUUUUUCUUUUCAAUUAAAUGAGCUUUUGGUUAUAGUGUUUAAUGAGUUUGGUAUGUUUCAAUUAAAUGAGAAUCUUCUAGACUCAAUAUUCAUAUAUGUGGUAGAAAAAUGGGUACGUCCAUGAUAACUUUUGGUAGAUUAAUGAAUAUUUUUAACCGUUGAUAUUUUUUUUUUGUCGAAAUAUGCAUGAAACAUACACAUUUGUCCCUUCAUGCCACUUGGUUAUAAGCAAACAUCAUGCAUUUACUAAUACUAUUCAAAGUCAUGCAUGAAACCUACACAUUUGUCCCUACAUCUAACUUACUAAUUUUAUCGCUUGACUUAAAAAAAAUCGAAAUGUAUGUAGUGGAUAAACACAAUCUCAAACUUUAAUUGAACUCACAUAACAACGAUAAAUAAAGGCAUUAUCACAACUUAGGGGUGGUGAGCAAUCCCAUUAAAAUAGAACUUAAUAUAUACAUAUUAAAAACAAAAACAAAUUGAUGCAAAAUCUCCCGACGACUAAUACUAUUCCAAGUCGUGCAUGAAACAUACACAUGUCCCUUCAUGCCACUUGAUUAUAAGCAAACAUGCAUGAAACCUACACAUUUGUCCCUUAAUGCCACUUGAUUAUAAGCAAACAUCAUGCAUGCACAAGUUAUUUACUAAUUAGUAUUACUACUAUUCAGCUAUCAUGACCCUUUUUUUUUUUGUUACUCAUACGCCCAAGACAUUGUAAACGAUGGAAAUUUUAUUUGAACCCAUAUUUUGUAUCUCAACAUCCAGCUUAUUUUUUAUACCCAUAUUGUAUUUGAUUUAUCUAUCAUUAUCUCUUUACACCCAACGUUAUUUCCAAAACAGCCCUUACUUAUCAAAACUCAACUCAAUCAAACUUCUUUUUUUCUUUUUACACCCAUAAAAAAUAAAAACCCUAACCAGUCCAUCAUCUCCAUGGAGCAAAUCCCCUUCUCUCUCUUUAAAAAAUCCUUCCAUCUCCCAUGGUUGUCAUUCUGCACCCCAUCUACUCCUUUGUAGUCAUCAAAACCUCUUCCUCUUCCUUUUCUUCAUCAUUUGACAUCUCUAAAUUUCUAGAGCAUUAAUUAGCUUAAUAAUUGGUAUGUGUUCAAUCGAUUGGUUCAAUAUUUACGUAUUGAUUCCUUUUUCUUUUCAAUUAAAUGAGCUUUUGGUUAUAGUGUUUAAUGAGUUUGGUAUGUUUCAAUUAAAUGAGAAUCUUCUAGACUCAAUAUUCAUAUAUGUGGUAGAAAAAUGGGUACGUCCAUGAUAACUUUUGGUAGAUUAAUGAAUAUUUUUAACCGUUGAUAUUUAUUUUUUUGUCGAAAUAUGCAUGAAACAUACACAUUUGUCCCUUCAUGCCACUUGGUUAUAAGCAAACAUCAUGCAUUUACUAAUACUAUUCAAAGUCAUGCAUGAAACCUACACAUUUGUCCCUACAUCUAACUUACUAAUUUUAUCGCUUGACUUAAAAAAAAUCGAAAUGUAUGUAGUGGAUAAACACAAUCUCAAACUUUAAUUGAACUCACAUAACAACGAUAAAAUAAAGGCAUUAUCACAACUUAGGGGUGGUGAGCAAUCCCAUUAAAAUAGAACUUAAUAUAUACAUAUUAAAAACAAAAAAACAAAUUGAUGCAAAAUCUCCCGACGACUAAUACUAUUCCAAGUCGUGCAUGAAACAUACACAUGUCCCUUCAUGCCACUUGAUUAUAAGCAAACAUGCAUGAAACCUACACAUUUGUCCCUUAAUGCCACUUGAUUAUAAGCAAACAUCAUGCAUGCACAAGUUAUUUACUAAUUAGUAUUACUACUAUUCAGCUAUCAUGACCCUAUUUUUUUUGUUACUCAUACGCCCAAGACAUUGUAAACGAUGAAAAAUUUUAUUUGAACCCAUAUUUUGUAUCUCAACAUCCAGCUUAUUUUUUAUACCCAUAUUGUAUUUGAUUUAUCUAUCAUUAUCUCUUUACACCCAACGUUAUUUCCAAAACAGCCCUUACUUUUCAAAACUCAACUCAAUCAAACUUCUUUUUACACCCAUAAAAAAUAAAACCCUAACCAGUCCAUCAUCUCCAUGGAGCAAAUCCCCUUCUCUCUCUUUAAAAAAUCCUUCCAUCUCCCAUGGUUGUCAUUCUGCACCCCAUCUACUCCUUUGUAGUCAUCAAAACCUCUUCCUCUUCCUUUUCUUCAUCAUUUGACAUCUCUAAAUUUCUAGAGCAUUAAUUAGCUUAAUAAUUGGUAUGUGUUCAAUCGAUUGGUUCAAUUUUUACGUAUUGAUUCCUUUUUCUUUUCAAUUAAAUGAGCUUUUGGUUAUAGUGUUUAAUGUGUUUGGUAUGUUUCAAUUAAAUGAGAAUCUUCUAGACUCAAUAUUCAUAUAUGUGGUAGAAAAAUGGGUACGUCCAUGAUAACUUUUGGUAGAUUAAUGAAUAUUUUUAACCGUUGAUAUUUUUUUUUUUGUCGAAAUAUGCAUGAAACAUACACAUUUGUCCCUUCAUGACACUUGGUUAUAAGCAAACAUCAUGCAUUUACUAAUACUAUUCCAAGUCAUGCAUGAAACCUACACAUUUGUCCCUACAUCUAACUUACUAAUGUUAUCGCUUGACUUAAAAAAAAUCGAAAUGUAUGUAGUGGAUAAACACAAUCUCAAACUUUAAUUGAACUCACAUAACAACGAUAAAUAAAGGCAUUAUCACAACUUAGGGGUGGUGAGCAAUCCCAUUAAAAUAGAACUUAAUAUAUACAUAUUAAAAACAAAAACAAAUUGAUGCAAAAUCUCCCGACGACUAAUACUAUUCCAAGUCGUGCAUGAAACAUACACAUGUCCCUUCAUGCCACUUGAUUAUAAGCAAACAUGCAUGAAACCUACACAUUUGUCCCUUAAUGCCACUUGAUUAUAAGCAAACAUCAUGCAUGCACAAGUUAUUUACUAAUUAGUAUUACUACUAUUCAGCUAUCAUGACCCUAUUUUUUUUGUUACUCAUACGCCCAAGACAUUGUAAACGAUGAAAAAUUUUAUUUGAACCCAUAUUUUGUAUCUCAACAUCCAGCUUAUUUUUUAUACCCAUAUUGUAUUUGAUUUAUCUAUCAUUAUCUCUUUACACCCAACGUUAUUUCCAAAACAGCCCUUACUUUUCAAAACUCAACUCAAUCAAACUUCUUUUUACACCCAUAAAAAAUAAAACCCUAACCAGUCCAUCAUCUCCAUGGAGCAAAUCCCCUUCUCUCUCUUUUAAAAAAUCCUUCCAUCUCCCAUGGUUGUCAUUCUGCACCCCAUCUACUCCUUUGUAGUCAUCAAAACCUCUUCCUCUUCCUUUUCUUCAUCAUUUGACAUCUCUAAAUUUCUAGAGCAUUAAUUAGCUUAAUAAUUGGUAUGUGUUCAAUCGAUUGGUUCAAUUUUUACGUAUUGAUUCCUUUUUCUUUUCAAUUAAAUGAGCUUUUGGUUAUAGUGUUUAAUGUGUUUGGUAUGUUUCAAUUAAAUGAGAAUCUUCUAGACUCAAUAUUCAUAUAUGUGGUAGAAAAAUGGGUACGUCCAUGAUAACUUUUGGUAGAUUAAUGAAUAUUUUUAACCGUUGAUAUUUUUUUUUUGUCGAAAUAUGCAUGAAACAUACACAUUUGUCCCUUCAUGACACUUGGUUAUAAGCAAACAUCAUGCAUUUACUAAUACUAUUCCAAGUCAUGCAUGAAACCUACACAUUUGUCCCUACAUCUAACUUACUAAUGUUAUCGCUUGACUUAAAAAAAAUCGAAAUGUAUGUAGUGGAUAAACACAAUCUCAAACUUUAAUUGAACUCACAUAACAACGAUAAAUAAAGGCAUUAUCACAACUUAGGGGUGGUGAGCAAUCCCAUUAAAAUAGAACUUAAUAUAUACAUAUUAAAAACAAAAACAAAUUGAUGCAAAAUCUCCCGACGACUAAUACUAUUCCAAGUCGUGCAUGAAACAUACACAUGUCCCUUCAUGCCACUUGAUUAUAAGCAAACAUGCAUGAAACCUACACAUUUGUCCCCUAAUGCCACUUGAUUAUAAGCAAACAUCAUGCAUGCACAAGUUAUUUACUAAUUAGUAUUACUACUAUUCAGCUAUCAUGACCCUUUUUUUUUUUGUUACUCAUACUCCCAAGACAUUGUAAACGAUGGAAAUUUUAUUUGAACCCAUAUUUUGUAUCUCAACAUCCAGCUUAUUUUUUAUACCCAUAUUGUAUUUGAUUUAUCUAUCAUUAUCUCUUUACACCCAACGUUAUUUCCAAAACAGCCCUUACAAAACUCAACUCAAUCAAACUUCUUUUUACACCCAUAAAAAAUAAAACCCUAACCAGUCCAUCAUCUCCAUGGAGCAAAUCCCCUUCUCUCUCUUUAAAAAACUCUUCCAUCUUCCAUGGUUGUCAUUCUGCACCCCAUCUACUCCUUUGUAGUCAUCAAAACCUCUUCCUCUUCCUUUUCUUCAUCAUUUGACAUCUCUAAAUUUCUAGAGCAUUAAUUAGCUUAGUAAUUGGUAUGUGUUCAAUCGAUUGGUUCAAUUUUUACGUAUUGAUUCCUUUUUCUUUUUAAUUAAAUGAGCUUUUGGUUAUAGUGUUUAAUAAGUUUGGUAUGUUUCAAUUAAAUGAGAAUCUUCUAGACUCUAUAUUCCUAUAUGUGGUAGAAAAAUGAAUACGUCCAAGAUAACUUUUGGUAGAUUAAUGAAUAUUUUUAACCGUUGAUAUAUAUAUAUAUAUAUAUAUAUAUAUAUAUAUAUAUUGUCGAAAUAUGCAUGAAACAUACACAUUUGUCCCUUCAUGCCACUUGGUUAUAAGCAAACAUCAUGCAUUUACUAAUACUAUUCCAAGUCAUGCGUGAAACCUCCACAUUUGUCCCUACAUCUAACUUACUAAUGCUAUCGCUUGACUUAAAAAAAAAAUAAAAAAUCGAAAUGUAUGUAGUGGAAAAACACAAUCUCAAACUUUAAUUGAACUCACAUAACAACGAUAAAUAAAGGCAUUAUCACAACUUAGGGGUGGUGAGCAAUCCCAUUAAAAUAGAACGUAAUAUAUACAUAUUAAAAACAAAAACAAAUUGAUGCAAAAUCUCCCGACGACUAAUACUAUUCCAAGUCAUGCAUGAAACAUACACAUGUCCCUUCAUGCCACUUGAUUAUAAGCAAACAUGCAUGAAACCUACACAUUUGUCCCUUCACGCCACUUGAUUACAAGCAAACAUCAUGCAUGCACAAGUUAUUUACUAAUUAGUAUUACUACUAUUCAGCUAUCAUGACCUUUUUUUUUCUGUUACUCAUACGCCCAAGACUUUGUAAAUAAUGUUGAUUAUUCAAUACGAAUCAACAACUAGUUGCACAGGGUCACAAUCAAUGAUACUCCCAACUUGAUAAAGAAAGAAAAACAAGGAAAUCCACUUCCAAACUAAAAUAAAAUGUAUAUAAAUAUAGAAAAUUGUUAUUAUCACUCCAAAAAUCUCAUUUCGCACUCCAAACUUUCUAUAAUUAGAAAGAAAAAUACACUUGUGCAAAGUGUAAAAUGAGAUUAUUUGAGUGCUAAUAACAGUUCCCUAAAUAUGUCUUAACAAAUAUUGUAUGUGGCAUUGACUUAGACUUUCGCGAAUAGACUUAUAAUUUCUAGUAUCUAAUAAAUAUCCAGAUUAAAAAUAUUCAUCGAUCUACAAAAUUUUCUCAUGGAGGUACCCAUUUUUUUGCCACAGAUACCAAUAUAGAGGCUAAAAGACAAUACGAUAUUAAAUUCAUAUGUGGUCAAGAUAUUUAUGAAUUUAAUUAUUAAAAUGUAUAAGCUCAAUUAUACAUUCAAGGUAGAUCAAUUCCCGAAGUUUUAGUCAACAAUAAAACUGCUUACCUAUGAGUUCACCUAUAAAACUUGCAAAAGCGAUAUACUUUUUAACCACAGUUCUAUGUAUUGUGAAUUGUUGUCCUUAAGUUUUGUGGCAUAUAGAGGCUAAAAGAUACUACGAUAUUAAAUCCAUAUAUGGUCGAAAUAUUUAUCAUUUUAAUCAUUAAAAUGCAUAAACUCAAUUACACAUCCAGGUUAGAUCAAUUCCCGAAGUUUUGCUCCACAAUAAAAACCGCUUAGCUAUGAGUUCGCCUAUAAAACAUGCAAAGGCGAUAUACUUUUUAGCCACAGUUCAAUGUAAUGUGAAUUAUUGUUCGCAACUUUUGUAUCUAAUAAAUAUCCACGGUUAAAAAUAUUCAUUGAUCUAUUAGAAGUUAUCAUGGACGUACCCAUUUUUCUACUACAUAUAGGAAUAUAAAGGCUAGAAGAUUCUCAUUUAAUUGAAACAUACCAAACUCAUUAAACACUCUAAUCAUAAGCUCAUACCGAUUAUUAAGCUAAUUAGUGCUCUAGAUAUUUAGAGAUGUCAAAUGAUGAAGAAAAGGAAGAGGGAGAGGUUUGGAUGACCACGGAGGAGUAAAUGGGGGUGCGGAAUGACAACCAUGGGAGAUGGAAGGAUUUUUUAAAGAGAGAGAGAAGGGGAUUUGCUCUAUGGAAAGAUGAUGGACUGGGUAGGGUUUUAUUUUUUAUUUUUAAGUAGAUUGAGUUGGGUGUAAAAAGAAGUUUGAUUAAGUUGAGUAAGGACGGUUUCGGAAAUGAUGUUGGGUGUAAAUAGAUAAUGAUAGAUAAAUCAAAUACAAUAUGGAUAUAAAAAGUAAGUUGGGUGUUGAGAUACAAAAUAUGGGUUCAAAUAAAAUUUCCCUUUCAACAACUAGUUUCUUAAAAAAAGAACAGUAAUGCUAUUCUUACCAUGUUUUUAUAUCACAUUUAUAUAUCACCUUAUGUGUCAUUUGAUGUGGACAACACAUCAUUUAAAUUGGAAUUUAAUUUAAAUUAAAAAUCAUUCAAUAAAUCAAUAAUUAAAAUAAAAGCUGGAAUUAAAUGGUGAUUGUGGUAUACGAGGAGUCUUCUCCUUCCUUCCCCAUUCAAUCCUGCUUCUUCUCCCGUUUCUUCUUCAACACCAGUUCUUUCACGCCAUAAUUUUUUCACUCCCCUAUCUGGAUUAUUAGUACGCAUCUAUCAUUUUUUUUUCAAUGAAUUUAAUUUUUUUUGUCUGUUUAUUUCUUCUUCUUUCUCUCAAUCUCCAUUGUGUAGCAAGAUAAAUUCUUCUGCGGGUCUUGAUCAGAUUCGACGUUAGUGGUGUCGUGGUGAGGGAUGAAGGUUUCUUGACGAUACGUACUUGAGAUUACUUUAAUUUGAUUAUAAGUAGGAACAAGAUGGAGUCCUUAAUGAUUCAAAGUGUUAAAUCUUCAACCCCCAGUAUCAUAUUUUUCUAUGAACAAAAAGGUUUAGGUAAAUAGUCCAAUGGAGAUCGAGAGAAAGAAGAAUAAUAAACUGACUACAAAAAUGUAAAUUCAUUGAAAAAUAAUGGUAAAUGCUUACCAAUAAUCUAAAUAGGGGAGCGUUGAUGAACCUUUGCCGUAUGAGAAUUAGUUGAGAUUGUGGUAGUCCACACUAACGUAAAAAAAACUGGAGCGAAAAAAUAUGGCGUGAAAGAACUGGCGGAAGAAGAAACGGGAGAAGAAGCAUGAUUGAAUGGGGAAGGAAGGAGAAGAUUCCUCGUAUGCCACAAUCACCAUUUAAUUCCAGCUUUUGUUUUAAUUAUUGAUUAUAAAAACAUGGUAAGAGUAUCAUUAUUGAAAAAAGAAAGAAAAUAAUCAAUAAAUUCACUUCAGGUGUAAAUACAUAGAUUCACAUCGCUUUAUUUAUUUAUUUAUUUGUAUAUUCCAAGUUGAUUAAGGUAAUUAAGUAAUCUUUCUUGACUUAACUUUAAAUAAUUAAAUAAACUUGGCUUGACUUUGCACACUCCCCUCGCUUAUUGACUAAUGACUCAGUACUAAGUCUUUUUUUUUGUUUGGUCAGAACUCAGUAUUAAGUGAGAUCGAUAUUUUUGUGUGCUCGUCCUGGAAAUAAACAGGAGAAAGCCUAAUGGUGGCCUAAAACAAUAACAGACAAAUCAGUCAAGAUGAGGAACACAAAAUAUGCCACCAUGCGUUUUAAUCCCUUCCUUUUAUAUUAAUUCCUACAGAAGGCCAACCAUGCUCAAGAGGCAACGCGUAUCGACUAAUGACUAAUACCAAGUCAGGUGGAUGUUUUCUUGUGCAUUUCCUGGAAAUACAUGGGACAAAGCCUAAUCGUGGACUAAAACAAUAACAGACAAUUAAGAGUAGGACACAUUUUCCCCCAACCCAAAAUAUUCCACCACGCGUUUUAAUCCCUUCCAUAUAUAAUAUAUUCCUACAGAAGGCCAACCUUCUUAAUUAGCAGUUCCUUAAUUUCUUGGAUCCAUCACUUGCUUGGAUUUUAUUCUCUGCUACUGCUAGGAUCUGCUCGACACUUUUCAGUUAAUACCAUAUGGCGUUACAUUGGAGGAUGCAUAUUUUGCAUCUCUCUUUAGUAAUGGUGGUAGAAGUUACAAUUUUACUAGCAACUCCAACUCCAACAACAGCUCAAUCUCUCCUUCCGCCUCAGGCACUGCCUGGCUGCCCUGACCAUUGUGGUAAUCUCACAAUUCCAUACCCAUUUGGCAUAGGCGAUGGUUGCUACCUCGAAGACCGGUUUAACAUCACUUGUAACAUUUCCACUCAACAGCCAACAACACUUUGGAUGACGAGCGAUGUCAAAAUUACCAACAUAUCUCUUUAUAACGGUGAGCUCCAAAUACUACAGUUCGCAGCCAGUGAUUGUUACAAUGCUCAAGGCAACUCGACCAGAUCGAACAGUCCCGAGCUCAGUGUGCCUCCUCCUUGCAGCAUCUCCAAAACCAAAAACAUGUUCGUUGCAGUUGGAUGCGACACAUAUGCGUUUUUUAUAGGUUACCGGGGUGAAGAAGAGUACACAACCGGGUGUAUGUCCCAAUGUGCCGAUCUUGGCAACGCUAUCGAUCAGCGGGAUACUUGCUCUGGCGUUGGAUGUUGCCAAACUAAAGUCCCCAGUGGGCUGCAAAAUGGGUCUGUGACCUUGGGAAGUUUUUACAAUUAUACGGAUGUGCGGGACUCCCACCGAUGCAGCUACGCGUUCCUUGUGCAAGAAAGCGAGUUCAACUUUAACAGCACGAGUUUUCGAGAACUAAACGUUACAACCCAGCUUCCGGCAAUUAUUGAUUGGGUAAUUGGGAAUGAGUCAUGUGAUAUUGCAGCUAAAAACGAGAGCACUUUUGCAUGCAAGGCAAAUAGCUCCUGCCAUAAUCGUUCUUCAGGCUACAUAUGCCAGUGCUGGUCAGGUUACGAAGGGAACCCAUACCUCCCAGAUGGUUGCCAAGGUAAAUAAAUCUAGACAGCAUUUGACCAUUUGAUUAUUAUCAUAAAAAAAUUUGCGUUCAUCAAAACAUAUUGUAUGUAUAUGUAUAUGUAUGUAUGUAGGUCUACUUUUUUUUAUUAUGGUUAAACAAAUAAAAUUCCAAUUUGCUUGACUUUUUUGCAUAUAUAAUGUAAUAGAAGCAGGAGUUAAAUCCCUUAAAUAGUGCUAGGAACCUCGAUCAAAAUAUUUAAAUAAACAAGGUUUUAAUAUAACAAUUAGGUUGACUAGAGAUCAGAAUCAAAAUGACCCUUAUCAUUAAAAUAACAUGUAAGCUUAGCUGACGAUGCCAAAGUAGCCACCAAUUAGCCACGGAUUAUCAAAUCUGAGGGUUCAUGAACUGUUUCCCUCAGCAUUUUUUUAGUAGCAAGUUGUUAACAAAAAGUCUCAAAAGUGGGAUUUAAUUUUUACCUGUUGUUCAUGGAUUUAAUUCAUUCUUUUUCUGUUCAGAUAUUGAUGAGUGCAAGGCUCCAAACCCCUGCAGUAUGGGAACCUGCAUAAAUACACCGGGAAAUUAUACUUGCAAAUGUCCGAAAGGGUACAAAAAUGACGAUCCGGAUAAAAUAAGAUGCAUCAAGGCCGACGGUCGAGCAAAGCUCAGUCUCCUGCUUAUUAUCUCACUAGGUAUGCAUAUGUUAGUUUUAUUUUACUUUUUCUUUAGGCGCGUGUUUUUGCAUAUACAAUGGAUAUUGGGUGAAGGGAAAAGUUGAACUCGGGUCUUGUGUGCGAACUUAGUUACAAAUCUCUUGCUUGGAUUGUUAGUUUAUUACUAGAAUCAGUGUCAAUUUCUCCAUGUUAUAGCAAUACCUCAUAACAAAUCGUCGGCAAACAAAAUCAGUUUUAAGUUUUUUGAAUUAAAAAGGCCAAAACACAUUUUCAGAGAGUCCAUUAGCCAGACAAAAUCAUAAUAGCCAACCGCAGACAAAUCCAGAAAAACAUAGAAACAAAUAGAAUCAUUUAAAUUUUGUAUGCUGUUAGUUUCUCAAGUAACCUAUACAUAUUCAUUCAAAUUAUGCAUGUAUUGGGGCGCUUUAAGCAGAAUGGUAGUGUAGUAUUCAAAAUUUAUUUUCAAAUGAUCACAAAUGAAUCUCCCACUAUUCUACUUAAAACACCAUUAUUCCACUCAAAACUUAGUGAAAAUUGCAUUGUUUUUAUAAAAACAUUAAAAAACAUAUGAACUCAUGCCCAACUUUGAUUAAUCCAUAAUUAAUAGCUGACUAUUUCAAUACUAAGAGUUGAUAAGAGAACAUUGGAAAACAUAUGAACAUGCCCAUCUGACAUUGCAGUUGAUUAAUCUCACAUAAAUCCACAUCAAAAGAACCCAGAAAUUUAAUGAAGAAUUUUCCAAAACCCACAAUUUAAACUAAAACCCACAAAUUUAAACGAAAAACUCUAUAAAAUCAUGAAAAAUUUAAUAAAAUCCAAGUAUAUUAAUCACAAAUUCGAUCAAACAAAUCUUCACAUCCAAUAAGUCUAGAAGGUACACUAAAAAAAAAAAUGUUCAACAAAAGAUUCAAUACGAAAAACAAAAAUUAUAUACCUUGAUCACAAAGGGCUUGCACACACAAAAACCCCAAUAUUCGAAGACCAACGUUUCCUGACAGCAAAAAUCAAACCAGAUCAGACAGCCACACGCAAAUCACCAAAAAAAUUUAAAUCAGGCACACUAAAAAAGCCGCAAAACUCACCAGAAAACGUUAGGUUAUGUGGGUUAAAAACGGAUUCCAAUCGAACUCAAAAAGGGCACGAAAAACUCACCAGGAAACCCUAGCUUUUUUGGGUAAAAAAGUUCCUUCAAAUCAACCUGAGAAACUGAAGAAGCAUUCUUGAGUUCAAUAAAAAUCGAAAUUUAAGCAAGCUUUCUGACCUGAAAACUUUGGAUUAGAUCAGCCCAGAACAAAUUCUAAACGGAUUAAAAAUGGGUAGAAGCUUCUAACCCCCUACUGAUUUUCAAGAAAACAACUUUGAUAACUAAUUCGCGAACAACAAAGCAAGAG